UGGUGCUCAACACAAACGUGUGGGCCAACGGCGACGGCAAGAAGGAGCACCAGUUCGACCUGUGGUUCGACCCGGCCGCCGACUACCACACCUACACCAUCAUCUGGAACCCGACCAACAUCCUCUUCAAGGUGGACGACAACGUGAUCCGCGUCUUCAAGCGCUACGCCGACCUGGCCUACCCGAGCUCCAAGCCCAUGACGCUGCACGCCACGCUGUGGGACGGCAGCUACUGGGCCACCGAGAAGGGCAAGGUGCCCAUCGACUGGUCCGGCGCGCCCUUCGUCGUCUCCUACAAAGGCUACUCCGCCGACGCCUGCGUCAGCGGCGGCGCCUGCGCCGCCGGCAGCGGCGCGUGGAUGAACAAGCAGCCUGACAGCGCCGAGUGGGGCACCGUCAAGUGGGCCGAGAGCAACUACAUGCGCUACAACUACUGCGACGACGGCUGGAGGUUCCCGCAGGGGCUGCCGGCGGAGUGCAGCCGCAGCUGAUUCAAUUCGAUCGUUCGCCGGCGUCUCCCAUCCUUUCAGACUCAGUUCAGGCGUCCAUUAUUGCCAAAGUUCUUGAUUUAUUUUUGCUGGAUAUAUAUAUAUAUCUAUGAUUCUUGUUCUGUUGUUGUGAAUUUUUGUCAUUGAAAAGCAGCCCCGCAGCAACGCGAGGGCGGGAAUAUAUUACUGUAGUUUUGCUUGUGUAAAGAAAAGAAGCUUUGUUUCUACUUUUUGGAUAAAGGAAUAAAAUACUUGUGACAUGCAUAUAUAAACAUGAUAAUAAAAACCUAAAUCUGCGUCAGUUCAAAAUAUAGAGACAUGUUAUAUUUGCAGAUUUAUGUGACCUGUGUUACACUAACAUAUAUAUAACAUAUAUAUCUAUAUUCAUAUAUCUAGGAAAACAAGGAUGUGGUUCUUAUUCUUGAAGCAUUUUUUAAUUGUUUGUGUCAAAUGCAGCAAUCUGCUAGCGUAAAUGGUGGGCACAGCUCUAACCUGUUUGUUUGAGCAAAAUGGAGGGCACAACACCGAAUCUGUUAGCGUAAAUGAGUGCAAUGGAUGCUGUGCGUACAAGCAGUGUACUUCCAUAUUCUUGCGUCCAAUCAAUUCAGAUACACAUUUAAAUCUGCAUGUUUGGAAAGACGCAACAAUUAACAUUCUUGCUGUAUUAAGCGCGUAGUACUACUCGAAUGUGCAAAGUGCAAACUCCAAUCAUUUGGCGUUCAUACAUAUACAGUAUCAAUUAAUCUGCUCCGGGCAUUACAGGAUGUACUUUUGUGCUGUCCAUCAAUAGUAGCAGUUGGGGAUACGACUGAUCGGUGGCGUGAUAGUAUGGUCUGGAUGGGAGUAGGAGUAGUGGUGGUUGCAGUGCAUGACAUCCUCGUCAGUCUGUUCUUCCACUAAAAUCCUGGCACUUCGUUCGUUACAAGGGAAUUAUUGGCGCUUUUGCUAAAGUCCGACGAGACAGUGGACCAGCGAGAAUGCUGCUGCUUUCUGCACGCGGGAUCUACGUGUGCUAUUUUUUUUAUUAUGCAUUAUAUUCUCUCCGUCUUUAAAAAAAAAUACAAUUAUAAGAACUGUGUUGAUCAAAUUAGUUAAAAUUUAGCUAAAUUUAUAGUCACAUUAUUAACAUUUAUGUCUCUAUAAACAAAUUUAUUAUAAAAUAUAUUUUUACUAAUCUAAUAAUAAUUAUUUGUAUAAAAAUGUUUAUUACUUACUUUUUAUAUAACUAUAGUUAAAGUAUAAACUGUUUAAUUCCUCAAACAGUGAGAGUUGUGGAUGGAGGGGCCCUGUUUGGUUAGACAUGUUAAACUUUACCGUCUAUCAUAUCGAAUGUUUAUAUACAUGUAUAAAAUAUUAAACAUAGAGUAUUUACAAAACUAAAAACACACAUGUAGAGAAUAAUUUGUAAGACAAAUCUUUAAAGUUUAAUAAUUAAUCUAUAAUUGAAUACUAAUUACCAAAUAAAAUAAAAAUACUACUACAAGAAAUGGUGCUUUACAUGACGAUCGUUUUGGUCAUAAAUAGUCAAAAGCAUGUCACGAUUAACUUACCAUGACGAUCAAAAAAUCAAUCACGUAUCUCACGUUAUACAUUUGCUGGACCUACUAAAAGUCGUCACCGAUUGACAUUUUAUAUCGUCAUUGAAUACAAGGUUAGCAACAAUAGCCAAAGCCAAUAGUGAUGAACUCAAACGUCAUGAAUUUGUUCCACGUCAGCAUUUGCCACAUCAUUCGAUGAUGAUGGAUCUGACAUGGCAGCUACAUCGCCAUGUCAGCACCAAGUAUACAACCAGCCCAAUAUGGAGAAGGCCCACAUUAGCACCAGGCAUACAACCAGCCCAAUAUGGAGAAGGCCCAGUUGUUCUUCAUAAUGUUUGUCCAUUAGGCCCAUGUUGGCUGAUUUUUUCUAAUAGGCCCAUACUAUUGGGCUAACCACUUGCAACAUAUUGGCCCAUUAUUUAAAUUCAAAUUUUUGCCAUAAAUAUUAAAUUCAAAUUUAAAUUUAAAUUUUUGCUAAAAAAUAUUCAAAUUCAAAUUUAAAUUAACCCAAACAAAUCAUCACAGAUAGUCACUGAUGGUCACAGAGUGACUGAAUGAAUGGUCACAAAUAACAUCACACAUAUAUUGAAAUGUAGCACGACACACAUAUAUAUUAUAUAUAGAGAGAGACGUCCCAGCUCACAGAUACAAAGAAAUAUACAUCUUAGAUCAUCACAGAUCACUUACAUUUAAAGAUAGCCACACCAAAUGGCAUAAGUUCAAACAAAAGCAUUAAAACGCAAGUAGCUACAGCACUACUUGCUACAAAAUCAGUCACUACAGAGGCCAACAUUGCACAAGUUGAUACCAGUUCACAAAAGCUAAGGCACCACACAAGCCGGGCCUUGCAUAACAGACCAACCCAUACAUUCGAACUCAAGUGAGAGUGCUGCAACCGGUACGCCACACACAACUUUACCUUGGUGGAAUCAUAGACAACAGACCCUUGAUCAGUAUGUCUGUCUCAGCUUGCUUUUUCUUAAACUCCUCCUCCUGUUUAGCCCUUGCUGUUUCAGCAUCCUGAAACUUCUUCAUCAUGUCAUCCAUCUGCAGUUGCUGGGUCUUCAUAAUCUCCCUAAGAUCAUUUGAGGUUUGUUUCUCCACCACUAGUUCAGCUUGUAACUCACACUUACUUGCAUUAUCCUCACUAGCAGAUGAUGUUUUCAGCCCCACAUUUACCAAAAAACUAUUCUUCUUAGUCUUCUGAACGAGAACCUCUGAGACAACAUCACCCACAUCCUUUGGUUCCUCAUCAUCUACCGAAGCAUUUAUCUUCUCCUCUAUUUCAACCUAGCAAUGGAUGGAAUACAUAGAUAAAUGAUCAUCACAAUAUAUAUGGACCUAAUGUAUCAUUUCAUUGUGCACUAAUUUUGACUUUACUUACAAUGGCAGAUUGAACUGCAGGAGUGAACCCUUUCUUUUUGCUGUAGUGCAAGUCUUUAAAUAUAUCCAGUGCAUUUGGUGGUUCAUUUUGAUACUUGUUUGCCUGACAAUGAAUUUAAAACAGCAAGAUUUAAGCAGCUUGUUUACAAGCAAUCAAGUCUGCUAUACAGACCAAUCAAGUAGUAAGACUUAGCCAAGUUCCAGUUAAUUACAUGGGAUGUAACAGCAGGAUCAUUCCAUUUGUAACAUAGGUAACAAGCAGAAAAGUAAACUAAUUGACAUGGGAUGCAAUAGCUAGACAAAUUUUAAGCAGUUUGUUUACAAGCAAUCAAGUCUGUUGUACAGACCAAUCAAGUAGUAAGACUUAGCCAAGUUUCGAUUAAUUGUACUCACCGAAUUGAUCAGCUCCAUUUCAUAGCUGCGAGAACCAGUUGUCUGGUGAAACUGCACUUUGCUUCUAUUGUCUUUGUUUUUCUCACAAGUCAGCUGCACCAACAAAGUUGUAAAGUUUGGCUUAUAUGAGAUCAACAUCAGAUUUUGCUCAGUGGCAUGAACUUACUAUUUUUUUCUCAUUUUCCAGUGUUCGACAAGUGCAUCCCAUUGGUCAUCACUCAUAAAUGAUAUAGGAGAUUUCUUGGGCACCUGAUGUAGUGGAAAGCAUCAAAAUACGUCUUUUUUGGCUUAUAGCACCGCUGAUGAACAACUUUCUUCAGCAUAGCCACACAUGCUUUUUGCACAUGAAUUGAAGUUUUCUCCAUGUCAAACUUGGACUGCAUUUAACAACAUUAUCAAUAGUUAAUAUUCAAUAGACAAUUUAAUGGUUGAAAAUCUCUAAUCCUAAAAAAACAGUAACAAGGAGUUAGUAGGCAUCCUCUUGUCGGUAACAAGGGGGUCAAAAUGCUAAUGGUUGUGCAACUAAACAAUCCAUAUAACUACUUUAGAAUAUUCAAAUUUCUGUCUUGCUUCUUUGGAUAUAGUCUGUUGCCUUGCCUCUGCAUCAUAGGAUAAGAAUACAGAUAUUGAAAUAACAAUAAUAGUUGGUUCUUUUAUACUCCAAGGAUCAAUCGUGCACCUAAAGAACACAACAUCCCAAUAAAGGACAGUUCGGUUAUUCUGCAUUAUUUCCAAAGAGAACUAUAAAACUAUAUAAGGUUUGCAGCUGUUAUCUAUCUGUCCAUCUGUAGUUUGUGAUAGACCAUGGUCCAUGGAUUAUGAACUCUAAAUAUUUUUUUUUCUGUAUAUACACCUUCUUAACCCUGUUUAAUGCUAAUUCAAUGCAUGGUGUUGGCUUGUGGUGUACAAAUUUAGUGCCCCUGAGUGAAAGAGGGCCUCUGAAUAUGCAGCCCAAGCUGAGAAAAAGAAAUCUAGAAAGGCAUGAAAUAAACAAACAGUAGAGGCUAUUGCUUAUGACAUAGAAAGAACCUCAAAGGUUGAGAAGGAACCUUCACUGAAUAUCUCAGUUGCAUGAGUUUUCCUAGGUAAUUUGCUUUGCUGCUAUGCUCUAUACUACUAACAUGUAAUUUCAGUGUGAUAACUACAUAUGCCUUUCUAGCAAACCUUAAAUGUGUCAUUUUGGCCAUGUUUCUGUGCUUCUAUGGGUCUAACCGUAUCUUUUUUUUGUUUUAGGUGAUGCCCAUGCCCCUGUAGAGGGCGUGCUGUAUUGUUGGUGAGGAAGACCGUGAUAUCGUGGUGGCAAAGAUGCACUGCCUGAUGUUCCAUUAAUCAAUGCUCUAAGUAAUUAACAACUCACUUUUUUUCCUCAAAUACAGAUCUGUGAUAACAGUGCACUCUAAAGAAGCUCCUCUUUCUUUUAUUUGUGAUAAUAUAUUGCUGAAGUUAAGAGGGCACAUAAUUCCCUACUAUUCACCCCUACUUUUAUUUGUGUUGAACUGCAUUGAAAAUUUAAAAGAUCUUGUGGCAACACACAGCCAUAUAUACACUAAAAUUCUCUUAAAAAGAUAGACAAAAGUAAAAAACGAUCAAGUGGCUCUUAUUCCAGGAAUACUAGGCAUGGCUAACCAAUGUCCACUUUAUGCUAUUAAGGUACGUGUCUAAACUUGAGCAGAAAAAAAUUUGAAACUAAACAUCCAUUAUAAGAUAUAUUCAGUAAUUGAGACGUUUCCCAUUUCAUUGUGUACAACACAACAGAAAGAAAGAAAUAGAAUAGAUGUCCAGAAAGCAGUGUAAUGGUUGGUUUUGUGGUGUUUUAGUCCAGUGGUGAAUAGCAUAUCCUCCCUAAUCUCUAAGCUUCUUUUAUUCAACACUUCCAUACUUUCAUUAACUUGCUAUACAUAGACAUCUGUAAAUAUAUAAACUUUCAGCUCAGAUAACUAGACAGACUAGUAAAAACAAUAUCGUAAAUCAACUAUAAAUUGGUCAAAAAGUUGACUGGUUGGUCUCCACUUGGUUCCUACUCUCUCCAUUCCAAAUGGUCAAAUGUGUAACAUAUUCAGAUAAAAUCAUUUGCUCUCCCUAUACAAUAUCAACCUUCACAUAUAUACAUGAUGCUGUUAAGAAAAUUUGAUGGUAAUUGUAUAUCAGCUUCAUUAUUAGCAUUUAGUUGAUUUUUCUUAUUAAGAAGAGCAAUCUCAGCAGCAUGAACAACAAAGCCAGCCUCAUCAUCUCGGCUUAAAGGCAUGUCAGAUACUUCUGGUCUCCUCCCAAGGUCCACAACACAUGUUUGCUCUUGAUAGGGUGCAGCAGUGGAUGCAACACCAUCUAUUUGAGACACAUUAUACAAAUGGCGAUGAUUAAACCUUUGAACAAUCCGCCAAUUCUUUCCAUGCUUAUUAUCUGGCAAAUAGAAUACUUGUGUCGCUUGAGUUGCCAAAAUAAAACUAUCCUUUUUGCACCACAAGUUGCUAAUAUUGAUACUCUUAUAGAACUCAUCAUCUUUUAAUGAGGUAUGCUUACCAUCUAAUUUGUACCAGUCACAUCUAAAAACUACAACUGAUCGUUUUGUACCAUCAUCCUUGUCAGUGUACAGAAACUCAAUAAUCUCUUUAGGUGUGCCAUAAUAAUCAAUUAUUCCAUUUCUAUAUGCACCUGUACAGGUCAACCUGGAGUUUUGUGUCGUCUUGUUUUUGUCACGCUCGGCGGUGUUGAACCGAACACCAUUGACAACACAAGUGGAGUAUGAUCUUACUCUAAUGUCAGGGCCACAAGCUAAGGCAAGUAAAUCAUCAUCAACCACGUCUGUUGCAUUCAACCUCCACAUCUACAAUGGGAAAUGUCUCAGCGCCUAAUUAUAAUUACUAAAACAUUACAGAAAUACUAGGAUACUAUUAAGAGACUAACAUGAUUCCUGAACCAAUGCACAAAGCCAUUCUCUGUCCUUCUUUCAAGAUCUGCAGCAGCCACCCCUGAUGUUGUUAAGUCAUCUUGAAACUUUCUGUAACUAAAAAAAAAAUCAGUAAGUGACUAAUCUGAAAAAAAUGAUUAUAACAUACAUAGAUAGAGAUUUUGGAACAUACUUUAUUAAUUUCUCGGCCUGAUCACAAUUGUUGAGAACAUACCAAACCAGCUGAUCAAUUUCCUCAGAGUACGAAUAAUCAUAUGCGCUUAUAAGAUUAACACCGUGCCCAAAAACAUCAACAAUAUAUGCUGACUGAUCUGAAAAUCCAACAUUUCUUGGAAGCCGAUUAAACCUUGUCUCCACAUCUUCCAUAUAUCUAGAGCAAAAUGUGAGGGCUUCAUCUACCACAUAAGCCUCUGCAAUUGAGCCUUCUGGACAUGCCUUGUUCCUAAGACUUCUUCAGAGUAUACAAACGAUGUUCAAUUGGGUACAUCCAACCAAAUUGUACAGGUCCCCGAAGGAUGGCCUCAUCAGGCAAAUGGACAGCAAGGUGAACCAUAACAUCAAAAAAGGAGGGGGGAAUAUCUUCUCAAGCUUGCACAAUAUGAUAGGUAUUUCUGUCUUCAUUCGAGCCAACAAAUCUGUGUUCAGUCUUUGGCUGCACAAUUCCCUGAAAAAUUUGCCAAACUCAGCAAUUGUUUGAUAGACAUCAUCGUCCAAUAACCCUCUUACCACAGCAGGUAUAAUCCUUUGCAACAGAAUGUGACAGUCAUGAGUUUUUAGGCCUUGCCACUUGAUUGCAUCAGCAGUUAAGCACUUUUGUAUAUUUGAAGCAUACCCGUCUGGAAACUUGGCAUCCUUCAAGAAAUUAAGAAAUUGAGUCUUCAUUGACUGGGACAACGUAUAUCGAGCUUUAGGCAUGUCAUAGUCAUCAUCUCCCUUAUGCUGCAAUUGCAACUCCUUCCUAAUUUUCAGAUCAGCAAGAUCUAACCUUGCAUUAGUUGUAUCUUUUGACUUCCCUUUGAUGUCAAGAAUGGUACCAAGCAGACUUUCACAUACAUUUUUUUCAAUGUGCAUCACAUCAAGAUUGUGUCUGAGCUUUAGAGAUGACCAAUAUGGUACGUCCCACAAACAAACCCUUCUACCCCAAAUUGGUACACGAUUCCCAGAACGCUUCCUUUUCUGUCCAACUCUAACAUCUCUAACCUUUUCUAAUUCUUCUAGCAACUCUUCUCUAGUGAAAGUACCUGGCUUUGCACUAGUACCAUGGAGAGACUCAAAAUCAUUGGCCUUGCGCAAAUGAUGACCUCUUGGAAGGAAACGACAGUGCCCAAUAUAGCAUAUCUUGCUCCUGGCAUAGGAUAGAGGAUUUGUGUCACAAUGGAGACAAGCAAAGUAACCACUAGUGGUACGCCCUGAUAGAGUACUUAGUGCUGGGUAGUCAUGAAUGCACCACAACACUGCAGCAUGAAGCUUAAAAUCUUUUCCUGUGAUAGCAUCAAGGGUAUCCACACCUCUCCAUAGCUCAAGUAAAUCUUCUACUAGAGGCUGCAAGAAAAUAUCAAACGCCUUCCCUGGUGAAUGAGGACCGAGAAUCAACAAAGACAUCAUGAAAUUAGAUUCUUGCAUGCAUAACCAAGGUGGUAAGUUGUAUGGAAUCACAAAAACAAGCCACAUGCUAUAAGAUGAACUCAUGUUGCUAAAAGGAUUGAAACCAUCUGUGGCAAAGUCCAAGUCUCCAAGUCUUAUGUUUCGUGCAUCUUUAGCAAAAUUAGGCCAACACUUUGUCAAAAUCUUCUCAUGCCUUUCCAUCAACAGGAUGGGUCAUUUCCUUCUCAUUUUGUUUCCUCUUCAACUUAUGCCACUGUACUUCCUCAGAUGAUUUCCUAGAAACAAACAACCUUUGUAGCCUAGGGAUCAAUGGAAAAUGCUUCCUCAGAUGAUUUCCUAGAAACAAACAACCUUUGUAGCCUAGGGAUCAAUGGAAAAUGCCACAACACCUUUGCAGGAACCUUCUUCUUCUCAGGAUCUUUCCAUCUUGAUGCUUGACAAACUGGACAAUUAUCUAAUUCCUUAUAUGUCUUUCUAAAUAGCACACAAUUGUUUGGGCACACAUGAAUUGAUAUAUAACCAAGUCCCAAUUCAUGAAGCAUUUUCUUUGCUUCAACAUAUGAUUUUGGAACAGUGUUGAACUGUGGGAAAGCAUCUGACAACAUCUCCAAAAUCAUAGAAAAUGCUGAGUUAGUGAUCCUAUAAUAUGACUUGACAUGGAGUAGCUUGAUCACAAAUGUCAACCUUGAAAAAUUUGUGCAACCCAGAUAUAGUUCAUGCUUAGCCUCUUCAAUCAAAUGUUUGAAACGUGAUGCAGCAUCAUUGGAUGGGUUUCCAUCAUCAUGUCCAUCAUCAUUUACAUGUUCGGAGCUGACAAGGUCCCUUAACAUCGCAUCCAAUCCAUCAUCAUGUACUGGUUCCUCCAAAGAAUUAUCAUUUCCAUCCUUAGGUACUGGCUCCUCCAAAACAUGAACAUCGCUGCCCUCUUCAUGGUUUAUCCACCUUGUAUAUGUAGUGGACAUGCCAUUGAGCAGUAGGUGCCUCUCCGCAUCAUUCUGGUGUAGAUAUUUAUGGUUUAAACAAUUAGUACAUGGGCACAGAAUUUGUUCAGUCUCAUUAAACCUCUCUUUGAUGAAGUCCAUGAAAGAUUUCACACCACCAAUAUACUGAGGUGUAAAUAACACACCAUACACCCAACGUCUGUCCAUCUACAACAAAAAUUGCAAAACAUACAUCUUCGAUGCAUUAGAACCACUACAUGGACUAACAAACUAAAGCACUAAAUUAAAUGUACCAAAUGUACAAUUGAAAGAAUUAGAAAAAGAAAUGAUAGGUCUGCUGCAUCAAUAAGAUAAGGGGUUUUUUUUGCACGCUUCUUAUAUUUAGAGAAUGAUUAUUUGUUGGAAUAUGAUCUGACAUGGUUGUGGUAGCAAGAUAAGAUUUAAUCCUGCAUUUCACAUUUCUUUUGACAGAACUUUGAUGUCAGUUGCACCUAAAAUAUUCAAGAAAAUGCAUCUAUGGAAUGAAAUAUAGUAUGAAUUCUAAGGCUCUCAACGAUUCAAGAAACUCAGGUUGGAAUGGUUGAUUAUUGUUAUUGACCAGUACAUAUCUUUUUUCCUGUGCUUACAGGCCCAAGUGGCCAUUUUUUUAAGCCACAAAUAAGAGGAGCACAUCAACAACGCCUGGAGAAGCUCCUCCUGCAUUGGUAUGCCCUCCUUUCCAAGGACAUUCAGCAAUUGCUCAGUACUGAGUAGCAGUUAAUCUAUGGCCACCUGUUCAGCAUUUCCAUUCUUACUUGAGAAUUUGGAAAUGCCUGGACUAAUUUGGAAUCACAAGUUGUCAGAUCAUGCUUCAUAAACUUAUUAAUUUGGUGCCUGCAUGCAUCCUUACUCACAUGCAGCUAUAUCCUUGCUCUGAAUGUUUCCAUUACUAAAGCAUCUCAAAAUUCUAAGGAUUAGAAUAUUUCAGCUGCAAAAAUUAGCCUGAUAAGUAAUGCUAGUAAGGACCUGUUAUUAAGUACAAAUGGUUUAGAAAUAUCUAAGAAUGUUCAACAAGCUAAACUAGCUAACUGACCACAAUAUAUAGAGUUGGUGGGAAGUUUUUAGGAUUUUAUAUAUCUAAAACUCUGAGUUGGCCUUUAGAGUGUUGACAGAUAAGUGCAAGGUUUAUUAUAUUGGAUUUAAUGAAACAUCUGCCACCCUCUUGUGCGCAGAGCGAUAUCUGAUGACAUUAUGGAGUUAUGUUAAGAAGAACAUUAUCGAGUCUAACCAAACAAAGUGGAAUCACUACUACACCAACAAAUAUGCUGUGAUCCGAUUUCAUUUCUAUUUUCAUUACCAUUCCAUGAACAAAACAGCGUGAGAUUUAUCAUGCGCACACAUGCUAGGAUUGCAAGCGGCAGCGGGUUGAGCCAUGAGCCCGCUGGGCAGCACGUGCCGCAAGCCCACCAGACCACGCAUUAUGGCCUGCAUCUUUUUAGCGGCGCAAUGCGGUCAACCCACGUAACCCAGCAGCGUCACAACCCGCAUCUUUUACGGCUGCGAAUCCUAGCGUUGUCGGCCUUUUAAGCUUCACCGUAGGCCUGCCCAGCAGCCUGUCAUCGUCUUCAGACUUGCUGCCUUCGGGCCCUCAGCUGUGAUCGUACGUAAUCAUCACUCAUUGAUGAUUUCAUCUGGGCACCAAAUUGAUGAUCUCUGAACCUCUUCAAUUCUUUGAUGGAUGUCCUCUGAAGAGUAACAGGGGAUCCUCUGUUCUAUAAUCUAGAUGCUUUGUUCUUAGUUUAUUUAUUUAAUUUUUCACUGUUCUUGUCUCAACUAGUAGUAGCAGUUUAGCAUGAGCUAGCAGUUAGACUUGCAGAUAAUGGAGCAGCAAUUAAACAUGAAGGACCACUGCUUGCCCAAAGGUUUGUGCAAGUAUAUCGUCUUGUGGAUAGCAGAUAUUACAGCUGAGUUGUUUUGGUUGUGGCAACAUGCGGGCUGCGGCGAAGCCCACAAAAAGCAAGUGGUGCUAUGCGAACUGCCGCAUGUGGCCACAAGCACUUUGCGGCUCCAGCGGGUAUGGCGUGGGCUGCCCACCGCCACCCCACUUGCAUUCUUGGUAUAUACACAACUUGAGUCGAGUCUCAAAUUAAUAUGUUUCAUAGUCUGCGCAACAAAUUAAAUAACUGUAUUUUUACUGUUUCAUGUAAUCCUUUCUACCCAAUGGAGAAAAGGGGGAAAAUGAACCCGCUCACACACCCAUGGUCUAAAACAUGCAAGACUGGUUUAAAACAUGCAAGACUCACAAAUCACAAUGCAGGUACCAAUUUCUGAACUCAUUUUGUAGACCAAACUAGUAGGAAACGCGCGCCCCUGCGCGCGUCCAGUAAAGGCUUACCGAAGCUUGUGUGGAAGCAAUGGAGAUACAUGUAUAUGGUUCUGUGUAUGAGUGUAGAAACUGAGUAGGUGCAAAGUACCACACAUAGGGCGACCAUUCAUACAAAUUACAAUACAUGAUAUUCAUAGUGCUUAUAUCCCGUACAUGCUAGGCUUCCUUGGACAUAUGGAAGCAUUAUGGGAUGGUUGUGGGCUCUUAUAUUAGAGAACACAAUUAGAUAGGUGCUGUUUUUUUGUGAGAUGCAGUGCACAAAUUCAUCCGACAGGGUACUGCAGAACAUAUAUUAGCUGUUCAACUGAAUGAAGUCACAUGUACUGCCUUAAAAUGAACUGGAGGGAACAUAUAAAGUCAGAGCAAGGCGCUGAAGGAGGCAACCUUAUAGCACUAUAAAAAAUCUCGAUGCUUUUAUGUACAAAUCAUAAGGCACCUUUGAAACACCAUCAUUACUGCAUCAGCAAGCGAAAUCAUAUAUACACAAAUUGCAAACAUGGCAAGGCAGGUAUGAAUUUGAAGUUGUAGCUCUAUCCAAUCUAUUUUACAGAACUGAAAUGUAAUUAGAAAAUGUUGCAUUGUUAAAUUUUGCAGAACUGAAAGGUGUCUUUACCCUACCUUGCUUUCAUCACGUCGUGGACUCCCUGAUUUGGUAGUGAGUUGACCGCCAAAGUGUUCCGUCACAUAUAGGCUAAAUUUAGAGUUAAACAUAUUCUGCUAGAACCCAUGAGGGUUUCUAAUCUUCUUGAACAGUAAUCACGUAAUCUACAUGAUUGCUCACAAAAUGUACAUACCUGUGUGGAGGCUGAAGGGCAUUGAAUUAAUUUUCUCUGCAACACCCAGUUUCUUUUUUUGCAUAGAUGUAAUAGGUUGUGAGCCAACCUACAAAUGAUUUUAUCUUCCAGAUAAGGGAACUCAAGUGAAUAUUUGGAACAGUUUGAAUAAAAACUAGAAUAAAGGCACAUGUCAGGUUUGAAAAGGAAAAAAAGAGCUAAUACUUUUUACAGCCUCCAUGAUCAACCAAUAGGUUUCACCUUCUUCAAGGUAGAUGGUAGCAAAAAUUGCCUAGUGCAAAUCCAUGUUAUAGUGAGUAGCAAAAAAGGAAAAACAAUGACAGAGGGCAAAGCUGAUUUGAUUCUUGAAAUCCUGUAUAUAUACAUGAUCAAAUAGCAUAAACUGACAAAGACAUCAACUGUCAGAUUUCUGGAAGCCAGAGAAUUCGUCUCUCAGAUUUUGCUAGGUUACAUAAGACAAGAAGGCUGCGUGAGCCAAACAGAGAGGCAUCACAUACCAAUCUUAUGAACAGAAGUGUCAUAACAGAAAAUAUAGCAGUUUAUAUUUUAAACAACCAAAGACAAUAUGUGAGAGCAGUAAAAAAUAGAAACAUUAUAGUUUCAUAAAGCAGACCUUGAUAAUGACUCAAUCACUCUCAACGCAGAUCCACUAUAAUCAUGUGGCAAGCGUUCAAGCUAAAAAACAAUGAUGGGUAACAUUAGUUAGUAGUACUUGAAGUUCAUAUAAUACAAACCAAAAUCUUUAAAGUUGUCAGCACUAUAAAAAAGGAAUGCAUUUAAGUUGCCAAGCUCACUAAAAUUCUUAUAGUAGGAUGCCACCUUAGACUCAAUAAGCAAAUAUAUUAUUGUGUGCCUCUCGACUUCAUAUAAAAAAUCAUGACCCAACUUGGUUAGUGCACCGAGAAAUAGAAGUUUAAAACAUAGUUGUUGGCGACGCUCAUAACACUUGGUUGUUGUCGAUAUAUCAUUGUUGAUACAUGUAAACAAAAGGAGAAUUAGUUCAAACCUUAUCCUCAGGUGUUAUGUUGUGGUACGCUUCCGAACAUUCCCGGGAGCUAAAGUGGAGUCUUCAUGUGUUGCAGUAGAUUUGUAGGAACAAAAGUGAAGGGAAACAAAACAAAUGAGUUGUUAGUUGUAAAUAGCUGUCUUUCUGGACCAAAAAAAGGAAAACCAUUUAUCUGCAGGUACUGAUGGAUCAAUAAUAUUUAAUAUGGUCUUCAUUGCUUUCUGUACAUCAUCUUUUGUAAUGUACAGAAAUUUGACAGUUUCAAAAUUUGUAAUGUAAUCCUGGUGAGGGUGUCUGCCAAUAGAAACAAAUAUUAAGAAUUGUUAGGAUUGUCGUAACCUAUGUGACUAAUUGUAGUUGCAAGUGUCGAUAUGAAAUUUUCGAAGAUCAGGGAUAAACAUGAGUAUUUCGUAAUUCGAGGACUUCAUGUUUACCCUGAGUGGCUGCUUGUUCUAUUUGGUGCGAAGAUGCCUGAAAUUUAUUCGUCAAUACAUUUUAAAAGGUUUGUUCAUAAUUAUCUGUACAAAUAUAAUGGGCUAAGGCAACUGUCAUUUGAGUUGCAUAUAAAAGAAGGGACAUAAAUGACUUACUGCAGUAUCAGUAUGGUAUACUAAUCUAGCACACACCUUUAUGGAAAACCAUCCACUAUCUACCUCUUUUGUGCAAAAAGAAACGUACAAUAACAAAGGAUGGCAAUGUAGCUUCAAAAUCGAUAUUAUCAACAUCGUAGUAGCCAUUUGCAAUCUCCUUAGAUAAAUAAUUUUCUCAUGGCAGAAAAUAAUGGAGGCAUUUUUCUUAGCAUACAGUCAUGGAAGCAUAUGAAUAUAAUACCAGAUCACUCCAAAAGACUAAAUCAUUCAGCUACAUAUAACUGUAAAUUGAAACUCCAAUCCCAAGUUGCUAUGGCAAGUAAAUAGUAAGGGACAGGUAGGUACAUGAAUAUAUUUAAUUUGUAUGAUCAUGUUGGCAUUAAGAUGAAUGACAAACAGAAAGUACAAUUAGUUUUAGCAGUAAUUGGUGGAAGGGACACCUUCCAAGAUAGUUCAGUUUCAUGCAGGAUUAAUUCUAGGAUGCAUAAGUCUAGUUUCAUGCAUAUAAAAUUUGAAACAAUACUAACCUGAAUAAUAAACAAAAAAGCAGCUAUUCCCUGAGGCCUUGUAGCCUUAUUUCUUUCUGUAUUGGCUAAGUUGUUUCUAGUUACAUUGAGCCUGCAGGUUAGUUGUAGCACUUGUGUCUGUGGCUAGUAUUCUAUAUUCCACACAAUAGGUCAGGAAUGAAGAAAACACACACAUAAAAGUAAGGUGCUUAAAGGAUAUGACAAAGGCAAGCAACUCCGACCAAUAAGGUUAACAAAGAUAAAAUACAGAAAGUGCCAAGUAAUCAUUGCAUUGAAAAACUGUGACUCAACAUAUGAAUAAGUUAGGACCCAGAUAUUUCAUAGAUCAUACAACUGCACACUAAAAAAAAUUAGGCACACAGCAUUAUGAAAAAGAAUUUUAUUGUACAUUAGGCAAGCAGCAGUAUGAAAAAUAAUUUUAUUGUAUACACAUGAGGCAUUCCAAAUAUUUUUUGGUGUGAGACGACAUAAUAUCUUCAAUUGUUACUGAGAUUAAUGGGUAAGUUCGUUACGAACGACUAUGGAAAGAGGAUAACUACAAUAUGUAAAUACGGGGAAAAGGUUCUUUUUUGAUAUAGUAUCGAGGACAUGCAUGCCUGUAACAGAUUGGAAGAGACUGUAAUUAACAGUUACAAACAACUAUGGAAAGAGGACAACUACAAUCUAUAAAUACGGUGAAAAGGUUCUUUUUUGGCAGAGUAUCAAGGACAUGCAUGGCUAUAACAAAUUGGAAGAGACAAUAAUUAACAGUGCAGAGAAGUUUUUUUUUUUUGUGUAAAUGAGGUAUAGCAAAGUUUACACCAUUGAAACAAAACUAAGAAGCAUGGUAAAUCCUUGUCGCUAGAAAUCAAUGGAAACAUGCACAUAUAAAAACAUGAGAUCUAUCAACAGUGGACAAAUACAUGAAAUGAGUGGAACAUGUACUGCAGAAUUAGAACCAUAUACAUGAUAAUAGGGCAAUAUAUCAACCAGACAAUUCUCCUACUCCUCCUACUAUUAAAGGAAUUUCUUGUUGUCAUUAAAUAAGAAUGGAGAAGUGCACAUGUUAGAAUCUGCAUUUUUUUUCUCUAGUACAUAUGUUUCAUUCUUAGUUUCCUGUAACCAUGUAGAAAACCUGCAAACCCUUUUAAUCAGUACUAUAAAACUAAAACCAAAGACUAAAUUAGAAGAAAGUGAGGGCUAGAGACAGGGGAGCUGAGAGUUUACCUCGUUGUUCAUGCAGCCGCCGCUGCGUUGUCAGCGAGCAUCUCCACGCAUGAGGAGGGCACCAACAGCAGGGGUGUGGUCGGCGCUGGGCCGUCGAGACCUGCAGCAUAGGCAGCUAGGGUUUCUUGUAGCACUCGCACAACAGAGAGAGGAGGCAUCACCAAGGGGCAGGCACACCUGCGGCCAGCAGCUCGCACCCUCGCACCGCGCUAUGGCCUGGGGCAGGCAUCGCCAGUGUCCACGGGGUAUGCCGCACCACAGCACCUCGUGCCGUGAGGUGGUGGUGCGGACAUGGCCGGCACAGCACGAGGCGUGGGGAAGAGGAGGAGGAGGAGGAGGAGGAGGAGGAGGAGGAGAGGAGGCCGGCCGCAGCCGCCGCCGCCGUGCCCGCCCGUGCCCGUGCCAUCGCCGCCUUGUCCGUGUGGAGAUCGAGUGGGAGAGGGAGAUACCGACGGGUGAGAGAGGGAGGAAUUUGGGAGAAGAAUUUGGGAUGAGAAGCGGAAGCCCGAGUAUAUAUUGGUGUGCUCGGAUUCGGAUGAGAAGCUAGUGAAGCCAAGGAAAAGCCACUUAGAAGCUAGAUAAAACACGUGAAGCUGCUUCCGAUAGAAUCCGCUUCGUGUUUUCUAGACCGUCGAUCUGCAGAUCGGACGGCCGUAGGAAUUUCGGCCGACGUGGCCUGGCUGGACGCGCAGGAGCGUGUUCCAAAUUGUAGGAGAGAAUUUGCAAUUAAAAGAAUUAGAUAAGGAACUUUUCAACAGUUGACUGAAGGGUGGAUCUAGGGACUAGGGUGUUCUGCAUCUACUGUGCUCACCUUGCUUGAAGCUGCCGAGGGGGGUUGUUCGACGGUGCUGCAGAAGGGGCGCUGCCGCCGCCGCUGGUGCCGGCUCCUUCGCGGGUGCCCGGCUCCUUCGUGCUGGGGCUCUGGGAGGAGGCAGCCGCAUGCCGCAGCAGUUGAAGGGGCAGCGCCGCAGACGUAGGGCGCGAGCCGGGGUGAGCUGCGGUGGGGAGGGGAAGGGGGCAGUGCCGCAGGGGCGAGUUGGCCGGAGUGGGAGCUUAGAGGUGGCGCCGGUCGCCUGAAUGGCGGGGCGAGCAGACGCGACUGACGGCCUGAGCUGCGGCGCGGGAGGAACCGAGUGCGAACAGCUAUCUCUUAAUCUCAAUGCAACUAGUACGUAUAAAAAUGCUAAAUGAUAUGCUAUAGUCCGUAACACAGCAGUAGCCUAGUGGUAAGCACUUAGCUCUUCAAAAGAGGGGACAGAGGUUCGAAUCCUUCGAACGGUAUGCCAAAAUUUUUUGUUUGUACAUUUUAAUAAACUGACAGGUGGGCCCACCAUCCCAAAUACACAGGUGCAUCCCACCUCUAUUUAUUUAAUAUUAUAUAUGUCCACGUAGGAUUAUCCGGAAUUGAUGUGGUCGUCCACAUCAGCGCCUUAUUGGAUGCUUCACCUGUGACCAAACCGAGUUGUCCAUCACAAAUUCACAACUGCAUUGUCAAAAUACUCUGUGAUGUCCAAUCGUCAUAAUUGUAUCACCCUUGGCACAAAUAAUAUAAUUCUGUGAUGCUUGCUGAGAAGGUCAUAAAAAAAGUCAUGUAAAGCACUAUUUCUUGUAGUGAUAAUACCGGUUAAACUUUAAAAACCUCCCUCGGCUACGCACUCGCCAAGACAUACCGAGUACGUGCACGACGCGGCAAGUGUUAAGCUGUACGGGCGGCCUAACCAUAUAUUUAUGUGGACUAGUUGAAUACCCGUGCAUUGCUAUGGGUAAACAAGAUAUCUCAUGACAUACAACCGCACAAGUACAAAUUUAUGUCAUUACAAAUGCUUGUGUAUUGUAACGAGAGCAAAAUAAUACCAUAACAUACAUUGCAACAUGAACAGAAUAAUGUCAUGGUAUUUUUAAGUUUGAUCUUGGGUUGUACAAUUCCAUCUCAGCCCUUAUAGCUACAAUGGGCAAACUCAUGCAGAACCUUGUUUCGUAUCCUACCUAUUGUGACAAAUUCACAACUUAGAUGACAACCUUCUUAUUGUGUCUCGGAUUAAUGGCGCGACCACAAAAUGACCAUGCAAUGAUGCCUAGACCCUGGAGCUUGUACACCAAGGUUGAGAAAUUAUGUUCAAGGAUUACCACUUCAUGCCUCACAAGCGACCAGCAAUAUGCCUUCUAGACAUAGUAUUGCUUCCGUUUUGUCCGAUCCCUGCAAUGGAAAAAUAUUGCUUUUCCAUUAUAGAUCUUUUAUCCAGUAUUCAACAUAUUUUCUAACACUCCAAACCCACCUAAUGAGCGUGGUAAAAGAGUAAAUUGAAGUUAAACAAUGCAGUUUUCUCUAGCUCAUUUCAUUUAUAGAUAUAUAGUAGCCUUACUUCAAUAUUUGUUAGAUAAACAUUCGAGAAAAACUGAGUAUGCCAAAUGUCAGGAUUAUAUCAUACUAUCACAAAUAUUUUUAAGUGUCAAACAAAUGAUAUUAAACAAUUUGAAGGAAUCAUGAGGGUGACUAACUGGUCAUUAACAAUUGCAGGAAACUUCAGGGCCUACACACUUCAAAUCCUCAACAUAUUUCUGAGCCAAACAUAUCAAUAUCUUGAGAACUGGAAUUUAACAACCAUCUUAACCCAGAAUUUACUAAUUAUGUUCAUUGAAAAAUUAGGGCAGGAGAAGUAAAUGUACCACGCACUUGCUUGCACGAAGCAUGACCUCCUUGUGCUCUGGUUUCACAGUGGGUGGUUUCUUGAUUUUGAUGGUUAACUUAGUUUAUGUUGAUCACAUUGAUGUCAUUCUUGUUCAACACUAUAUUUCACUGCCACUAUGUCUAGUUCCUGCAAAGAUAGUACAGAGCUUGGUAUUCUCACAAGUCAUAUCACUGUCAUCAAGCAGUUAUUAUUCUCAUGCUUCACAUUGCACUGAAAAUAUGUAUAUAACUAUGUCAUGCAUAAUCAAGUUCCACAACAACAUCAUUCGACUAAUAUAAGUUAUGAUCUAGGGCUGUCAUUGGUUGAAAGAAAAAUUUUCAGAAAAAUGCAAGCAGAAAAAGAAAUAAAACUUGAAGCUUAACUAAAAAUCAAGAAAUUGUUGCCUUGGAUAUUCUAAAUAGUGUUGGGGAUGGAGAAAGGACAAACCAUGAGCCUAUUCAAAGGGGAAAUCAAUUUUCAAGUAAUCAUAGUGGAUUAUGUUAUCAGAUCGAUUAUUCUAAGAAUUGUCUAAAUUAUAUCCAACAGUCAAUGCCAUCAUCUUCUCUGCUGCCGACGGUAUGGACCCAAGCAUAAUACAGGGAAAUGAUCUACACAACGCCAACAUAUUUUGAAAAAAAAAACAGGAGAAGAGAAAUCACCACCAAUACAUACUGGAUUUUGAGGCUCAGAUAAGAAUCUUAUCCAGAGUUAUUUGUACUGUAUAUGUUGAGAUGGCAACUUAUUGAGCAAGGUUACUCUGCCUGCCUGAGUAUUUUCACUAAAAUUGUGCAUAUUCAAUUAGUUUGUUGGAAGGUGCAGGUACAUCUCGAAAUGUCCAGAGCUCCAGUCUGAACUCAUGGGCCAUGGCCUUGGUAAUUGGAGUAGUAGGCGGUUACACGAACUAUCUUGUGGCAGAGCAACAUGAAGAACAAUUGUUUGGAAAAAAUGGAAAGAUAGAGCAUAAACUAAGUAAAAGAUACAUCACUUUAACUACAGGAGCACCCACCAUUUUAACAUCCACCGACUGCAAACUUGGUUGUUUGUUUGAGAUAAACGCAACCUACCAGUCAAAAAUCAAACAAACAGCUGUAACUUGAAAUAGAGUAGAGAAUUAGUAAAUUGGUGUGCAGCUCAAUUUUAUCUAUAAUAUUUAACCUUAUCAGUCAAGAAAUCCAGGAUUGAUCAUUAUAAUAAACAAAGCAUGGCUGCGACAACUGGAUUCCAACAAGCAGAGAAAAUACCAGUUGGUCAAGAUGAAAUGGUAUUUUUACAAUUAUUUAGGGAACUCAAUUGACUUAAAACACACAACCAGCCAAUUCCAUAAUUUGCAGAAUAUUAAAAUUGCCAGAGAUAGACUUAGCUUCGAUCUAUCGAGGAAGGGUUGGAGAUAUAUAUAUAUAUAUAUAUAUAUAUAUAUAUAUAGGACGCGUUUCUCACAAUUAGUCAGGCGCACCUUCUCACAAUUCAUGCAUGCAUGCAUGAGAACUUAUCUCCUCCUAGAUUUCAGUUGAUAGGCUUCGCUUGCCUUAUAAAAGUUGUUACGCACAGGUGUCGUGGCAAGUAUACGUAUAUAUGGUAUAGUAUGCGUUUAUACUUUUUUAGAGAGUAUACGUGCCAGGUAGUAGUAUGUGCCGAUACGUGCCAGGUAAGUAUGUCCAUGUAUAUAUAUAUAUAUAUAUAUAUAUAUAUAUAUAUAUAUAUAUAUAUAUAUAUAUAUAUAUAUAUAUAUAUAUGGCCUUUUUAAUAAGAGUAUGUGCACAUACACACAAUAAUAGAGUAUAUACUACAAGGUCAUAUUAAAAAAUAUGUAGUAUGAUACUAGAGUACGUACGCAUGUGCACAUACAACAUGUACAGUAAUCAAGUAUACACACAUAACACAAGGUGGAAAAACUAGUAUGAAUUAGUACUUUUGCCAAAAAAAAGUAUGAAAAAUACUCUUUUAAAAAAAGAAAGAAAGCACGUCAUACUUUUUUAACAAAUGAGAGUAUAUGUAUAUGUAGAUACACAAAAAUUUGCUUAGUAUAUGUACAUACUUUUUUGACAAAUGAGUAUACAUAUAUACAGAUACCUUUCUUUGAAUAAAAGUAUUGGUUCAUACAUUAUUACGAGUAUAUUAUUUUACUACUAGCAUUUAUCUCUCAGCUUGCUUAUGGUCCUCGCUCGGUGCACCCAAUGCUUCGUGGUCGUCGCAGGGAUGGACACGCGGACCACGUGGAUGAUAUAGGCGAAUGCAGACAUAGCUUUCUCGAGAAUAUAGGAUGUGAAACGAGUUGUAUAUCUCGAUUACUGCAGUAAGGAUUAGGACUAUCUCGACCUUACCUGGAUCGCAUCGACGGAUGUUCCUAAUUAAUUAAUCACAGAUAGAAAUUAAAUGUGAUGCCUAGACGGAUCUGCAUGCCACUUCUCCUGUCAGCUAGGGACGAUGCAGCAGAUGAAUUAUUGGAGCAGCUCAAGAAACGCCUUAACACUACACCACAACACUAAAAUAGCAUCAGACGUGUGUUGCUAAAUAUUAAAAUUGUCGUUGAACGGUCCGUUGCUAAACAUAUCCCUCGGAUCCUCCGUUGCUAAAAUUCAAUACUUAGAUGGAUAAUCCGUUGCUACAAGUAGUUUACUUUUGCGUUAGAUCGUCCGUCGCUAUAUAUCAGUAAUUGAUUCCGAUCGUCCGUUGCUAAAUAAAUUAUCCAUUGGCGCAUAGUUUUCGGCCCAUUCCCACAAAAAUUUUGGCCAGAUAGAAACCCUAGUUUUCACACACCAACCACACGAAAAACAUCCACACAUCUCUCCCUGCUCCCGCUGCCCCUUCCCACGCCGCCUCCCUGCUCCCAUGUUGGUUUCGUUCGUACGGCGCUGCACAGGCCGCCGCAUCGAGCCAUUAGGCAGCCGCCCGCCCCGGCCCCUACCCUUGUCGGCCGCCCGCGCCCUACCACGCCCCUGCUCCUGCCCUCGCCGCCCGCCGACCAAUCUCCAUCACUGAAGGUCGCCGGUGCACUAGACGUCUGCAUCAGGUGCCGGCCACCGGACUACCAGGUGCCCCAGCCAGUGCUCCAGCCAACAGUUCGCCUAGGUGCUGGCCGCCUGAGCACCAGACAUACUUGCUCCCAUCGUGUGCCCACACUAGCAUGGUCCUCUGCAGCUGGUCAUCCCAAAUCUUCUAAAGGUAUGUGCUUUAUCUGAAAUAGAUGCAAAUACAGGCAAUGGAUGGCACGUAUAGCAUUGGAUUUGCAGGAUCUAUUUUUGGUUCUUGAGUCCGUCCAUUUUUUGGAUGGGGGAAUUGUUUGUAGCCUCAAACUUGCUUGUUGUAUUGGUUGUUUCACCUCAAACUUGCAAGGUAAGAGGAUAUGGUCAAUAGAUCUGUAAUCUGCAAGGCAUUAGAUAAUGAAAAUAUUGAUCCAAAUAACAGAAGAUUUGGGAUGAUGUCUCACCCAUGUAUGGAUUUCACCAUCGAUGGAUGCUUCUGCCUUCUAGUCGCCGCAUCAAAAUAUCGCCGGGCCUAAUGAUCAACAGCUACGCUAUUGAAUCUGACUAAACCAGCAAAAUUGUCGUCGUUGCCGCACGUUCAUCUGUGUUACCAAAAAAGAAUCAAUAUAAUGGGAAAAAGGAUUUUGCAUUUAGAUGCUAGUACCUUCCAACAAAAUUGCCCAAUGAUGUGGUCGACCGGCGGCCGGCCGCAUGCCAGUUCCUCGAGGGAUGGCCAAGAUGAGAUGGGAAAUGACGCAGGCCGGGGAUGGCCAAGAUGAGAUGGGAAACGACGCAAUGGGGCGGAUGGAUGAUUAUAUAUAAGAAGAAAGAAGAAACGUAAAAUUAGGAUCAACAGUUCUUAACGGGUUUCCUAUAUAUGCCCGGUAUCCAUUUGGCCGGAUGGCUUGAAAGGAGCGUCGGGUGAGGGCGGCAUACUCUACGUGGGUUUAGAAGGAGGGAGUAGUUACUCUCAGAGAGUAGGAAAAAUUUACCCUAUAUAUAUAUAUAUAUAUAUAUACUCCCUAGGAGUAGUUACUCCUUUCUAAUAACCAUGCACUGCCCACGCUGGCACUCUUAGCGGGUUGUGAACGAGUAAACCCAAUAACAUGUAUACAAUCCACGCGCGCGUAUACCCAUAUUCCACCAAAUAAAUGAUUUUUUAAUCAUUAUUUCUCCGCUCGACUCGCUAGAUGAUAGGUCCGACUUCCGUUCGAAUUCAUUCCUCUCCGUGACAUGUGCUUCCAGAGGCCAACCGUAUCUGGAGACGGCGAUUCCUCUCGAGCGGUGGCGGCGCUUCCACCCAGCGUCGGUGCUCACCCCACGGCCUCUUCCUUGAGUGUUGGCUGGCCUCGCGUGGCCGAGGGGCCUGGUCGCGGCAGUCUCUGACCCGUUCCACCGCACCAGCGGCACCCUACCCCGUUCCACGGUGGCGUCGAACCCUACCCUGUUCCCCCACGACGGCGCACGACACGAUGUACCGGCUGACCGUUUCUCCAACGACGACGAUGCCAUCUCUAGCUAGUUCUUCAGCAGCCAUGGAUCUUGUGUGGAGUGGCGUUCGGUGGAGGGCGAGCGAGAUCUGCAGCAUCACCGGCCUCACCGUCGAUGUUCCAGAUCGUUGUUGCAGUCUAGUAUGUUAAGCACACCUCCUCCUGUAAAGAUGGGAUUCAUAUUCUAGCAUUAAUUUGGGAACAGCCGCACCUCUCAUCGGCGAGAACGCCGAGCAGACGUUUGGCGGCGGCCGCACGGGCGCGUACGCCUCUACACCUCUGCCUUGCAUAUAUACUCAUAUCUUGAUUCUAUUUAUCUGAUCUUAAUACAAAUCACCAUCACGCAGUGCAGCGCCUCUCUUUCCUUAGGUUUCAUCGCCGGAGUAUGUUGCACAACAUUGUGACUGGCCGGAGACGAGUUGAAGCCAAGCAACCACAAGAUGGAGACUAUGCAUGGCAGCAAUUAGUCAGAGAACAAGACUAUGAAAAUUCCCUCUCAGCGGCAAGCAAAAUUGGGAACAAAUAAGGUGUACUAACAAAAGUAUGCACGAAUACUCUAUUUUGAAAAUUAUGUACCGAUACUCCAUUCUGAAAAUUAUGUACAUAUGUACGUAUACCACAUUCUGAGAAGUAUGUAUGUUGCACUCCGAAAAAAUGUACAUAUACUCCAUUCUUAAAAGUACGUACAUAUACUCCAUUCUUAAAAGUACGUACAUAUACUCCAUACUAACAUAUAUACUUCAGUUAAAAAAAGUAUACUCAUACUAUAAAUGAGGCACUUCUAUAGGCAUACUAGUUUUUUUUAUUAAAGUACACACAAUGACACAAGUAUACACGCUCCUUCCAUUGGUAUAUCGACAUACUCUAAUAAAAAGGUAUGAACGCAUACUACCUAGUAUGUAAGUACACAUACUAUAUUUGUCUUAGUGUAUAUGAACAUACUCUCUAAGAAAAAGUACGUUCACAUAUGACUUUCGAUCUAGAGUCCUGAAGCCGUAAGUAUGAAACGUGCAAACGUACCUACGUAUACAACAAACCCAGCGUCAAUCUGAUCCGAUUUUAUCUAGACAUCCAGAAAAUACAAAUACAUAUGUUGUACAUCCACCGCAAGUCUAAAUGGGUCACGUUUCCCGACCCGUUAAGCAUCGUGUGAAUUGCCGGAAGCUCCCUGGUGCCUAUACUCUCGGUGGGAGUAAUUACUCCCGGGAGUAUAAAACAUGCACACCAACUAAUAAUCAUCACUGGCCUCUUUAAUCGAGAAUUGGAGAUCUAAAUCUUUUAACAUAUUGUAUUACUGUGCCAAAGAAGUUUGUGUACUCACUAAAAUAACCUAAUAUCAGAAACGCCCUUCAUCAUCACCAAUGAGGAAAGUUCUAAUUCAUCCAAAAUUGAAACAAUAAACAACAACAUAAAGGUAUUUCUUUCACCAGCAAGUGCGGACACAUUUGCUCAAUGACACCACUCGUCCACUCCAUCCAAGGAAGUAGAAAUCCAAGAACGCGAGACCUGUACCUAGCAGGGUCGAAUCCCAUGUGGAGGGUGAGUCGUAGCUCGUUGACGCUUUACCAUGGAGAGCUUCUUGUUUACCGUCAUGGCUGACAUACCCAACAAUGGAGCAGAGCCCCUGGAGAGCGUUGUGGUAGGCAGCGAAGUUGCGGAGGAUCUGAUGCUUUCUAUAGAGAUAGAAGGGGCUGCGGGACUUUGGCUGGUUCAGGUGGUUGGUUUGGGUAGGGUUUAGAGUGGGGAGUUGGGAGAAGGGAGCCCGAGAGCAAGUUCGCUGCCGCCAUUGCUAGGCUGGCUGUGGCUCAUGACAACGACGUUGACGGUGAGGGCAAGCGCUCCUGGGUGCGGGAUGGCUGAGGGCAGCGGCAAGCUGCCGGCGUCAGUGGGGAGGGCUGGGAGGCAGCAGGGCAUGUCGUGGAGGAGGCAUGGCGGCAUCGGCGUGGAUGUGGUGCCAGAUGCUACGGCGGCACAGGUCCUGUAGGUGGUGGUGCGUCUAGCGGCAUCGGGGCAGCGGAGCAGCUCCGGGAGCCGGCGCGUCCGGUGGGCGGAGCAGCUCCAGGAGCGAGCUGUGGGCGGCGCUAUGGUGCGGGCGAUGUGUUGCGACGGCGAGGGAGCAACGGGAGUUGCUGUGAAUGGUAUGUGCCUGGCGCACGGUGGCAAGGAGGGAGUGGCGUGAGCUUGAAGGCGAUAGGGAGGGGAGCUGGAUCUGGAUUGAGAUCAGGGAUUGCGGGAGGGGAGGGAGUGCAGCGUCGCUGGGGAUUGCAGGAGCGAGGGAGUGCGGCGUGACUAGGAUUGCGGGAGCGAGGGGAAGUCGGGUGGACGAUUGCUUUUCUCGUGUUUUAUUAUAGAAGAGAAUAGAGAAGUAUGCCGUGACGAUGCCGCACACGCUGUCGCCCCAUCGGCAGCCUCUCUGCGUGUGCGGUCGCUAGCUAGUAUGUUCUCAUCAUCUCUGCAUGUGCAUAUAUACAUAUCCACGCACCGUCGUCUGAUAUCCGCGCGAGAGUCAAGAAAGCGCAGAGGCAUGCAACCUAUGUUUUAAAUAGCAAGUUAAGAUGUUUAGUGGUUCAUGUCUAAAACAGCUAAUAGCGGAGCUAAAUCGGGCUAUAGCGGAAUAUAGCGGCUAAAUUGUACAUGAACACAAAUAGCGGCACUCUGCCUCAAAAUGCUAUAGCUGGCUAUAGCGGCAGCUAUAGCGGGAUAUUUAAAACUAUGCAUGCAACAGGGGGCUGCUAGUGUCCACCGAAACAUCGGGAUUCUUCGCAUCCGAACGACCAGAAAUAUCUUUUAUGUUUUUUCUGUUCUUCAUUUUUAUUUAUAUUUCUUUUUUUCGGUUUUAUGUGACUUUUUGUUAUCCGUUUCUUUUUAUUUUUUAUAUUUCUUUUAUUUCUUAUUUCUUUUUUCUUUUAUUUGCUUUUAUGUUUUCUUUUUAAUAAUGUAUUUAGUGAUUUUCUAUAGUGUAUUUAGUGAUGUUGACUAAAUAUAUAUGCAAUGCUCUAUAAUGUAUAUACUGAUGUUCUAAGAUAUAUUUAGUGAUGUUCACUUAGUACACAUGUGUUGUUUUAUAGUAUAUUUGAGAAUGUUUCAAAAGUAUACACGUGAUAUUCUUUUAAAUAUUUUCUCUAUUACAUAUUUUAAUUUUUUUCCCUUAUACUUUGCUCUAGAUUUUAUUAUUUUUAUUUAUGUUAUGUAUUUUAUUUAUUUUUGUGUAUAUUAAAAUACCAAAUUCAUGAAUCUAAAACUAGAAUAUUGUUGUUCUAAACCAAGAACAUUUUUCUUACAAAUAUAGAACAUUAUUAUCUAACCUAGAACAUUGUCUCUACUCACUAAAAAAUGUUCUAUCUUUAUAAGAUAAAUGUUCAUUAAUAAAGUUUUGAAGAAUUUAUUAUAAGAAAUCUGAUGGUAUAAUCAAAAUUUAAUUUUAAUAUUUACUUUAGUAGUUAUCACUUUUUUAGUUGAUUCCGUAAGUUAGCUGACGUGUACUGUGCCACGAAACGAUACAGGCUGCCUGCGCGUGAAAAUUAUUGGCUACCGGCCUGAGUGCUGGCAUGUGGGCGGGAAAAGAUGUGAACGAGAAAAAAAUCAUCGGUGUCAGUAUACUGUCCGGCCGUCCCGACCGUGUGAGCCCCCACCCCCCGAAACAUUGGUUUGACAGAUUUUCACGCUCAACACGCACAAGCCAAGAGUAACACCCAACAUGUUUUGGCUCAGCGUGUGGGUGGAUACUUCUAGGCUGACCCACGCCCACCCCAUCCUAGGUCAGACUUGAGCUGACGCAAGCAAACAGUUUUCAACGGAUUUAAAAAAAUCAUAACUUUAUAGUAAUCAUUUUUCAAAUUAUAUUCUAAUUACACCAACGGUUUUGUUACUAUAAAUCCUUCAAAAUAAGAUCUCACACGGAUAUAUUUAGAUAAUAUUUUAUUAAUGAACAUUUAUCUUAUGAAGAUACAACAUUAUUAAGUAGAGAUGAUGUUCUAGGUUUAUAGAAAUAAUGUUCCAUCUUUAUUAAAAAAUAUUCUUAGUUUAUAAGAAUAAUAUUCUAGUUUAGAUUCAUGAUAAUAUGGUAUAAAAAUAAAUAUAGACAAAUAACAUAAAUAAAUAACAAUAAAAUUUAGUGUAAAGCAUAAGAGAAAACGUAAUAAAGAAAAAUUAAAAAGAAUAUAACAUGUAUACUUAUAAACGUCCUAAAGUAGACUAUAGAAUGUCACAUAUACUAAGUGAACAACACUAAAUACACCAUAAAAUACCACUAAAUGCAUUACAGAACAUCGUAUAUAUAUUAUGUGAACAUCACUAUAUACAUCAUAAAACAUCACAUGUAUAUUGUGUAAACAUAGAAAACAUAAUAGAACAUCACAUGUAUACUACACGAACAACACUAACCGUAGACACAACUAAAUAUAUCAUAGAACAUCACAUAUAUAGUAAGUGAACAUCACUAAAUAUACCGUAGAACAUCACGUAUAUAGUAAGUAAACACCACUAGAUACACCGUGGAACAUCAAAAAAACAUAGUAGAACACCACAUGUAUUCUAUAUGAACAUCACGAAAUACAUCGUAGAACAUCAUUAUAUACUACGUGAACAUCACAUGUACACAAGACGAACAUCACAAAAAAUAUCAUAGAACAACACAUCUAUACCACGUGGACAUAAAAACAUCAUAGAACAUUACAUUUAUAACACAUGAACAUCACAAAAAGUAUCAUAAAACAUCAAAUAUAUAUUACAUGAACGUCAUAAAAAACAUCACAGGACAUGACAUUAUAUACCACAUGAAUAUAAAAAAACAUCAUACAACAUAACUCUGUACUAUAUAAAAAUCUCAUGGAAUAUAGAAUACAAAAAGCUGAACAUAAAAAUUAAUCAAUUCUAGUAACAACAACAAUAAUAUAAAAGUCAACAAUAGCAAAGAAGAGAAAAUACACAUAAAACAUGAAUAACAAAUGAUAAAUGUAUAGCAAAAUAAGAAAUAAAUAUGUAUAUGAAAAAUAAAAUAAUUAAUUAGUGUAAAAUAACAAAAGAAAUACAAAAAGAAAAAGAAAUAUAAGAAAUAAAAAGAGAAACUAAUGUAACAACUUACUAGGAGUUAAUCAUGUAAAAAUUCUUCUAAAAAUACUGAACCCAGUCAUUGCAUAAAAGUUCAUACCACACAUGUGUCAUAGACAUAGAAAAAUAAAAUAUAAUAUAAAAAAGUAGAAGAUAAAGUGAAAAAAGGAAAUAGAAGUAAUAAAAAAAGGAAAGAAAAGAAAAAUAAAUAAAAGAAACAUACAAAGUAUAAAAGAAAGUGAAAAGAAUAAUAAGAAAUAUGUAAAAUAUAAAUAAUAAAAAAUAAAAAAGAAGCAUGAAAAUAAAAAAGAAUAGAAUAGAAAAGAAAAGAAAAAGAAAAUAAAAUGAAAAGGCUACAUCACUCGGCAAAGCCUGCGUUUACAAGAUUCUUCAUCACAUCGAAUCUUUAGACGCUUGCAUAAAGCGGAUAAAAAAUAAUUAAUUGCACAAUUUACCUGUAAAUCGCGAGAUGAAUCUUUUGAGCCUAAUUAGGCCAUGGUUGGACAAUGUUUGUCAAAUACAAACAAAAGUGUUAUAGUGUCAAACUUUAAAUUUUUUUUUGCAUCUAAACAAGACCUUAGAACCCCUACCAUUUUUUUGGAUCCACCACUCACUACUGGGAACUCCCCCUUUUCUAAGUGCCGGCAGUACUUGGCAAAGCCCACUCGGCAAAGAAGUAGUCGACAAAGGUAACGGGCGCCGUGAGUGCCGACAUGGUAGACACUCGACAAAGGUAUUUUUUUGAAAAUUAUUUGCCAAGUGCCGAUGUGGCAGAUACUUGGCAAAGGUUUUUUUUGAAAUUUUUUUUGCCGAGUGCCACGCGUGGGGCACUCGGCAAAAGUUUAGUCACUUUGCCGAGUGCCGACAAAGGCUACAUCACUCGGCAAAGCCUGCGUUUCCGGUAGUGACUGUUUAUAUCUCCAUAGUAAUCAAAUAAAAUAAAAUCCCCUACAAACAAUUCAUACUAUCAAAAAAAUGAUAUCUUAUCCAAAUGUAGCGAACUUGUAGUGAUUGUACAUUUCCAUGACUUUCUCAAGAAGCUAAGUAACGGCUACAAAAUAUGUCGCUUUCUAGUGAGCCAGCGCAGCACCAACGUACGUAACGCCAACGGUGAAAUGGACCUUGGACUUCGAUCGGUCCGGCCUCGCAUCAACCUCUGCUCCAUAUAAGCGCAGCGGGGUGCCAGCAGACUCUUUCAAACAACGACAAUACGACAUCCUAGCAAAGUAGCAAGGCCGGCGAUCGAUGGCAGCGUCUUCUUCCAACAGACAUCACCGUCCUCACCUUGUUGAUCAGGGGCUGCCUCCGGUGCAGCAGCUGCUACUGCUACCUACCGGUGUGGAGGACGAGACAAGGGAUUGGGCGGAGCUGCCGCUGGACGCGCUGCUGUCCGUGCUUCGCCGGCUGGAUGCCGUCGACGUCCUCAUGGGGCCAGGCCAUGUGUGCCGGCCCUGGCGCCGCGUCACGCAAGAGGAGCCCGACCUGUGGCGCAACAUCGACAUGCGCCACCAUGGCAAGCUAGCCAACGGCGUCGACCUCCAGCCAGCGGCGCGCGCUGCCGUGAGGCGCAGCUCGGGCCGGUGCGAGGCCUUCUGGGCUCAGAGCUUUGGCGUCGACCGUGACCAGUUCUUCUUCUUCCUUGCAGACGCGUGAGCAAAUUUUUCCUCUUCUUUCUUCUGAUGAAAUUUUAUAAUGAUACUAAACAAAUUAGCAACCGUGGAUGCUGCUGCAUAUAAAUAUGUUCUUUUUGCGAAGAUAUAAAUAUGUUACUCCGACAGUACGUCCGAUUGACCAGAGUAUAUACUUGAAUUUCUAGCCUUUAUGUAUAUGAAAUAUACCUGAGUUACUAUUGUUCCAUUUGUAGGAUCAUAAGCUUUAGGACCAGAAUACAUGAAGAACACAUAUUGAACAAACCUCGUUUGACGAAUUAGCCAUAGUCUUGCUGAAGUCCCGUGCAUGCUUGAUACAUGCGAGAUCUAGACGACAUAGAGCUUAAUUAGGUUGCCCUCACGGUGCAACAAUACAGCUGCCUGAUCAAUGGCUAUAUCUUAGGAUGGAUUCACUACGGGAAGCAGUGGCUUCCCCUAGUGUCAAAUGCACUUGGGAAAGGCUUAGUUGCACUCGGAGAAGCCUUCCCCGAGUGCAACACUCGGGGAAGAAUGUCCGGGGUAUCUCUUCACGGAAAAGGCGUCUUCUCCAAGAGCCAAAAAUCAUGCAGUCAGGGAAGGCUUUUCCGAGAGCCGUCCUAGCACUAGGGGAAGAGUUGACACCGUUGGUGGUAGCCGGCGCCAUUUACUUGUUUAAAAAAAAAUCUUCCCCAAGUGCAACACUCGGGGAAGACACCCUCUUCCCCGAGAGCCGCGGCCCAGGCACUCGGGGAAGAGACCCUCUUCCCCGAGAGCUGCAGCCCAAACACUAGGGGAAGACAGCCUCUUCUCCGAGAGCCACUUCCCAGGCACUCGGGGAAGGCACCUUCUUUCCCGAGAGCCAAGGCUUGUGCACUCGGGGAAGCCACUUUGAAAUUUCUUUUUUGCUUUUUCAUUUAAUCAACAAAGCAUAUAUGUAUAUGUAUAUAUAUAUAUAUAUAUAUAUAUAUAUAUAUAUAUAUAUAUAUAUAUAUAUAUAUAUAUAUAUAUAUAUAUAUAUAUAUAUCACAAUCCAAAAAUCAACAGCAAUAUAUCACAAACCACAUUUAUAUAUAUCACAAAUGACCAAAUUUAUACGAAAUUCAGAAUAUAUUACAAACCACACGUUCAAGAGUACAUAUUAUUCCAAGUUCACAAGUUCAAUAUAUAAAAAACAACUUCAAAGACAGCUCACGACGACCGUCCAGUGCGAUGUCGGCGAGGGUUGGGACGCCCCAGCUUGCGAUCCCGGCGACGGUCCAUGUGUGCAUAGCACGUCGUGCGAUCCUGGCGACCCUCCGACAUGGUUGGAUGCCGCCCCCGAUGCAUGCUAAAAAAAGAGAGAGCACUAGAUGUGAGUGACAAAUAAAAAUAUAAAGAGUAUAAAGAAAAAUUAAAAAUUUCUGCAGCUCCACAAGUUUACAUGCAAGGUAGGUAUUGUCUUUUGGUGAGAAAGCAACCAAGAGAAUCUGUUUACAUAUGCACAUUUCGGUCAUUAGCUGUUAUUUGCAGAGUGUGAACAACGCCAAAGCAUCUCAUGACCAUGAUCGCUCAAACAAAACACAUACCAGAGACCAUUAUUAUAGGAGUAAGAAACAUGGAAGGCACAACAUAUUAGCAUAUAUCCUAAAAUUGGACGUCCGGAGCAUGAGCAUAUGGACUGAACCAACCACUUCCGACAUACUCACCAAAGCACGUCGCGAACUUGAUGGGCUUCCUGCCAUGGCCUUCUUUGAUGACUUGCUUCUUAACCUUGUCAUGAAGCACCUCCAUGUCAGAGGAAACCACGGGUGGGGCGCUGCCAUCCUGGGGAGGUUCAGAAUGCACGAAAGAAGCCUCUUCCACUGGAACCUGAGAAUCAGAAAGCAGCAGAAGUCAAGAACCAGGGACUCUCCGUCUUGAAAUAGAUCCCGAAUUGCCACACUGCAAGGAGAGUCUGCAAUUCAGGAAAAAAAAGUGCAGUGCUACUGCGGCAGCGGUGGACUCCAAAUUGGCAAAGCCGCGGGUGGGAUCCGAAACUGCCUCGUUUGCUGUAAAGUACUAGCGCCCCCAACUUUGCUCUAAUCCCCCAAAUUAGCUGAAACAAACAAGCUGACUGCUAAUUUGUUAAGAUGCUUGUCCAUUUCACAAUCCACAUUCCACAGGCUGAAACAAACAGGGCCUGAAUUGCUAUGCUUAAAAAAAAAAGUUAUCGCGGGCACGGUGCUCACAUCAAGCUUCUCUUUCUUAGCAAUGGAGUCCCAGUCCUUUGCUGCGAUCCCUGUUAAGGUUAAGGUUGACCACCAUUCCCUUCUCCAGAGUCUCGGUCCAGAAGCAGGCAAGGUAAUUGCCAGAUUCCACCGUGGUAAAGGCAAACUGGCCAUGGCUAACCUUGUCGACGUGAUGCAGGACGUCUCCCAAAGGCGAUGUCACCUGCAGGAACAAAAACAAUCCAGGAAAAAAAACUGCAGUGACGACCACAUCAUUACGUUUUUUUUUCUCUCCUCUCAAGUGAUAGUCGAUCCAUCUGUUCUUGAUGGAGAAAUUUCAAUAUUUAGGACUCAAUUCGCAUGCCUCUCAAGAUUUAGGACUCAAUUCGUGUGCCUUUCAAAAAAUAGGACUAAAUAUGCGAAUUGCUUCAAGAUUUAGGAUUUCAGGUAUUUUUAGUUAUUUCUAUUUUUUCUGAAAUAUUUUCACCUCUCUCUGGAACCUAAAAUGACCAAAUUGCCCCUUGAAUCUAAAACAUAACGAUCUCUCUCCCUGUCUCGUUCCUUCGUACCUCUUCGGUCCGUCGCGGCCGCGACUCGCAGUCGCGUGAGGCGACGCUCCCGUCCUCCGAAUCUUCGCCGGUGCUUCACCGCCGGCCACGGCCUCCAGCCCUCCACCGCCGUCUGUCUCCGCUGCCCUCCCCUUCUUCCCCUGCGCUCCAGUCCGUCGCCCUCCCCAUCCGGUGCCCUUCCCUGCGCUCAAGCUGUAGCAGGCUAGGGUUUCGACUGGACCCUAAGAGGAGGCUCGGCGCCGCUCUCCAGUGGAGGAGGCCAUGAUCCCCUCUGAGAUCCCUCCAAUGUAAGGCACAAUCCCCGAUCCCUCUUUCAAUUUGCACUAUAUUUUAUAGUUCGUAGAUUUUGGGGGCACAAGCUUAUCAUGUGUCUCUUUUAUUUGUUUUGUUGGUACACGUAGAAUGAAUGCAGAAGCUGCGUUUAGGCUGUGUGUUCACUUUUCUGAGUUUACUGCAAAGCUUGAUGAUGGUUGCUGUGUUGAUGUGCCACAAAAUUAUGACGAAUGGACCGUGGAUUGUCGAUGUUAUACUUUAGACAUGCUAGAAAAGGAUUUGGCAGCUAGGAUAAAAUGGGGCAGUGCCCAGCAGCUAGUAGUAUCUGAGUUUGUCAUGAGUGGAGUUGGAGAAAGAAAACUGCAGAAUGAUACAGAUCUGUCACUUGCUUUCAUUGAAAGAAAGAAUGAAAGGAAGAUGCUUUUGGUUGUUAGUGUUGUCGACAAACCCAUAGAAAUCGAUUGGGACAGUCUGCAGAUUACUCCUCUAACUGUUAAUCAGAUUGGUGCACCUAUGCCUGUGAUUGAUGAGGAUACAAUUUAUGAGUUUCUUGGUCUUAGAGCAGAGGAUGAGAGAGUUGAGCAAGCUAGGGCAGUGGCUGCUGAAAAGGGAAAGCAAACUGCUCUUGAACCAGUUGAUGAGUUGGUGGUUGAUGAUCAUGUGCCUGGUGAGAACUCAGUGCUUUAUGAUAGAGAAAAUCCUCCUAUGAAAGAGGGAACCAUUUAUGCUAGUAUGUCUGAAUUCAGGGCUGCAUUGAAGCAUCAUGCUAUUGUGGAGAAGUUUGAAAUUGGAACUGAGAAAUCUUGUAAAAGUGUGUUUAGAGGAUACUGCAAAGCGGAUGAUUGUCCAUGGUCUAUUGUAGCAAGGUUGAUGCAUGACAAACAGCAAGUCAGGGUACUAACAUUGUUCUAACUUGUCUUCAUAUGCAACAUACUUACUUAAUGUAUCUGUUAGGACAUUUUUACUCCACAUGUUUACUUAUAUCUGUUUUAAAUUUUCAGAUUACAUUGAACAAAGAAGAACAUUUUUGUCCAUCUACUGGUAGAGUGAAAACGAAGAUGGCAUCAUACACAUGGAUAGCAGAGAAGGCAAUUCCUUUUCUAAAGAAGAAUCCUAGCAUGGGAUCAAAGGAACUGCAAAAGGAGUUAGAGGAAAAAUAUGAUGUGACACUUGGGUACUCAACUGUACAUCUUGGUCAUGAGGUUGCAUCAAAAAAACUUUUUGGUACAUGGGAAGAAAGUUUUGGAUAUCUGUUCAACUUCAAGGCAGAGAUUGAGCUCAGAAUGCCAGGAAGUGUUGUAGAGAUAGAUGUAAUCAAUCAGGAAGAUGGUGUAUAUUUUCACAGAUUCUUUUGCUGCUUGAAACCUAGCAUUGAUGGAUUCCUAAAUGGUUGUAGGCCAUUUUUGAGUAUAGACUCCACAGCUCUCAAUGGUAGAUGGAAUGGCCACCUACCUUCAGCUACAGCACUAGAUGGUUGCAACUGGAUGUUUCCAGUUGCAUUUGGAUUUUUCUCAGGUGAGACUACCGAUAAUUGGACUUGGUUUAUGCAGCAACUGCAUAAGGCGAUUGGGAAUCUGCAACACCUAGCUAUAAUUUCAGAUGCUUGCAAGGGCCUAGAGAAUGCCAUAAAGACAGUUUACCCUUGGGCUGAGCAUAGAGAAUGUUUUGUCCAUCUGAUGAAAAAUUUCAGCAAGCGUUUUCAAGGGCCCGCUUUUGGGAGAAUGUAUCCUGCAGCUAGAACUUUCCAACCAGAUUACCAUGAGUAUCUCAUGAACAAGAUGUACGCAACCAAUAAACAAGUCGAGCCAUGGUUGAAAACCAAUCACAAGUUAAAGUGGAUGAGGAGCAAAUUCUCAGAACAUAUAAAGUGUGAUGCUAUUACAAGCAAUGUGGCUGAGGUUUGGAACAACUGGGUAAAGGAUAUUAAGGACCUUCCUCCAGCUAGCCUUGCUGACUCCCUUAGGUCCAAGUUUAUGGAACUAUAUGCAAGGAGGAGAAGAAUAGGUGAGAAAUUCGAAGGCCAUAUAAUGCUUCCAGUCGUGGUUCGCCAACUAUAUGCGCUGAGUAGGGAGUUGGCCCACCUGAAAGUCAAAGAAGGUGGAAGGGAAGAAGCUGAGGUGACAGAGGUUACUGAUUCACAGAAGAUCAUAAGACAUGUGGUCAAUAUUAGAAACCACAUAUGCACGUGCAGGGAGUGGCAAGUCUCAGGAAAACCAUGCCCACACGCUAUGGCACUCAUCACCACAUGUAGAAAUCCUAAGAUGGAAGAGUACUUGCAUCCUUACUUUUCAGUUUACCAUUUUAGGCUAGCCUAUGGUGGUGUGAUUAGACCACUACCUGAUAUGUCCCAAUGGGCACGUGUGAAUCUUGGAUUCAAAGUGUUACCGCCUCUCGAAAAGAGGGAGCCUGGUAGACAAAGAAAACUCAGAAUUCCUAGCUGCAUUGAAAAUAAGGGCAAUAAACCUAGGGGCAAAGGCAAGUGGCAAGUGACAUGCAAAAAAUGCGGAGGUCUUGGCCAUAGGUCGUCAUCUCCAAAGUGCCCGAUGAAUGGAACAAAGAAAAGGUAAAAUGCCACUUGUUUUGCUUCAUUAAAAUAUUACAUUUUAUUAACAGCUCCACAAUUUUAGGAAAAGCCGAGCUAAAAAGGGGAAGGCUGGGAGGCCUCCAGGCUCUAGCAAAAGGCAGAAAGUUGCUGAGCAAGGAAGUCCAGAGAACAACAGUCCUGUGACAGCAAGGUAAAGUAAAUAACAUGAUUUGUACACUUCUCCUCUAUAUAACAACAUUAACCAUUUUCUUUAUUUUUAGUCAAUUCUCAUCGGCCAUAGUAGAGCUAGAAGGCACAAGUCAAAUCAACACUUCUCCUGGUCCUGUGACAAGAAGGUACCUCUAUGAACUGUAUGAAAGACUUGAGCUGUACAUUUUUAGUUUUUAUGAACACUCAACCAGCUAGAAAUUUCCUUCUAUUUUUAGGCAAUCACUUUUAGCAAUGGUGGAGGUAGGAGGGUCAAACCAAAUCACUACAAGUUUUGGACCUGUAACAACAAGGUAAAAAGAACUACUCAAUUGAGCAUGCAUAUACUCAACUCUGUUCAUGUACUGAAGCAUCCCUCUCCUAUGUUCCCAUGUAUUCAGCCAAACCGGAGAAGAGGCACUAAAUAUUGUUACCACUCCCACCAAGUCUCCAGCAAGGCGUCGGAUAGGACUUAAGAAAAAGCUCACUCCAAGGAAGGGAAGAAAUAGUGCUACCUGAUCAAUUGAAGAAUAAUUAUAUAGCCUCUUUUGUGUUCUAAGUUCAAAGAAAAACUUUAUUCACCUGAAGGUUCUUUUGGCUCUGUUGACUGUAUGAUUGUAUGGUUGUAAGUUUCCAGGAGACGAUGGUUCUUUUGUGUUGCCCAGGAAAACUUGUAUGCACCAGGAUGCUUCUUUUGGUUUUGUGUGGUUUUUAGUUCCUAGAAAACCUGUGUGCCUUUAGUAUGGUUUGCUUAUAAUGACUGCUUUAUUUUUAUGAAUAUAUAAGCAUAUGUGCAUCUCGUUUAUAUUAUGGUGUGCUGGCUUUGCUUUGUGCCAAAAUGUACAUUUUUUUCUACCAAGGGUUUAGUAUAGUACCCAGGAAACCAAAUCACCUGCCUCUAUGUGGCUGGGUUCCUGGUGCCAAGGCUUCAGUUUUUUUUAAUGCUGCAGCGAUCAGCAGCCCAUCAUCCAGCGCACAGAACUGAUCUAAAUGAGGCAGGGGUACUUUGGUCCAUUUAGGAGGACAGAGAGACAUGCAAACAUUUCAUGAAAGGGAAAAGAUGGAAAAAAGGCCAAAAUCCUAAAUCUUGAAGCAAUUCGUAUGUUUAGUCUUAUUUUUUGAAAGGCACACGAAUUGAGUCCUAAAUCUUGAGAGGCAUGCGAAUUGAGUCCUAAAUAUUGAAAUUUCUCUUCUUGAUGUCUGUUCAGUCCAAUAAACAGGAGCUGUGACAAACAAAGCGAGAUGGUACCAGGUACGCAUCCUAUUCGUGCUGGAAUUGGCAUCGGUGAUCUUUUCCAAUCCAUGUAACUUCGCUCACAUCAAGCCAAAUUCCCAACAGAAAGUAAGAACAAUUCAACAGCACCCGAUUCACUGGGCACCAGCAUGCAGCCACGCGUGGGUGCGAGGGGUGGGGGGCUCACCAGCGGCGGGAUCUGCAGACGGCGCCGCGUCUUCUUCGACGACAGCCAUGGGAUGCGGGUGGGGAGAGCAGAGCGCGGACGGCCGGCAGAGACUUCUAGACUGCGGCGCGGCGGGUCGGAUAGUGAACUUGGUCGGGGUCGAGGCGGCGCGCGGCGCAGGGUCGGGGCCGGCUGCUGCGCGCGGGGCUGGGCUGGACGCGGCGCGCGGCGCGGGGUCAGGGCGGCGCAGGGUCGGGGCAAGGGUGGCGCGCGUGGAGACAGAGAGCUGCGUGGAGAGGAUGGGGAUAGGGUUAGACGGUUUUUGGGCCACAUUAGUUAUUUGGUCCCCGAGUGCUGUGAGCUUUGCACUCGGGAAGAGUACCUUCUUCGAAAGUUACAAAAGACACUCGGGAAAUUUUUUUUUUGUUUUUGUUUUUUUGUCUUUUUUUUUUUGAGGUCUUCCCAAAUUACUUUAAACUUCUUGUUCAAAUUUGGGGAUAUUUAAACUUUUUUUAUAUAUUUUAUUAGUUUUUUUCGUUUCAUUGAUUUUUUUGCAAACUUCAAAUUUGAACUGUAGGUGCAUUAAAUAAUGAAAUAUCUUUAUUCAAAAAAUUAUAUUCACGAUAUUUGGUGUAUGUUAAGGCCGUACCCAGAAGCUCAAAUGAAAUGUGAAACAUCUUGUUGUCGUAACAUGAGAUACAACUUGCGGAAAAAAUGUUUUUAAAUUAUAUAAAAUCCUUAAAAAGUCUGAAAAUAAAGAAACUUGUCUGGACGUCAUGUUAUCGCAUGUAGAGGCUAUGAUAAAAAUUUGAAAAGGUUUUGAACAAGUUGUAACAUCGGAUGUUUAAAACCUAGACAUCUCCGUAUAUGAUCAUAAGUGAUCACAUGUAAAGAUGUCUAGGUUUUAGACAUCCAACAUCACGCCUUGUUCCAAACCUUCUCAAUUUUUUAUCAUAGCCUCUACAUGUGAUAAAAUGACGCCUAGACAAGUUUCUUGAUUUUUAGACUUUUUAAGGAUUUUAUAUAAUUUAAAAACAUUUUUUCCGCAAGUUGUUUCUAAUGUUACGGCAGGUAGAUGUUUCAUAUUUCAUUGAGCUUGUGGAUAUGGUCUUAAAAUACACCAAAUAUCAUGAAUAUCAUUUUUUGAAUAAAGAAAUUCUAUUAUUUAAUGCACCUGCAGUUCAAAUUUGAAGUUUGCAAAAAAAAAAUCAAUGAAACGAAAAAACAAAUGAAAUAUACUUAAAGAAGUUUAAAUAUCUCCAAAUUUAAACAAGAAGUUUGAAAUAAUGUGGGAAGGCAUCAGAAAAAAUGGGGCAAAAAAAAACUAAAAAAAGAAAAAACUUCCCCGAGUGCCUUUCUUAGCUCUCGGGGAAGGGCCUCUUCCCCGAGUGCCUGGACCGCAGCACUCGGGGAAGCCAGUAUUUUCCCCGAGUGCCACGCUUUAGCACUCGGGAAAGGGCGCCUUCCCCGAGAGUUUUUUUUGCGUUCGGGGAAGAAUUUUUUUCAUUUUAAACUCCAACGGCGCCGUCGGUCUGGGACGUCAAGAAACACUUUUCUUCCCCGAGUGCGUCUCUUCCCCGAUUGUUGCGCUCGGGGAAGAGGACUUUUUUCGAGUGUCAUUCUUCCCCGAGUGCCAGGUAGGCUACGGCACUCGGGGAAGCCUCUUCCCCGAGUGCAAUUCUUCCCCGAGAGCAACACUCGGGGAAGACUGGCUUGCCCGAGUGUUCGAUUUUUGGCUCUCGGGGAAGCCUUUGACACUCGGGGAAUUUCCAUUCUCCCGUAGUGAUUGACAGGACCAUGGGAGUUUCUCUUCUUUUAUACCGGCUAUUGCACACUAGGGAACAUACGUUUAGGAUGGCUUUGGGUUGGUCCUUAUUAGGCGAACAGGCUUAGGCCCGGAUCAAGGCACACCUGAGCUCCUCCAUGGCUUGGACAACAAGCCAUAUGACUCCUUUGCCAGCAAUUCACACACUUAGCUUGUUAAUCAAACCACAUCUCAAUAAAACAAUAUAUACCUAGACACUAGAUCAGAAUAGUCAAUUAAGUGCAAUCGAACCCUAAUCACUAUAGUAUAUCAUUUCAUUUAAAAAUAAGAGUAUUGAUAUAAAUAUAGAGAGUAUUUACAUGAUUGUCCCACUUUAACUCAAGAAUAUGAGGCUCUCUACCAGACCCAUGCUGGCAACAGGUGUAUUGAAAACAAUAGGUAGUGGGCCUUUAGUUCCGCCAACAUCAACCUUGUGUAUAUAUUUGACAUCAAUAUAUUGGUACGAUCAUGGAUUCUAUAUUUCACAAUACGAUAAUUAUUGUCAAUGUGUUUGGCAGCACCAAUUGACAUCUUAAUACUUGGAUAGGUAACCUUCUAUUGAUUAUCGCAGAUGUGAGUUAGAUAUGCUGUCGACCACUCAUAACCCUACGACAAAAUUCAUUAGCCAUAUUGCCUAGCCAACAGCCUUGUAACAUGCCACAAAUUCUCCCAACAUUGUCAAUGAUGCAGUAGCACUUGCUUUGAGCUUUUCCUUAAAAUAGCUCCUCUAGCGAGGAUGAAGAUAUAUAUAAAAUGAUAUCUAGAUCUCUUAGUAUCCAUACAACCCGCAAAAUCAACAUUUGAAUAACCUACAAAGCGAGUGCAUACACGAGCAUACAUAAUGUUAUCAAUAGCUCAAGCAUAUGGAACAACACCUGAAUCCAAUAUAUGCUUAUAUGGAAAUCUCCACACGUGGAAAGAGUCUGCAUACGCAUACCAUCACUUUUACACUGUCGUCCUCGCUUCGUGUUAAAUGGUUAACCAAGAGGUACUAUGUUUGAAACAACAAAAGUUAUAAGUUGCUCUUCAUCGUGAUAAACUUAAAAGGUCAUACUAUCUACCUACUACAACUUUUCAUGGGCCAUAUGGGCCAACAAUACAAUUACUACAACCUUAUAACGGGUUGUGGUCUUACAUUUAACCACCCAUAAGGGCUGAUGCCCUUAGUAGCUCACUGCAUAUCCAGUGGAUGCUUAAAACAACCCCUUGGUACACCCAUCCAUGGACACAUGCAACAAGAGUCGAUACUCUGAAUAACACCACUAACACCCCGCAUCUAUUUAUAUGACCAAACUCCACACGUGGAACAGGUGUCUUAUUUUCACAAAUUCAGAAUAAUUCACUUAUAAAUAGAAAAUAUGAAAGCAACAUCAGUUUUUUCAAUGAGAUUUGGAGUUAUUUAUUAGACCUUAUUUGUACUUGUUCAUAGUGUUCUAUUGCGCAUAGAUGUGCUUGAUAUUUCUUCAAAUCAUCGUUUUGUGCUAUAUUAAACUUAGAUGUUGACAAGAGAAUCCAUAGUCCAAAUAGAGUAUCAAAUAUAUUGCAGUCAAAUUAAUCAAAUUAGUUUUUGAGGGCUAGCGAAGUCAUUCUAAUUGGAAUGCUAUAUAUAUAUACCUACAAGAUCGGUUUCAUUUUGCAGAUCUUUUGUACGUUUCAUGUGUUCUCAAGACCCUUGUGGUCAAUUUCAGAUGUAAAACAAUGUAAAAUGUUCUAUUUAUUAUUAAAAUAAGUAAUGAAUAUGACUAUGAUCAUUAAACACGAGUAUAAAUUGAUUACAUUUUAAGAAAAUUAUUACUGACUUCACAUCAUAUGAUUUUAAAUGAAUUAUUUAUCAAUAUUUAGAACUAAACUACUAGUUAUUAUUAUUAUAUUAGAAAACAUAACAUCACCUUAACCAACUAGCAGUUGCUAAACUUGUCAGGUAUUAGAGAAUUAGUGAUUCAUUGGUAAUUUUCUUUUCAGAUUGUAAAGUUACAAUAACUAGUAGAGAAAUAACCUUCGGUCCUCACCUUUAUUUCCAAUCAUGUUGGAGCCACAACUAAUGUGAGCAUUAGUUCCGGAUCUAAAUUUCACGGGCACUAGAGGCCCUUUUGUCCUCCUAAAAGUCACCCUUUAGAGGUCCCCCACCCAUACUUGAUCAUAUAUGUUGUGAGGAAGCUACACCUGUGACGAUAAAGUCCACGAUUCAAAUCCCACGCACCGCAAGAGGUUCCCAAGAUUUACUGGCCCGUGGGCUGUAUAUCCACCACAUGGAUUACUAUUGCUAGUGGUGAUGUAUAUUUCAGUGACAUUCUGCUAAUAUGUCACAAAAAGUUCAUCUUGGAUUGGAUUAAGUGGUUUGUUAUAUGUGUGCCUUUAGUCCCGAAUCUGGUGUCUUAGUUGGGAAAUCAAGACUGGAACUAAAGCCCAUUCAUGACUGAGAUUAAAGCCCAUUCCUCUAGUAGUGAAUAUAUGCGUGACAAAAAGGAACUCAAGCAAAGUUAUAUGGUGGACUUCGCCCUAGGUAGAGACCAUGAAAGAAGGUGUUUCUUGUUAAGUAGUCAAGGUUUUAGUAAAGAAAUGUAUUUCGUUUUUGGAUAAACUUAGGACCACCCUACUUCUUCUAGUGUUUUUAAGUAAUAAUGAAAUACUACCACUGGUCAUAGUAUAUGAGAAUCUCACUAGGAGACAUUUAAGGGGUGUUUGGGACUGCUUCACUCCAGUUUUUGCAGCUCUGCUCCACGAACUCCAUCAUGGAGCAGCUUCAUCGUGGAGUUUGUGGAGCACGAGGUACUGUUUGGCACGUAGCUCUGCUCCAGCUCCAGGAAUGGGUUGGUUCCAUGCAAAUGGUCCAUUAUGUCACUGAUUGAAAUUGUUCUUGAUAUUUUUUGAUCAAAAUAGAAAUCAAAUGAUGGAGCAUUAAUAAAGGUCAUAAUUAAAAUACAAGUGCACAGGUGAAGAGACAAGGGGCGGCGUGCACAAGAAAAAAUGAGGUCGCGACGUCGGGAGGUGAAGCAUUUACGAGAAUUAAUCUGUGUUUAAUGAGUGGCAAGAUGGGUAAUUACCUUAUAACUCUAUGUGGGAGUACCAAACUCUAAAAACUACAGUACCCCUACUCGAGGAAAACAUAGAGCUGACAUCUUGCUCCACCUUUUUUGCGGAGCGGAGUUUGUGGAGCUAGACGUAUUUGACCACAUGGAGCGGAAAAACUGGAGCGGAGCAAUUCCAAACAUCCCCUUAGUAGAAAAAAAAUUAUACUAAAAUUUGAAUGUAAAACACCUUGACUACUUUGAAUGCUAAAACACCUCACUACAAGAAGUAUUCGCCUUAUCCAUGUACUGCUCCCGUGCAGGGCUCCGCAACUGAAGAGUCUUCGGCUUAUCUCGUGCGAGAGCAUCUCCAAGCAGGGCCUCAACUUACCAAUAAGGAAGUUCCACAUGCUUGAGGAGCUGGAACUGUCACUCCACUCAGGCGUCGUCACCACAUCCAGCUUCUUCAGCCUCGCUGAGACCUGCAACGCAGCGGCCGAGGCCUGCCCGCUCCUGAAGCGCUUCCGGCUGAACAAAUACUGCUUCCACUGGCGGUCCGGCAUCGGCGACAGCGAAGCCACGGAGAUCGGGAAGAUGCGCGGCCUCCAGUUCCUGCAACUCUUCGGCAACAGCCUUGGCAACGACGGCCUCACGACAAUCCUCCGUGGCUGCGUGCGUCUCGAGUCUCUCGACGUCCGCCAUUGCUUCAACGUCGAGAUCAACGAUCAGGUGCGAGCGGAGUGUGCCAGGCUGCAAACGCUGAGGCUACCGGACGACUCUGUUGACGACUACGACCUCAGUUUCGGCAGUCCUGAACGAGGGAUCCCAGAUUUUUAUAGGAACGUCGGUGAUCCUGAUGAUGAUCCGGAUCCGACGGGUAAUCCCGGAUCAUGGUGGUACUUCCGCUAAUCCGCACGAUUCAAUCAGGAGAUUAUAUAUACAUAUCCACCGUUACACCACUGUCCACUGCUCCUAUGCAGGAAGAUAGUGGACAAAAGCAUUAUUACAAGUUCGUGUUAAAAAUACACAUGGCUGAUAGAGAAUAAUUAUACUUAUGCUGUCAGUUACUGUUUGUUUUCAGACAUACUAGACGUUAUCGCUACUCUGUAAACUUAUCAGUUAUACUCUAUUUUAUAUUUGCAUUUAAUUUAUAUUUUUUGCUCACAUGUAUAUAUCACGUCUGUGUGUCCAUAAUAUAUAUUUAGGGCUCCUUCAUUUCGAACUAUAUAAAGCCAGGAUUCUUUCUAGCUGAUGGAAUCUUAUACAAAUAUAAACUAUCCAGCCGGAACGGGAGGUCAAUCCCUCACGAAGCGAACGGGGCCUUAGUUGAAUUCCUUAACUUAAACUAUGGUGUCUUUUGUUACAACUAAUAUCCUCAUCACAUCAUAAAUCUACACUACGUGAAAAAAGCACUAAGAGAACGCCACCCUCUCUACUGUAGGGGUGGCUGGCUUUGGAGCCGCCCUUACAGUGGCUCGGGUGGGUCUCAACAGGUUACCCGUCCUUACAGUGGCCACUGUAAGGGCGGCUAGUGUUAUCAGCUGCUCUUACAGUGGUAGGUCACAGUAAGGGCGGCUGGAUCACUGGCCGCUCUUAGAGUGGACUACUGUAGGGGCGACUCAAUCACCAGCCGCCCCUACAGUGGUUUUAGACAAAAUUGGUCAAAUGAGAUACUAAAUGACUUCAAAUGAAAAUUUUUUGAACAUUACGAUUGUAUAACUCAUCAAGAUCUACAUUUAUUAUAUAGUUUAUUUUUCUAUUUGAGAAAGUGUUAGUAAUAGUCAUAGGGUGGCUCAAUCACCAACCGUCCCUACACUGGUUUUGGACAAACUUGGUCAAAUGAGGCACUAAAUAACCUCAAAUGAAAAUAAUUUAACAUCAUCUUUUAUUCAAACAUCAUAUUUUAUACUUUAUUAAAAUAAUUACUUUAGUCCUUGAUUGUACUUUUCAUAUAGAGGAACUGCUAGAAUUAACAUAUACUUCCUCCGUCCCAAAAAGAGUGUCGUUUUAGAAUUCUAGACAUCUUGUUUGAUCAUCCGUCUUAUUCAAAAAUUUUACAUAAAUAUUAUAUAUUUUGUUAAGAUCUAUUUUAUCAUUAGAGAUACUUUACUAAUGAUUUAUUUAUUUUAUAAUUUACAUAAAAUUUUUAAAUAAGACGAACGAUCAAACACGAUUUCUAAAAGUCAAAAACGUCACUCUUUUUGGGACGUACGGAGUAUGUCUAAAGCUUGUAUGCCAUCGUCACAAGGACUUCCGGCCCGACACAUAUUUGAAACCAACAUUAUAAUUUAUUUACCCUGUCGGUUUUUGUCUUUUUCUAUCAGUGGCAGAAACUUGACAAAAAAAUAUAAUUAUUCUAUCGGGGAAAAUAUAAUUAUUUUGUUGGGCGUGCCAAACCGAUAGAGAACCUAGUUUCCAGUAGUGACAGAACCGUUCUUCCUAGAGUGUCUUUGAAACCCAAUCAUCCACGUAACAUAAUGAUAACAUUAUUCAUACACAUAAUCUCACUAAUCCUUAGGAGUAGUAGGCUUCAAACAUCACAUAUUUUUACAUAAAUUAGAUACAUCAGAGUAAGAGUAACAUGAAGUGAAUACAAAUUUUAAUCUAAUAGAAAACAGAGUUUCAAAGCAAAGAAACUAUGUACAAGUUCUCAAGUUUGAUAGUUAGGAUAUUACUACUAUAGACAAUUAAACAAGAACUUCAAAAAAUCAUAAGUCCAUAACAAGCCGACCAAUAUGGAGCCCAUGAACACAAGCAACUAUUUCAUACAUGGUGCUUCUUGUAAGUGACCUAGCGGCCACCUGUAAACCACUCUAGCAAGAUGUACAUUUAAGAGUUUUCUAGUGUGGUCUAACUUACUCUCAAUCCAAUAGAGUUAAGAAACCCAUAGAUAAUCCUACCAAUGAGUCCAUAACUAAUCUAGAAAUGUAAAUGUCACCCAAGGUAAGCACGAGCGGACGCAACAAAUGCAAUAAGAGGUCAUAAUAGAAAGGGAACACUUCUAGAGAUGUAACAUAUAUCUUGAGGUAUCAGUUGCCAAAUUGUAACCCCUUAGAUCAUGUUAUAGCUCGACAGAGGUACGCUCUCUGGCACUGAAGGGACCGUCACGCUUAAUAGAGGGGGGAAUUAGGCAACUUAAAAGUCUAACUUCUAACUAUGGCCUCUAUUUUCCAUAGUAAACUAUCUAAAUGUGCAACUACGGUUUUGUUAGGUGUGUUGUUAUCUCAACUGCAAAAGAUUUAUGCAACCUAGGUUCCAGUCCUAUCAACUAGCAUAUCAAGUAAGAUAGGAAAGGUAAAGCACACAACUAAAGCAACAAUGUAAAUAUGGAAGCUUAAGUGAGGUAGAGAUGCAAACUAUCGUUGAUGACUCUAGUAUUUUUACUGAGAUAUCAAGAAGGAUGAAAGCUUCUUACUAGUCCUCAUUGGAGCCCUUCGCAAGGAAGCCCUCACAAGGGCUAAGCUCUUAGUCGGGUAGCUCCAUAGAUAGCUCUGACCCUUCCCCAAGCACAAGUGGGUCUCUACAAACCUCUCCUGGAUGUGCCCCGCUGUCUCCACUAUCAAGCUUCUAGCCAAAAUGUCAUGGGCCUUGUUCCCUUCGGUACACAGUGGUGGCCACAUGACAAAUGCGUUUGAAAUGCGAUCGAUGUGGUUUCACAAGACUACAAGCCUUGCUGAGUACAAACACAAUAUAGGGAAGCACCUCUAUCUCUUUUCGGGUAUGCAAACCUCACUAACUACUAGGCCUAAACCUAGAGCAAGUGCAUAAGCGGUGGUCUAACUAGUCAAAGCACUUCACAAAGCACCUACACUAAUCACAGAAGGAUUUUUUAAGCUCUAUGCAUAAUAUAUGGAGAGCACCUAAGUGGUGUAGCAACACCUUAGUAUCUUUCCUCAACUCUUCCAAGUUUCAAAUGGAUGGUUGGGGCACACAUAUAUAAGCCCCCACUUGAAACUAGCCAUUGGAGGCUGAACUAUAUAGCCUCUACGAAUACACCAGACUAGUCUGAUACAUGCACACGAUAUACACCGGACUAGUCCACUGUGAUCACGUCAACUAGUUGUUAGGCUAGCCAUUGACGAUCUUUGGAGUACUGUUAUGCAUUCGGCCUAUACACAGAUCUUCUGUGCCUUCUAGCUAACUCGCUCUAAAUGCAACCUCUUUCUUCAAAUGGGAUGGUGCGCCGUCUGCUGCACCGGACUAGUCCAAAGUUUAAGUAUGGUUUGUGUCUAGUGUACACAUUGUUGUCCACUGUCCCUAGUUGCAAACUACCCUUCUCUGAGUGACACUGUUCACUUCUGGUGCAUCGCAAUUCAUUAUCCAGUGCUGCACUGCUGACUUGAAUUUCUUCAUUUUUUUUGCAUGUCUUUGUUUGGGCUUCAUCCAUCUCGUGUCUUGUACUUUGCUUGACCUUUGUAGGUCUUCAAAACAACUUCUAACCUCUUGCUUGAGGUGCUAAUCAUUCGGAUGACCACAUUGCCUAUGUCUAGGUCCACUUUGCAUCCUUUGAACUAUAUCUAAAAACACUAGCAAACAUUGUUAGUCCAAAUAGGCAUGUUGAACAUCAAACACCAAAAUCCAAACUAAAUGGUCCAAGGGUCCAUUUUCCUUAGUCUCUGUUGGAAUUUCUUAACAUCAUCACUAAGAAUUAGUAAUGCCGCCAGAAAUGUGUUAAUACCGCAGGUGACGGAUCUAUUAUUAUAUCAUUUCACGCAAAAAUAUUUCGGGUAUCAUUAUUUAUAUUUUCCAAAGGAAGGCAUAUUGGUAAAGUUGUAUGGAUAUGGACAAGUUAAUAUGCCAGUAAAGUGAACCAAGGUUUAAUAAAUUGGCAAAAAAGAUAGUUUUAGUGUAGUAGACACACACUUGAGCCAACCUCAAAGGACAAAAGAUAAGUAAAGAAUAAAAGCAUAUUCUAAGUAGAGUAGGCUUGUUCUAAUAUAGUCGUCUAAACAAUACUGAAUAAUCAUACAAGUUACAUAAUCAGAGUUAGAUCUGAGUGUGAGACAGGUAAGGAGGCCACCGAGUACUAGUUUGCCAGCAACCUCAUGUGACAAUUCAGACACCUACACCCUACCCAAAUGUGAGGGAUUACAACGGACGGACAAGGCUAUCACCACCUGCCGCCUACCUCUCAACUGUGGAGUAGGACAAUGCAUCCACCUGUUUCUAUGUACCCAAGCACCAUGGUUGCACUAGUACACAAAAUCUCUUCAACGAUGCCACCCUUUUACAUGGGAGGCAGUUCACAUAGCAUGCCACUUCUAUAGUGCCACGAGGCACCAAAGCUUGGUGACCACCUGUGAAGAUCCAUCUUCAGGGGCAGUUGUAUUAAGAAAACUAUCUUUGAUACACGUCCAUAUUCAGUGGUAGUUUAGUUAAGAACACCGCCUCUGAAGAUCCAUCUUCAGGGGUGAUUCAAUUAAGAACACCAUCUUUGAUACACUUCCAUUUUCAGCGGCAGUUUAUUGGGCUGCUAUUGAAGCAGAAUUUUUAGAGGAGGAUCUCUUUACAUAAUGGUCUCCAAACCUUUGAAAUUUGUAGAGAUAGUUUAGUUAAGGAGACUGCCCUACAAAGUAAUUUAUAAUGGUGGUUCUCUUUAAUCAAAUGCCUCUAAAAAUGCCCCUCCUAAAAAAUCAACCCGAUCUAAUCUAGUACAAAGUUAUUGCGUGAUUUUUCCUGCAAGGGGGAGCAACAACAGUUCUUGCUGGUCGCCAUCAAAUAUCUUCGAAUGACCAAGUCCUUCUAAAGGAUAGCAUCUUCUUCCAUGCAUUUUUAUUUUGUAAAGGUUAGCAACUUCAGCUUCUAAUAAUAGUGGAUUUUAUUUUCAUUUAUACAUCAUUUCUCCAUAACGUUAGACAUUUUUUGUUUUCUAGAUCUUUAUUGAUGAUUUAUUGUUUAUAUGUUUCUCACAUAUAUGUUGUUGUAUGGUGUAUUCAUAUGAGGGUUCUAUAUUAAUUGUGAUGCUGUUCUCAGUUUUUUGUUUUAAUUACAAUGAAUGGCCGUGGACUUCCCGAGCCACAGGAACCUAGAUUCCACCUUGGUGAUCUUCCAUUCACGACAUUGCCAAAUUGGGCCAUUCCAUGUUACGCAGACUCCUCAAUAGUAUGAAUAUUUUUAGUUUUGUGUGCUAUUAUAAUUCGGCAUGCAUACAUUCAUUCAUAAUAUGAUUGUUGCAUAUGUUGCACACUAUAAAACCUAUCAAGUAGCUAAAAGUAGCACUAUGGAUGUCGGGGUGUGGGACAUCAUUGAGACGACAACAAGUGAGGUUGUGAACGAAGGAGAUGAGUUAUGGACAUGCAAUCUCGCCUUCGACAUCCCCAUGAGGCACAAUAGUGAGGUGCACCAGGGAAUCGUAUAUCUUGGACGACGGUCACCGACCAAGCAAGAUUCAACUAUAUGGAUGUACACGGUGUAUGGAGUAAUAUUUAUUAUUAUUAUUAUUAUUAUUAUUAUUAUUAUUAUUAUUAUUAUUAUUAUUAUUAUUAUUAUUAUUAUUAUUAUUAUUAUUAUUAUUAUUAUUAUAUGAUCACUCUUUGAUAUUUUAUGUUUGUCCACUUGUAGGUUUUGCUCAAUGAUUUGACCUAUGCUACAUGUGCCUUGCAACCCAUUCUCUCACAACCUCUUAAGUGUCUGGGGUACCACUAGGCCUUCGUGGAAGCGACCAGAGAAACAGCGACAGCUGGCAUCUAGUAUUGCUUGAGAUUUAGGCAAAACUAGGCAAUCGAUAGUCCACUAGUGCCAAUGUUUUACCACCGAUAGCCUACCAUGGACGUACCCAAGAUAGUUGUUCGGGCUUUGGCUUAUGCUGGAACUCGAUGGUUAAUGCAAAAGACGGUCGAUUUAUCCUAGUUUGGGCCCUCAAGUUUGAUGUCGAGUAAUCUCCUUUACGUCUAGUCGGCAUUAGCCUUUGUGUUGGAUUACUUGCAUGAUGUGGUUAGUCCUUUAGAUACUGAUCUAGGGAGCCCUAUCCUCCUUUAUAUAGUCCAAGGGACAAGAUUCCUAGUCAGUUACAAGAUAGGAGUCCUAAUAGAAUUAUAGGAUAUACAUUGGUAGAAUCCUAGUUGGACUAGACAUUCUCCCUUCUAUGCAGGGUAUCCUGCAUACUAUGUAUUGAUAAGAUCUCGAGCACUGUAUGGUUGAACUUUGGAAGACUCUUCUUGUGCCUCUAGAUCUUAUCGAGUAGAAACAAGUGUCGUCUAAGUGCUUUCUCAAGUGAAACCAUGUGGCACUUCUUGAGAUCUUAGAGUGGUGUGCACUUUUUUAGAAAAAGUGCACCCACUAGAUGUAGCCCUUGUGCCUCUUGCUUUUUGGAACAAACAGUUGGAGGGUCUUGUCUUGCAAUCCUUGUCAAAAAAACUUGACAACACCCUCUAAGGAUAUAUGUCCCGCAGCCCCCAAGCCUACAAUAUGACCACUUGGAGUCAAUUAUAGGAUCAUAUUGAUGUCCUCAAGGGUGUAGCCAAGUUGUUGAAUGCUUGUAUGCUUGGUCUUUCAUCCUUGAGUCCAAGCCCCCAAGCAUAGUUAGAGUGAAGCUGAUUAAGCUGUGAUAUAUGGUUGACUGAGUAGAAGAGUCAACAUGUGCAUCAUAUUACCAUUUGAUUUGCUUCUAGCUCAGACGUGUGAGCCCCCAAGCAUCAGUUUGGUCUCUGUGACUGAGUAGUAGAGCACCACGAUCAAGUAGUUGAGUACAUGGAAACUAUGGCAGAAUAGUCAAAACUCGUUGUUGGACCCAAGUAGUUCUUGAACCAAUCCUUUAUUUACCAUGUACGUUGUUGACGGUCCUUAAUGCCUAUUUUAUACCAUCAACUAUUGCUCAAUAUAACAUGAUAUCAACCAUAAAGCAUAGUUGUAGGGUUUGAUUCUAAUGAGUUCCAUGAGUUUUGGUGUUCUAACUUGUUUUGUAGGAAUAUACAAUUUUCCAUCAAAUAAAAGUAUGUAAAAUGAUGAUUUGGACUACACCAUUAUUACGGGCUCGUCGAGACGAUCAAAACGGACAUAUCAUUUGCUAUAUUUGGAGUCCAGAGUGAAAAGAUAUUAAUUUUACAAAUAAAGGAGAAUUACCACUAAUGGGCCCCACGCCCAAGCAAGGUCCAUGACAUGAGAAGAGGCUCACAUAGCAUGAUAGAGGACCAAGAGAGGCGCCCAAGCUUCUCCCUUGAGUGGGCUUACAUGAUGGAUGAUUGGAAGGCCCAAGUUUAUGUAUAAGAGCCCAACAGAGCAAAUGGUGGAAGAAUUACUUCCACAUCGCCUAUCCAGAAGAGGUGGGAGGCUUUUCUAAGCUAUAAAUAAAGAUGCAGACCCCCCCCUAAGGGCACCAUAUUAUGGAGAUGUAGAGGCGUCCCUUGAAUGGAUAACCUCUCACCUCUAGUGAAUUAGGGCUAGUCAUUCUAAUGUAGUAGAUUAGUUCUAGUUGAAAGCUAGGGAGAGCGGCGCUACGCCUGGGUUGUGGAGGAGUCUUCGGAAGAGUCAUCAGAGUGUUCUGGUAUAUCUUUGUAUCUUUUGUUAUAAGACUUAUGCUUUAAUAUAUUUCGUAUUCUCUAUUUACUUUUAUGCAUUACAUUUGAUUAGUUAGUAUAGUUGUUAUACUUUAGCAAAGGAUCUCCGCCCGCAUCGGGUGCUCUAGUUAUUAAUUGUGAUUAGAGUAGUAAUUUGUUGUAGAAACAUGGUGUCUAUACUAUAGGUUACCUAAGAUUGCACCCAGUUCUACAGAUAGUUGUGGUAGCCCCAAGUGGUGACGGCCCUGAUGGCCGACGUAUCCCACCAUGUUUGGAUUAGUGUUGUAGGACCGUAGUCACCCCGUCCUAGCCUCCUUCUCAUCUGUCUGUGGCUAAGUGCUCUGAUGUCCCGAAGUGUUAUUGUGUGAUUGCUUUACCUACCAUGAAUUUGUUAUUAUAGAACCGUAGUAUUAGAGAAGUAUUUAGGAACCUUAAACUCUCGCAUUGUCCUCUCACUUUAGCUAUCUACUCUUUUAUCAUAGAAUUCUCCGGUGUGUAUCAUAUAUGCAUAAUUCCUAUCCUUUAUCAUUUACCCCUACUUUAGUCUAGUUGGUGUAUUAGUUAGUAGAUACAUGAUGGUGAACUAUCAAUAUCUUUAUCCAUUGUUUCCUAGUGGGAAAAUAUAAAUAACGAUACCAGGAAUACUCCCGGUAAAAUGCUACAAUGGUUUUCUGUGUGCUUGCGGAAUCCAUCAUAUUUUAAUUGUGCAUACAAAGUACCAACAAGCAUUUUUGGCGCCAUUGCUAGGGAAACAAUUAGCGUAAUGAUUUUGAUAAUGAUCUUGAUAUAUGCUAAUCUAGUAUGCCUCUAGCUUUAGUAGGAUUAUCCCUAUGUUCUAUUGAGUGUGCAAUAGACAGGACAUCAUAUGCCACUUCGACCUUGCGACAAGAUUCCACAAGAUUGAAGAACUCAGGGUGCUUGAACAUUCAAGAUCCAUCAUUCUAGAACCCUGCCAUCUCACAGGUUUGUGUAUACACAUAUAUAUUAUUAUUCUAACCAUGAGUAGAUUGGAAAAAAAGGUCGUCGUCACAAGAAUACAGCCCCCAUCACAUGUGAUGGAUAUUUAUGCUACGCCACUCAUCCCAGUUGUGCAUCAUGGUAAGUGUGAUCAAGGUGAGAUAGUCUUACUCAUGGGCUUUAAACCUUAUGAGUAGUUAUAUUUUUAUUUUCUUACAUACCACUACAUGUUUACUUUGAAUCAUCCAUGCAUCCACUUCAUUUAGUUUUUUCAUACACAUCAUGUUUAGUUCCUUGCAUGCAUACAAUUGAUGUGCAUCUAAAAAUAUAACAAUAUUUCUUACUGUGAUCAUACUCUAUCAUCACUAUUGAGUAAAUCUAUAUAAUGCUCUCAUGCUACCUUAAACUGCUUUAGUAUGCAUAGGCUUUGAAGUAGUUUCAUACAUCUCUUAAAUGAAGCAUGGUGCCUAGUUUAGGAGUGGUGAUCUUACAUUCAAAAGGAUUUUAAAUUAAGCAUAGUGCUUAGCUAGGUUAAAAUGCCUUCUUCAAUCAAAUUAGACAUGGUGUCUAGGCUGAUUUUUGAGCUGAUAGUAUGCUAUAGUAGAUAUUAGAAUAUUUUUGUUGGACUAACCCCUAUAGGAAAAUCCCAAAUAUAAAUUGGGACAAUCCUGAGAUGAACUCAUACUGGAGAUGAAGGGAGACACAACUCACGCGUAGCUAAGUAGAAAGAAGGGUGCCACAAAACAUGAUCCAUGAUCAAAGCACUCACUCCAUGGAGUUGCAUUCUCUUGUCAACCACUAAUUAUCAGGAAUAAAGAAAAGAUUGAUAAGAGAAAAGCAUGCAACAUUCUGCACUCUCACCUCUGAGGUUGAGAUGUUGAGACAUGAGGAAGAAGGUCAGCUCCUCUAGAUGAUCCAACCAAGUUCUUCCUCAUCACACCACACACUGGUUUGCAAUCUCUAAAUUUACUAUUACAUUAUUUCUAUGAGUUUGAGUUGAUCCACAAUGCCUAUAUUUAAGAAUCAAAACAUAAGAUGGAAAAAUAGAAUCAAUUCUUUAGAAAUAAGUAAUUGUGAAUAAUAAAUGUGCUAUGCUAAGUAUGUUAAAACAAUUUCUUUUGUAGCAUAGGAAGUGACCCAUAGCUUUGUGCUACAACAAUGCCCUUGUCAUUACUUGUAUACUCCUUCGGGUAUGUGUUGUCCACUAAUGAUUUGCAGGGAUAAAAUAAUAAGAAGAGCUAAAGGUCCAAGCACAAAUAAGACAGAGAACAAAUAAUGACAAGAAAGGAGUACAACAAAGGAGACAAGAUAGCCAAGCAAGGAAACUUUCCACAAGAUGUUACAGCUUCAACAUGCUUCAAUACCAAAGGUAACAUCUCUUGGUAAGUGUCAUUACUUCCAAAAUAUCCUCCUUGAUUUUGGCAUUCACAUAAGUAGUGAGUCAAACAUGCUUUGAGUUACAAUCUCAUUUGAUCCAAUCUAAUUAGCUCAUCAUAUUUAGUUCUUUAUGCUUGUUCCUGAGAAUCACUUGCUUGAUCUUGUAGUUUUUAAUUCAAUGAUCUGAAAUAUUGCACAUCCUAUAUUUGGAAGAUGAUAGUCAUAAUUAUGAAGUUAAAUGCAUAGAUAGACCAUCCUUCCAUAAUGUUGAAUAAUCUGAUCGGCCAAGUGUUUUAAUGCUACAGGCUUGCUAAUCAUUUGUUCUUAUCACCCAUGUUUAGAUUGAGCAAAACAUAUAAACAUCAACUGUAUCUCAUUCCAUGUGCCAAAUGCUAGAGUUUAAUUUAUAAACCUUUUGGUUUUGUUGGUGUUUUCCCACCAACAGAGCCCAUGCACUUGAUCUCUGCCUUGUCUCUAUGAGUAGGACACACUUUAGUCAACUCCGCGAGAAUCCUACAAGUGAAGAUCCUAGACCUAUGAACAUGCACACCAAGCGAAGAUGUUGCUAGCUCCUAGAACUAGUGCUUGACUCCAAACUGUUGCAAAAUCAAUAAACAUAGGUGACACCAUCUCAAGAGGUGCAACUAUCAUGGUGUCCACCUUUAGGACCAAAUAAAGCACCUAAGAAUUAACAUGGUAAGAGGUCCUGUUCACAGGAUUUAAAAUCACCAAACACCACGCCAAGAGGUAACUUGGUAUUUAUCUACAUUUUCCUUUAAGCAUAUUUAUUUUUCUUAACAGCAUUAGUAGUUGCAUCUUUAUUGUUUAUGCAUUAGAAAAUAAAAUAAAAAAGUAUUUCAUUGCAUUUAGAAAACUACUAAGCCCCAUGUACUUAAUAUGUGAUGCAACAGCUCACACAUUUAUCUACUGUGGUGGCACAAAAUAAGUUUUAGCAUAUUUAUUUUCCUGUUGAAAGGUCGAAAUGGCUAGAGGGGGGGUGAAUAGCCUAUUUAAAAUUCUCUACAAACUCAACUAGAUAAGUUGAUUAGUAAAACAAAUGGCAAAGCUAUUCUAGCACUAGCUCAACUAAGCUAUGCAAGCCACCUAAACAAGUCUAGCAAGAAGGCUAAACACUAAGUCACAACAACAACAAAGCACAACUAAAGUUAACUACACUCCUAUGUAAGAAGACUAAGCUACACAAGCUAUACAACAAGUAAGAUGUGCAAGAAAGUAAUGGAGUGGAGUGUGAUUGUUAUACCAACGUUGUAGAGAAGAGAUAUAUCCAAUCAAUUACUCACAAUCACACUCACAAGGAGAAUCCUCGGCAAGAGAUGACACAAGAUUUUUUACCGAGGUUCACUUGCUUCCCGGCAAGCUAGUCCUCAUUGUGGUGAUACAACCACUUGAUGGAUCACGAGCUAAUUGGCAAUCCAAAGCCAAACCCUCAGCGGGUGCCGCACAUUCACUCACAAGAUGGGGAUCCUCCAUGUAACAGAACCGCCCAAUUUACAAGAGAUCAACUACGAAAAACUCCCGCUAAAGCAGUUGCUUUACCGUAAUCGAACUCUCAUAAACCCGGUAAUCCGUGAAAUCACGAGGGAUUUCAAACCAACCAACAUACCAGCCAAGAUCGUAGUGAUUCAACAUAACAAGUCACAUGUUACAUCCAUUUCACAAAUAGUUUGACAUACAUCUGAGUUCAAUAUAGUUAUUACAACUUAAGUUGAAAAGUAGCGGAAGCAAAGUAAUUUGAAACUAAUAUUGCCCUUAUUUCAAAUACAUGCCAGUAUCCAGGUCAACUCCAACAAAAGCAACAUAGAUGAGGUAACAAAGAAGGAUCAUGCCCAUGAUCUUACUCCUCUAAUAUGGUAGGAGUCAUCCAACUCUUGCAGUAGCCAUGAUACAUCACAACUUGCAACAAGUGGGAAUAAACCCUGAGUACGAGAAGGUACUCAGCUAGACUUACCCGUCAUAAACCAGAAAUAAUAUGACACCAAGGAGUAUGCAAGGCUUUAUUGGUGGAGCUAGCUUGACAACACUUUUUGCAUAAAAAAAACUUAAGUUGCAACUAAGUAAUCCUUCAGGUAUUUAGCUCAAGUUAAUAAUCAUUAACCUAUCAUCUAGAUUAGCACCUGUACUCAAGCAAUCACUUGAUUAAGAUUCAACAGUAGUACCCAUAUUUGAUGUGGCAUUUCCAACAUCAUCAUACCAUAACCAUCCAAGUGUUCCAUAAUCAUUACUACGAUGACGGGGCUCAAGUCAAGUGCUCACUAUCCAGGAGCGAUGGCGAUUCGAAUCGAUUUCUAACCAGCUGGCGAGUUAUUCCCCACACAAACCACACUCACCGGCCAAAGUGAGCUACAGGUCACCAUAUUGCACUAUCCAGGACCAAUUCGCGGGUUCGGCAGGCACCGCCAGUACCCGAGGACCGUUUCGGCGACCGAGGUAUCCAAGGUAUACCAAGGUUGCGCGCCGCGCCCUCGUCGUUCUCCUCAACCAUCACCAAUACAGCGCAUGGCGGCUCGACUCCCGGCCCGGAUAGUGUUCAGGCUUCGCGGUCGGAAUGACUUAUCCUUCCAGCUAAGUGUGGGGCAUGCGUUCAACAUGACAAGAGGGCCGUCAACGAUCGGUCCUUAAUCGACACAAGCGGGGAUAGAUAGGCACCCAAGACCUCCAUGUCUUGUUACUUCUCUAUCAUCGUCCCGCCCGGUCUCCAAUUAUUCAUCCUCAUCACUUGGUUACUUCCAUGAUAGCAUAUAUAGCCAACCUUUUCAGGUGUCCACCUAUCUCGCUCAGGUGACAGGACAUCACCUGGCUUCUACCGGUCUAAGCAUAGCUAAGCAUUUAGAUUCGAUCCUUAAUCUACACAGGGUUAUAGGUAUAUUUGCUGGACAAGGAGUGUUUAUGCAACAAGGGUUUCACCCAACUCCUAUACUUAAUGCAACAAUACAUAUAUAACAUAUAUUCUCAAUUGCAUUCAAAAGUAGUGGGAGACUUAUAAUGCUCCGGGGCUUGCCUGGGAUCAACACGGAGUCAGUUCAAUUAGUGGCUCCAUCUUGGUGACAUCUUAGGUCACAACACUUGUUUAGUCCUUCCACCUUCAGGAUGGGUCCACCCAACACCGUCUUCGGGUUUGUUCCCACACCAAGACCUUCACGUGAUACAUCUACCGCACCUAGAUGAGAUGCAAGAUGCAAGUGCAUGAAUAUGCGGAAUAGUGACACAACAUGCAUCACAUAAAAGUAUGCAAGACACAGACAUCUAAAGUUAUUUAGCUAACAUCACACGACCAAUUAUAUAGAGCAAGCAUAUCAAUCAUAACACAAGUUUAACAGGGUUACAAGUGUAUUACUUAACCACCACUAAAGACAUGAAUCAUACUUAGCUCACACAAAGUAAAGCAAUCAAGCAUUCAUGUAUUUCAGCAAUUAUGGACAUACAUGCAACAACUCUGUAAAUAAAUCAUAACUGGAGUUACACAUCUCCAAAAACUAUGCAAUAGGACAUUCUGGAAAUAUUAUCAAAUUAUCUACAAUUCAUGUUUAAUCACAUUAGCAUGAUUAGCAAGUUAACCAAGUCAAACAUGCAUGACCAUAUAAUCUGGUCCAGGAAUUUCCAGAGAACAAGCAUUUCAAUGGAUGAACUUCAUACUACUGUAACUCAUAAACCACUUAGCCAAAUGAUAUGCAACUUUACCACAAGAUAUGUUCAUAAAUUAUCUACAUAUUUUAUAUAGACAAGUUGCACAAGAAACAUCAUUUAUAUCAUGAAAUUAGUUGCACAAUCAAAACUGCUCAUGCUGCCCAAACAGUAGGGGCACAAUUACACACAGAAAACUGAUAGGCAAUUCAAAGCAGCAUAACUGGAGUUGUAGACCUCCAGCCAACAUGAUUCUUAUAUUUUUGGAAAGCUUAUAAAGUUACCUACAACUUUCUUAUUAUCAUCUAAAUAGGAAUCUAGAGUUAACAAGGUCAAUUAAUCCCAUGAAGAUAUCUCUGUCCAAAACACAGACAGAAUCUGUCAUGCUACAUUAAACACCCAUAACAUGAGUUUCACAUGUCCAUAAAUUAUGGUUAUAUACUUUAUAGAAACCUUAUCUAAUUGUUAACAACUUUGUUAUAAACAUGUACAGCUAAAUCUACAACUAAAAAGGUCUUACAUUACAAACAAUGCAACCCUGUCUGGGUUUAGACAGAAACUGGAACAGUAAUUUAAACCACUAUAACUAAACAUGUGCUUAACCAAAAAUUAUGCUAUUUAUCUUUUUGGAAAGCUUAUGAAAAUUACUAAAACUUAUAUAUUUUCAUCCAGGCAAGAUUCACAACUUAACUGAGCCAAACAAUACAAACAUGCAGAUCCACUCAGAAUAGGAGCAAAGGAACACAGGGUACUUGUUAUUUUUAUAACUCUUAAUAUAUUAUUCCUAAAUUCAUAAAACUUUUACCAGUCAUCAAAUAUCAUAUGAAAAGCAUGUCACAAUAUUUUCACAUUUAUUUGGGCAACAACACAGCAUUUAUGAAAAAGACAAAUAUAACAAGGAAUUAAAAACUAACUGCAUAAAUCUAUUUUUACGACUAAAACUUCAAACUAAACCAUGCCAUAUUAUAGAUCCACUGCAUAGAGAAUUUCAUAAGGAUUCCAAAAAGUCCACAUUUGCUAUUUUACGAUUUCUCUACAGUUUAUUAUAAUUUUCCAAACUUCAGUCAUAUGAAAGAAAAACAGAUUUGCACAGAGACCCUUGAGAUAUCCGCAAAACAAACUACAACAAAGAGGUCCCUGCAGGUACUAUUCACAUGAGUCACAGCUUCGCAGAACGACCCCUUAUCUUCUUAGAAUUGUUGCAGCAGGUCCCUGACGGGAGAGAAAGCAGAGCAUCGACGGGGAGCUCGCCGUGGACGGCCGGAGGAGGCACUCCGGCGGCGAGAUAAGGGCUAGCGAGGGUGGAGGCAACCCUUGCGCACCCGAUGACGGCCCUGGCUCGACCCACGGCCGCUCGAGGCCAGUAGGCCAUGGAGGCAGUGGCCCGCACCAUGGCAGCUCCGGCCACCUAGGUCUGCAAGCGACGACACGACUCAGGAGGCAGCGCAGGGGAGGAAGCAUGGUGUUCGGAGGUCGAUGGUGACGCCGGCUGAGAUGGAUGAGGCUCCAAGAGGCAAGAACGCCGACGGCAAGGAGCUUCGUCGGACGUCCAUGGUGGACGCGGCCACACUUGCGCGCCCGAGUGGCAAUGGCAAGGGUGAGCGCCUGAGAGGGAGGGCGAGUGAAUGGGAGUGGAGAGGAGCUCGGUCGCAGCCCUCCCCAUCAGCAGCAGGUCAUGGCAGAUGAGGUGGGGGUCUUGCUGGUGCAUGGGCGACACGCAGGCAAAACGUCGAGCACGUGGCGUGCAGCAAAGUAGGGAAGGUGGGACGCCGGUUUGGGCCACUUCUGGGCCGAAUUGGACCUUGGUCCAAAAACAAAGUUUGCUCAGCCCGUCGUGCACUACAACUUUGAUUAAGCGUGCUAAGUCAUUAGACCAACAGAUUAGAAGAUAAUUAGAUACCAAAUCUCGAGUGUCAACGUAUUGAAGAUGAUUAGGAAAACCAAGAAUUGAUGGUACAAACCAUGUCAAACUUGAUGCAACUUUUUACAUAACCUUCUCCAAACAAUUAUCCACAACUUUUACUUUUGGACCAACUUGAGUUGCUUAACAAAAACACGAGAACGCGGCAUGCCAAUGGGUCGACGUCCGUUUAGUGAUAAAAUAACUUUUUGCUGUUUUGGGAGCUACUUUUAGAUACCCAAAUGAACUCCAAAUUUAAUGAUACUUGAUCCAUUGCUUUCAUCAAGAAGAGUACUCCAACUCAUAUUAAGGAAUAUAAUUGAGUUACCAUAUGAAUUUGGAUGCUAAAAUGUCACAAAGAAGCUAACUUGCUGCUGUCACUUUCCGGGACUUAGAAUUAUUUCUCAGGGCUAAAAAGCAGCAGCUGAUUCGAACUUUGAGCCUCUGUUUGAAAUAUUUGCAGGCUGAUUUGGUUCUUGACCCUUGAAUAAAGUUUCUUCUACAGAAGGAAAACUACAACUUCUAUUUAGGGCCAAUCCUCAUAACUCCAACCGAAGUCAAACUUUCACUUUGGUCAAUGCAGUACCCUGAUAAAGCUCCAAAUGGGGUUUUAGGCCAAUUGAAGCAUUUUCUUGACAUAAGCUCAACAUGAACCCUUCAUAACUUUUGUUGUAUAAUUCAUCUAGAGUCAUAUGAGCAAGUUUGCAAGGUUUGGUUGGUGACCCAUGAUUCUAUUUCCUUAAUAGAGUCAUUCUAACAAGGAUAUAACUUAUCAUUUCAUGUGACUUCUUGAUUCCAAACUUAACCAAACCUUUCCAGAGACUAACAUAGAUUGGGAUGGAUAUAAGACACAUGAAAAAGGUUCCAUUAGCAUCAUCAAAGCAUACCUUUUAAAAAGGCAUAUAUGCAAGCAAGGUUGCAUCCACCAAGCCCAAGUUGGGGUUUACUUUCAUAGAUUGACUUUGACCUCUUUAUUACCAUUGAACUUGUCAUGUUUGAACUCAAACCCAGUACUUAGCAAGUGACAAACACCUGGGGUGUUACACUCCAAGCCACGAGCAAUCCACUAGAGAGCCAAUUGCGAUCUCCCACGGGGAAGGCUCAAAAACCCCUCACAAAUCACUUGGUGAGGCUCGAAACAAUCUCCAAUCACGAUCUCAACACCACCACUGUUCCAAGGCAUCUAGGGUGUCGGGAAGCACCCAAGAGUAACAAGAAAUCCACAGUAAACUCAAGGAUCAAGUGCCACUAGAUGCAACUCUCAAUGCAAUGCACUUGAAUCUCACUCAAUCUCACCAGGAUUAGCAAUCAAGCAAGGAGAUGAGUGGAGGGAGUAUUCUCUAGCUCAAUGUAUGCCUUAAGUAAUCAAAGUGUGCAAAGGGGAACCUCCCAAAGCCGACCACCCUCUAUUUAUAAGCCCCCUCAACAAAAGAGCCGUUGGGCACUUUCACUGGGCUGAAAUCGGGAGCACCGGACUCACCAUAGGCAGCCACCGGACGAUUGACCCCCUGCGUCCGGUGCUCUGGUGUUGGCCAUGUGUCAUUCUUUGAAUCUCGAGUGUCAAACUCUAACGAUCACUUGCGGACCACCGGACGUGUCCGGUACUCACCGGACCCGUGCGCAAAGAGGAUCGCAAACUCAAAUCUCACCGAACGUCCGGUGCUUACCGGACUCAUGCGCAGAGAGGUCUACAAACCGUUCCCACACCGGACCCGCAUCACCAGAUGCACCCCGGCGCUCUUAGUCAGAAACUUCCUACAGAUGUUAGGCCACACCGGACGCGCGCACAGGGAAUACCCUGCGUCCGGUGCGAUGCGUCCGGUGCUUAACCCUAGCAGGGCUAUGCACUGACAGCACACCGGACGCGUUCGGUGAGUGUUUCUUAGUGAGAAACACUCCCGUGUCUUCUCCAAAUUUCCUACCGACGCAAUAGAAAAUAUACACUUAAUUUUCUCAAAAUUGCCGAAUUCCGCCUCGCAAGGUCGGUGGGAGGGAGAGAGGAACCCACAUCCCUCUCAACCCUAGGAACUCCACCUCUUUUGUAAAUGUGCUAACACUAACAAGUGUCCACCACCAAAGUGCAUGUGUGUUAUCUUAUCACAAACAUUUUCACCAAAGGAGUUAGGUUAGCACUUUACUAGAUCCUAAUGUAUAUGCUUAAGAUAUGGACCUAGUAGCACAUGAUUCGAGAGAUGAUCAUGAUUUCCUCUCUUGAUAGUCGGCUAUCUAUCCUAAAUCUGGUCAAUCACUUCUCUACUCAACUUAGACCGGCAAAAGCAAAACCCUAUGUUUAUACCUUUGCCUUGAUCACUUUACUCCUCGUCUAGCACCAUGAUCUCCACUUCAUGCUCCAUCCCUUUGUGAUCAUGUGGCCACCUUUCCAUGCCACCAUGCACCUUCAUCACAUGUGUUGCUAUGCCUAACUCAAAUCACUUAAACACAAGGCACUAGCAACUUGGUGUCAUUAAUUACCAAAACCAAACUUGGGCUUUCACCUAUCCGCAUAUCAUAAAUCUGAAAUGCAUAAAAAUAUACUAAUCCUGCUAAAAGAUGAAUGGGUAUAAGAAAGUUCUAGACUCCCAAAGCUUAGAGGUUUAUUACUAACACUUAAUUAGUUCAACAAGCUUUGAUGUCUAUUUGAGCUUCGGAGGCUUCCAAGGAUCAAGAAGAACUAACAUGCAGAAGGACGUCCUGUCCCCUGUUAGAGUACUGUUCGCACCAGGCAAAUGCUGUUUCUGACAGCAAUUACCUAUGAUACUCUAGGAGGAUCAGUACGUCUUCACUGUCCGUCAGCAAUCACAACAGACUAUGUGAACAUCCAGCUUGGGGGAGAGCAACCCCCGUACACCAAGCUAAGUAUCCCAUACUCACUUAUCUAUUUAUUCCUAGUGCGUUAUGACAAGAUAAAAAGAUGAAUAAUCUUAGAAACCCAAUAAAUGUUUUAUCUUUCAUAAUUAAUCUUACUAGGAGAGUUCUUGAUGAAUAUGUUAAGAUGAACCUCUAGAAUAAACUCUUAUAUGGAGAUGAUGAAUAGUUGCUCUGCUCUAAUUUCUUGCAAGUAUCUAAUUUUCAACCUUGUACUCUUUUGAGUUUUAGACACAACUGUUUAGACUUAAGAUUUGCUCUGAGCCUGAAACUUGUGGGUAGCAAAUGCUUGAUCUAAGUCUAGGUAGUUGACGGAUAUGAUAUGGGAAGGUUUUGAGCUGCUAUCAGUCUCGCUCCUAGAGAUGCUAAAAUUCUAGAGAAUUUGAUUUUGAAAAUCUUAAAUUGCUACAUGAUGAGUUCCUUUAUGAUGAGAGUUUUAAAAUUCCUACCACAGCCAAUUACUCAUGCCUACUAGAUUAGGAAAACCUCCACUUAUAUUUCAACCUAUAAGCAUUGAGAGUAGUUAAGCUGUGUAGACCCUAUGGAACUAAUCAUGUAGUUAAAGUUAAUAUUAUGUUCUCUCCAUCUAUUGAUCUUAGCUACUUCUGUCCUCAUAAGUAUGCAACCACUUUCAUCCAUCACAUUCACUAUGUGCUACUUCUGUUCCUAGAAGUACCACCCAUAUAUACGCACUACACUUUGUGUUGUUUCUAUCCUAGAGACACACACCUAUGCUGCUCCUAUCCUAGGAGUACGUAUUCCUUCAUUCACCCACGCAUUCCACAUCCACUUAGAAAAUGUUCUACUCCUACACUCGGAGAAGACACCCAACAAUAUUCAAUGUCUUAUUCGACUUUUCCAAUAAAGCCCUAGUUAUCCUAGUUGAUACACCCUACUGUUAUCAUUGAAUUAAAAGGGAUGGCUGAUCUCUAAAAAAAGAGAGAAAAAAAGAGAGAAAAAGAAAGAAAGAGGACAAAAGUCCCAAUGCAAAAGAAAAGAAAGAUAGCCACAUCCUUGUUCUCAAAUUAGGGAAGUAUGUUAUCCCCACAGAGCAAAUGUAGAAUUAGAUAUUCAGCAUCAGUUAUCACCCCUCAUAAAACCUUUCAUUCUUAUCACUUCAUUUCACUUCACUCACAUGCACAUAUGACUUGAUUGUAUAAUUAGUUUCUCUAGAUCCAUGGUUUAACUAUGCAAUACAUGCAAGUAGGUUUGAAUUCUCUUUCCCACCUAUGAGCUCCACAUAAGCCAAUUAGAAGUAGGGUGAGAGAGAGAAGGCAACUAUGUCUUGGUCAUACAAAUACCACAUAUUCUGAGAGCAAAGAGAAGGCAUACUCACUUGCCUUGGAGAGGAUCCAAAAAUACCACAUAUGAGAGACUGGAAAGUGUCAUACAAGGAAACUCUAAGUUUUAUUUAAAAAUCUUGCAAAACUCUGGAAUAAUAGUUGAUCAAAGAGCGUGUAGCAUAGUGCUCGACUUAACUGUUCUAUCUUUAAACGGCCCAAGACCAAAGUGAUAGCUACAAGCCCCAUGGUGAAAGGUAAAAUGGGUGAAUCUUAAGUCAGAAUAUUUGACUCUAAUCUAGAGGGGAGUCCUUGUUUGAAUACUUGUGUACUUGUGAGGCGUGAAAGCAUUGUAGCAACUCCUGAUCCAAGUUUACUAGUUAGGCUUUGCUAAGGGACUACCAAAGGGUAAGCUUGGGGGAACUUGUUGAUGGUCCUUAAUGCCUAUUUUAUACCAUCAACUAUUGCUCAAUAUAACAUGAUAUCAACCAUAAAGCAUAGUUGUAGGGUUUGAUUCUAACGAGUCCAUGAGUUUUGGUGUUCUCACUUGUUUUGUAGGAAUAUGCAAUUUUCCAUCAAAUAAAAGUAUGUCAAAUGAUGAUUUGGACUACACCAUUGUGACGGGCUUCUCAAGAUGAUUUAAAUGGACAUAUCAUUUGCUAUAUUUGGAGUCUGGAGUGAAAAGAAAUUAAUUUUAUAAAUAAAGGAGAAUUACCACUAAUAGGCCCCAAGCCCAAGCAAGGCCCAUGACGUGAGAAGAGGCUCAUAUGGCAUGAUAGAGGCCCAAGAGAGGCGCCUCAAGCUGCUUCCUUGAGUGGGCUCACAUCAGGGAUGAAUGGAAGGCCCAAGUUUAUGUAUAAUAGCCCAACAGAGCAAACGGUGGAAGAAUUAGUCCCACAUCGCCUGUCCAGAAGAGGUGGGAGGCUUUUCUAGGCUAUAAAUAAAGAGGCAGACCCUCCUCCCAGAGGGCACCAUAUUAUGGAGAUGUAGAGGUGUCCCUCGAAUGGAUAACCUCUCACCUCUAGAGAAUUAGGGCUAGACAUUCCAAUGUAGUAGAUUAGUUCUAGUUGAGAGUUAGGGAUAGCGGCGCUAAGCCCGGGUUCUGGAGGAGUCUUCGGAGGAGUCAUCAGAGUUCUAGUAUAUCUUUGUAUCUUUCCUUAUAAGACUUAUGCUUUAAUAUAUUUCGUAUUCUCUAUUUACUUUUAUGCAUUACAUUUGAUUAGUUAGUAUAGUUGUUAUACUUUAGCAAAGGAUCUCCGCCCGCAUCGGGUGCUCUAGUUAUUAAUUGUGAUUAGAGUAGUAAUUUGUUGUAGAAACAUGGUGUCUGGACUAUAGGUUACCUGAGAUUGCACCCAGUUCUACAGAUAGUUGUGGUAGCCCCAAGUGGUGACGGCCCUGAUGGCCGACGUAUCCCACCAUGUUUGGAUUGGUGUUGUAGGACCGUAGUCACCCCGUCCUAGCCUCCUUCUCAUCUGUCUGUGGCUAAGUGCUCUGAUGUCCCGAAGUGUUAUUGUGUGAUUGCUUUACCUACCAUGAAUUAGUUAUUAUAGAACCCUAAUAACAGAGAAGUAUUUAGGAACCUUAAACUCUCUCGUUGUCCUCUCACUUUAGCUAUCUACUCUUUUAUCAUAGAAUUCUCCGGUGUGUUUCAUAUAUGCAUUAUUCCUAUCUUUAUCAUUUACCUCUACUUUAGUCUAGUUGGUAUAUUAGUUAGUAGAUACAUGAUGGUGAACUAUCAAUAUCUUUAUCCAUUGUUUCUCAGUGGUAAAAUAUAAAUAACGAUACCUGGAAUACUCCCCGUAAAAUGCUACAAUGGUUUUUUGUACGCUUGUGGAAUCCUUCAUAUUUUAAUUGUGCAUAAGAAGUACCAACAUAUGUAUGUUGUCAAUCACCAUUAGCUUGCUAGCUUGUGGUCAUCUUGCACUUUGUUAUAGGCUGUGCAUCUUCCUCAUGUGUAUGCAAGUAGCUUUUAUCAUUGGCUUUCUUAGGACAUCUGGUAUAAAUGCCUGAUGUUGCAUGUCUAAUAGCCGAAAGCAGAGUAGUUAUCAAAUCUCUUGUUGAGGAAGGUGAAAGCCCUGGCUAGUUUGGUUUUGGAUAAUUGUUGAAACCCAAAGAACUAACCUCUAUGCUAAGUGUGUGUAUAUUAGAUAAGGUCAGUAUAUGCUAAGUAAUGGAGCUAAAGGAUCAUGGUGAUGACCACAUGAUAAUCAAGUGGUCAAUUUCAAAAAAAAGAAAAUGAAAAACAAAACCUAUGGAGAUCAAGGCAAAGUUAUUGCUUAGGAUUUUAGUUUUGGUGAUCAAGACACCAUAGAGGGUGUGGUCACGUUUAGGAUAGAUAGUCAUACUAUAAAGAGGGGAAUUCUGUGUCUAAGUUGUAGGAUUAUGAGGAUGCUACGCUAGCUAGAAAACAAAAUUUUUGCCCUCAUAAACUAGAUCUACUGCUAGUUAUAGAUCAUGGGAUUACCACUACAUGCGCAGGUGUAGCGGAAGCGACUCAAUGUAGUCGUGCGUGUCAUAGCAGUGUUGUGCAGUGGUAGGGUCAUCGUCCGUCUAUCCCGCUCAUGCAGUCCGUCCUUGUGCUCCAGAUGUAGCACCACCGAGGUAUCCACAUGUAUAGGGAGGAAGUAUCACACCUCCAGAUUGCUAGGACCAUGAGGAGCAAUGGGCAUGGGCAUGGGUGAGCAGUGGCACUGCCAAAGGGCAUGAUUAACCCUGGCCACCCCCACCCUCUCUAUAUAUAGGUGUCCCUAAUGUGAUCCCAAGUUGGACAACCCUAAGUUCUAUCUUAUUUGGGUCCAAUCUGAAUUAGGCUUCCAGCCCCUUAAGCGUUCGACCCUAUGGGUUCACACAUACAUAGACAUGGCCCGAGUACUCCUCCUCAACCAUUAGUUGACAGCGGCCUCUAGCAAGAUAUGUCAACUCCUAUACAUACAUAAAGAUCAUAUUAGACAGUCCACCACAAACCAUAUACUUGUUAUUGCCUUGCCACACAUUAUUUGGUCCAACUCUUAGGUUAACACUUAACUCAAGCACGUACAUGCAUUUCUUGAUCUAAUCAUUAGAGUUAUAUAGUGAUAUCUCUCUCAUACAGAGAAGGGUAAGUUCCAUCUUGAUUGUCUAUGUCUCAUAGCAUUUUUCCCGAUGUUGACGGUCCUUAAUGCUCACAUUUAACCAUGAACUAAUCAUGGAAAAGGACCUAUAUGCAAUCAACACCUAGACUUAGGGUUUUAUCUGACAGAAUUCCACGAGUUUUGGUGUUUGUCUAUUUCUGUAGGGGGUUAUCAGGAAAUACGGAAGAAAGGCCCACACGUCGGGUUUACAUAGAGAUAUUAACGUGCCGCGCAAUUUUCUAUCAUCUAGAAGACUCCAGAAGCCACGAGAACGAACGGGAAGCCGAGAGGGCUUAGGGGCAGGGCGCCCGCCCUACUCCCUAGGGCGCCCGCCCAGCUACAGUGUCCAAUUUGGACCCGUUUCGCGGAUCACGCUCCACCGACCUAAAGGAUCAAGGAAAACCGUGCGAUUAAUGUCGGUUUGAUCCGACGACCCAGAUUCACCUGAAAAGACUAUAUAAGCAAGGCCCCCUAGCCCCUGGAGAUCAUACCUCUUCUACAGAAUCAAAGUUAGGGUGUCAAUUCUUCAUCCAAGUAGAGAGGAUCCCUCUAGUUCUUCUAGUUCUACCUCUAGUUCAUCUAGUUCUAGUUCUAGUUCCUCUAGUUCUAGUUCUAGUUAGUUCUAGUUGUAAUCUAGAAAAUAGGGAGAGAGAAGAGGAGAGCGGAGGAGGAGGAGCCGGAUCUGUCGGAUCUUCCUCAACAUUGUACUUUUGCAGCAACUGGUUCGUUCUUCAUCGUUCUCCAGAUUCUUCAAUUCAUAAUUCCUGAGUUCUUUAAUUACUUUUAUUUACAUUCAAGUUAUUUAUUGGAUUCCCGCUUGCAUCAAGUGCUCUAGUCUUUGAAACGCUAGAGUAGUAAUUAAUAGGUUAGACGUGGUGUUUAGUCUUGCAAUUACCUGGAAUUGCACCCAAUCCUGCGGAUUGUUGUGGUAGCCCUAGGAUAGUGACAGCCCUAACAGUCGACGUAUUCCACCUCGUUCGGAUCGGUGUUUGUAGGACCGUAGUCAGACCUUCCUAGCCCCCUUCUCAUCUCUUUCUGUGGUUAGUGCUCUGAUGUCCCGAAAUAAAUAAUCUUUGAAGUAAUUCUUGAUUCUUAGAUCAACUAGAGAACCCUUAGGAAACUUCCUCUCUUCCCACCAAAAAUAAUUAUAUAGUUAUCCUUGGGCGAUCUUGGAUCUUAAUUAGUACACUCACGUUCCCUGUGGAAAAUCGAUACUCUGGAAUACUCCCGGGUGAAAGCUACAUCGGUAUCCGUGCGCUUGCGGAUUUUUCUGUUUGCGUUUAAAAUACCCAACAAGCUUUCUGGCACCGUUGCCGGGGAACGGUAGCUGUGCUAGUUUCGAACCAAGUUGUCCGUGUAUCCUUUUUCUUUUCCUUUUUUUACCACAUUCACCUUACCAUUUUCACCACACCACAUGGAUUUCACUCCAAGCAUUAAUGAACAUGGAAUUUAUUUCAUAGUCACUUCAUUUACUCCAUGCUCAUAUGCAAUAUCUUCACAAUCCAUUGGUCUCUCCAACAUCACCACAUUCGAGAUCUCUAACCCCCUCUUCCUUUAUAUUUAUAAAAACUUUAAAAGGGCGGUUGUCGAUGCAUAUGUCUAUAAUAAAUAUUACAGAUCUCGUUGAGUUGAUCUUGAUAUAGGUCAGCGUUGGAGGGGAAACCCCUUCACCGACAUAAAUUGAUGGUUUCCCAAGGACAAGCUUAGUGUCCUAAAAUAAGCACUGAUCAGACCGUAACAUGAGCUUUUAAUUAUUUGCAACAUUAACUUGUGUAUUGAGCAUAUAAGGAUAAUUGUAAAAAUAUUCCUUCGGGUAUUCUUGUCACUAACCUUUCCAGGAUUGGAGCAAGAAGAUCGAAUGAAUGACAAGCACAAGGUAUGUCCAACCAAUCAUCAUACAACAUUGAAUUGAAUUCAUCCAAACUUGAAUUUUGCAAAAUUCAAGCUUGGGGGAGUACUUUACAUUAAAAACAUCCUUUGCCAUGUUGCUAUGUUGGUUGUCCCUACCUUUAAGGCAUGCUCAAUUUUGUUAAAUACUAAUCACACUACUUCAUCUCCACUUGAGUAGAUCUCUAUAAAUGCUCUCAUGCUACCUUUAUUUGCUUUAGUAUAUGUCUAGGUUUGGAGUAGUUUCAUUUAUCUCUUAAUUAAGCAUGGUGCUUAGUUUGGGGCUGAUGAUCUUACUUCCAAGGGAGUUUAAAUUAAGCAUGAUGCUUAGAUAAAAUGCCCUCCUAAAUCAAAUUAGACAUGGUGUCUAGGUUGAUCUUUGAGCCAAUAGUAUGCUAUAGUAGAUAUUGGAUAUUUUGUUGGACUAACCCUUGCAGGAAAACUUUCAAUAUCGACCUAAAAAGUCCUGAGAUAAACUCACAUUGGAGACAAAGAGAGAGACGCAUGAAGGUUAACAAUUUACACAAGAAAGGCAUAGCUCACAAGAGAUGAUGCAUGGAGGGUGCCACAAACAUGAUACACAACCGCUAAGAAAGGAAAGCUUCCACAAGGUGAUACUGUACCAUCACUUUUCAAGUAAGGUAACAUCUCCUUAGUCCUAGCGUUCACAUGAAUAAAGAGACAAACAUGUAUGAUUUAUAACUCUAAACUAACCAAUCCAAUUAAUUCAGCAUGUUUAGUCCUUUAAUCUUUGUUUAUAGUACUACCUUCAUGAUCCCACACUCCUAAUCAUAUAAGCUAAAAUGUUGCACAUUCAAUCUCUUGAAGAUAUAAACAAAACAUAAGUAUAUAUAGAUUAUCUUUCCAUUAGGUUGAGCGAUGUGAUCUGACAAAUGUUUUAAAUGUUACACUCAUGAUCUUAUUAUCCAUCAACUUUGUCUUACUCAUUAUGCUUAAGGAUAGAGAAGAAUAAAUACACUUUUGGUUCUGUUGGUGUUUUCCACCAACAGGGCCCAUACACUUGAUCUCUGCCUUGUCUCUAUGAGCAGGUAUACUUCGAGCAAAAUAUGAAGGAGUUUUACAACUUCCAGACUCCACCAAGUGAAGAACUUGUAUCUACGAGCACAAAAACACUGGAGAUACUGGACACUUAGGCAAUCACUGCCCUGAGAUGCUUGAGGACGUGAACUACAUCAACAAUAACAACAACAACUACUACUACAACCAUCCUCAACAAAAUCAAGGUUGGAAUCAACAAAGGCCUAACUACUCAGUCAGAAGAGACGAUCCAGGACGCCCCGUGAUCCCAAUCUCUAUCGGCAUGGUGGACUUCCCAGAAGCACUCUGUGACUUUGGCUCCAGCGUCAACAUUAUGCCUAAGGUACUCUAUAAAAAAUUCUUUACACAUCCUUUAUUAGAAACAGCUGUGUGUUUGCAGCUUGCAGAUCGUACGCUAAGUUUCCCAAAGGGAAUAUUGAAGAACCUUCGCGUCUGAGUUGGUACCUUGUACGCCCCAGCAGACUUCGUGGUGAUAGAGACUGAUACUGAUGAGAGGGCACCCAUCAUCCUAGGGAGGCCAUUCCUGAACACCUCGGGAGCUGUCAUCUACGCUAGUGCUGCCAAGAUCAGUUUCUACAUCAAGGGAAGGAAGGAGAUGUUUUCCUUCGAGAACAAGACUGCACAAAUCCUAGAGCAAUCUUGACAUGAACCAAGGAAAGGACCAACAGCAGGAACAGGAACAAGCAAAUGUGGACCGAGUCAGCUAAGAUGGUCACUGCAGUUCAAGGAGGUCAAGAUCGUCGACUUAAGUCACUGUUCCUGACCAAAAAGGACGACCUAGGUAUGCCAACAUCCAGUGCUCCAUUAAUGGAUGCAACUUCCAGAAGAAGCUUUGCGAUACCGGGUCAGGCGGCAACAUAAUGGCCGCAGUCACCUAUCAGCUGCUGUUCGGAACCAUACCCCUAAAACCGACAUACAUUCAGCUCCAGAUGGCAGAUCAGACAUUCCGAAAGGUUUUCAGGUUAUUGACAUGGGAGAAGACGAAUACGAUCCACCCAUCAUCCUUGGGAGACCGUUCCUCAGCACCGUUAAAGCAAUCAUCUACAUUGGAACCGGAGAAGUCCACAUGCACUUCCCCUCUAAGAAGGUACACCGCUAUUUUACUGAACCUAACUAUAUAGUUGAAGACUCUAAGCAGGUCAGGACAAGAAGAAGACGACGUAACCGCAACCAAAGGAGGCAACUCAUCAAGGACGGAUGGGCAGACUACGAAGGAGAAGUAGUAAGGUCUGAAGACAUACAACUUGAACAGAACUGUCCUGAGGAGACCGUAGCACCGAGUCAGGUGUGUAGAGAGAAGAUAGUUAUACAUGAAGAGCAGGCGCCGUCGGAACCACCGACUACGCCAUCCAGCGAAUCCCAGGACGAUUAAGAAAACAGAGAGUCCCGUUCGGAGGACUUCAAAACACCGAACGCCUUGCCAAGAGGUAAACUUGGUAGUUAUCUUUUUCCUUUCAAUUAUUUAAAAUAGUUUGCUUAGUUAAUCAGGUUCAUAUCAUCUUGAAAAGAAAAUAAAAAUAUUAAAAAUAGUAAGCCCCAUGUGAGUAUGCUCAUGGCAUAAAACCCAUAAGUACAUUCACUGUGGUGGCGUAAAAAUGAAAUAAAUAUAUUCCUGUCCUAUAAAAAUAAAAUUAUAAAAAUAAAUGAUCCUACUAAAGAGAGUAACAUUUAUUGAGGAUGCUCAAUAUGAUAAAGGCUAGAUACUUAUGCUAAAACUUAAUUAGUUCCACAAAGCUUUGUUGUCUAUUUGAGCUGCACAGAAUUCAAGGAUCAAAGAAGACUAGCAGACGGAGGACAUCCUAAUCGCUGUUAGGGUGCUGCCGACGUUCAAAUACACCUCAGCCACCUGCUAGCUACAUCAGAAGGAAUUACGUCAAAACCCAGCUUGGGGGAGAGCAACCCCAUUUAUCCAGCUAAGUGCUCUACUCAUGUUUAUAUUUUACUCAAAUAAUAAAAAGAUGCAUAAUCAUAAAAACCUAAAUAAAGAUUUUGUGCUUAUAUAUAUCUUUGCUUAGUUUGCUAAAUAAAUAAAUAAAAAAAGUUUGCUAUGAACCCUCAUGAUAAGCUCUCACAUGGAAAUGAUGAAUAGUUGCUCUGCCAUGACUAGUUCUUAAAAUUGAAAUCUCUCUCAAGUUUAGGCAUGACUGGUAUUAAUUAAGAUUUGCUCUAAACCUGAACUUGUGGGGAGAGUACUUGAUCUAAAGUCUAAGUCGUUAACGGUUACGAUAUGAGAAGGUUGAGCUGCUGUUUGUCUGUUCCUAGAGAUGCUAGAAUUCUGGAGAAUUUUAUCUUUAAAAAUCUUUAAAAUGUUGCAUGAUGAGUUCCUGUAUGAUGAGAGUUUAAAUUCCUACCACAGCCAUAUAUGCAUGCUUAUUAGACUUUAAGCCACACAUUUACUUUUUACUGCUUAUGAGCAUUGAGUGUGGUCAAGCUGUGUAGACCCUUAGGAGCUUGUCAUGUGGUUAAAUCAAGAUUCAGUUGCACGUUCACUCACACAUGCUGCUUCUACUUCGGAAGUACGCAUCCAUAGAUAUCCACCCAUUUCCAUCUCCAGAACCACCCAAAAAUAUUCUACUCCUAAUCCGGGAGAGAAUAGCCAAAAACAUUCUCCUAUCUCUGUUUUCCCCUGUGAAAUAAAUGCUCAAGUUAUUUCAUUACUACCACUUGCUACAUUAUUUGAAUAGGUGAGUGCUCUCAUAAAAAAAAGUGAAUACGAGGAAGUAAAAAGGGGCAAGUGCCCGAAACCUCGAAGAAAAGAAAAAGUGAGACGAGAGGUAAAAAUAGACAAGUGUCCGACAGUAGAAUUAGGGGUACAAGAUACCCACCUGAGAGAAAAGAAAAAGAAAAUAUAGAGUAUCUCAUUCUCCUCAAAAAGUUUCAAAAGAGCAAGAAAGGUAUGUAUUCCCUCAAAAGAGCACAAGUAGAAUUAGACUUUCACCAUUGUUAUCACCAUCAUCACCAUACACCAUUCAUUCGCCACACAUGCACAUCUUGAUUUGACUUAUUGACUUGAUCUUCUGGAUCCAUGGUUUGACUAUGCAAUAAAUGUCUUGUAAGUAUGUAUUAGCUGUCUCCCACCUAUGAGCUCCAGAUAUCAAAACCUAACUAGAGUAGGGUGAGAGAGAAGGCAAUGUCACUAUGCCUCAUACCAAAAAUGCCACAUACUUUGAGAGAAGGCAUAUACCAUCACUGCCUUGGUAAGGAUCCAGAAAUACCACAAAAGAGAGAUUUGAGAGAGUCAUACAAGGAAUCUCUGAGUUUUAUUUGAAAAUUUGCAAAAACUCCAGAGCUAUAGCUGAUCAACAAUAAGAGACAUGGCGCUUGACUAGACCGUUCUAUCUUUUAACUACUCAAGACACAAGUGAUGGUUGCAAGCCCCAUGGUGGAAGGUAAAAUGAGUUAGUUUAAGUCUUAACAAUUUACCCUAACUUAGAGAUGAAAUCUUGUUUGAACGCAUGUGUACCUUUAAGGCAUGAAACCACUGCAGAAACUCUUGAGUUCAUCUUUUCUCAGGGACGAGCAAAGGUUAAGCUUGGAGGAGCUUGUUGACGGUCCUUAAUGCUCACAUUUAACCAUCAACUAAUCAUGGAAAAGGACCUAUAUGGAAUCAACACCUAGACUUAGGGUUUUAUCAGACAGAGUUCCAUGAGUUUUGGUGUUUGUCUGUUUCUGCAGGGGGUUAUCAGGAAAUAUGGAAGAAAGGCCCACACGUCUGGUUUACAUAGAGAUAUUAACGUGCCGCGCAAUUUUCUAUCAUCUAGAAGACUCCAGAAGCCACGGGAAUGAACGCGAAGCCGAGAGGGCUCAGGAACAGGGAGCCUGCCCUACUCCCUAGGGCGCCCGCCCAGCUACAGUGUCCAAUUCGGACCCGUUUCGCGGAUCACGCUCCACCGACCUAAAGGAUCAAGGAAAACCUUGCGAUUAAUGUUGGUUUGAUCCGACGACCUAGAUUCACCUAAAAAUACUAUAUAAGCAAGGCCCCCUGGCCCCUGGAGAUCAUACCUCUUCUACAGAAACAAAGUUAGGGUUUUAAUUCUUCAUCCAAGUAGAGAGGAUCCCUCUAGUUCUUCUAGUUCUACCUCUAGUUCAUCUAGUUCUAGUUCUAGUUCAUCUAGUUCUAGUUCUAGUUCCUCUAGUUCUAGUUCUAGUUAGUUCUAGUUGUAAUCUAGAAAAUAGGGUGAGAGAAGAGGAGAGCGGAGGAGGAGGAGCCAGAUCUGUCGGAUCUUCCUCAACAUUGUACUUUUGCAGCAACUGGUUCGUUCUUCAUCGUUCUCCAGGUUCUUCAAUUCAUAAUUCCUGAGUUCUUUAAUUACUUUUAUUUACAUUCAAAUUAUUUAUUGGAUUCCUGCUUGCAUCAAGUGCUCUAGUCUUUGAAACACUAGAGUAGUAAUUAAUAGAUUAGACGUGGUGUUUAGUCUUGCAAUUACCUGGAAUUGCACCCAAUCCUGCGGAUUGUUGUGGUAGCCCUAGGGUAGUGACAGCCCUAACGGUCGACGUAUUCCACCUCGUUCAGAUUGGUGUUUGUAGGACUGUAGUCAGACCUUCCUAGUCCCCUUCUCAUCUCUUUCUGUGGUUAGUGCUCUGAUGUCCCGAAAUAAAUAAUCUUUGAAGUAAUUCUUGAUUCUUAGAUCAACUAGAGAACUCUCAGGAAACUUCCUCUCUUCCCACCAAAAAUAAUUAUAUAGUUAUCCUUGGGCGAUCUUGGAUCUUAAUUAGUACACUCACGUUCCCUGUGGAAAAUUGAUACUCUGGAUACUCCCGGGUGAAAGCUACAUCGGUAUCCAUGCGCUUGCGGACUUUUCUGUUUGCGUUUAAAAUACCCAACACCCGACAAACCCGACAACCACCUUUAUAACUACCCGAUUACGGAGUAGUGCUUUAUAGUCCCUGAGUAGGUUAUUUCACAUCUUGAAUACAUACAACAAUCUCAAGUCUAUGGACAUAACAUACAUGAUGUGUACAGAGAUAAUAAUAACAUCUCAUGUUGGGUCAGUCCAGCCCCGUAUCAUACAUGUGCCUGCAUUAUAAGUUUGACAUCUCUAUGUCUAUGACUUGUGAAACAUACUCAUCAACUAAUACAUUUGCUGAUCUAAUAUUCAUUUGUGUCCUCACAUGAACUCCAAACAGGGACAACUUAAGAAUAACCAUAUAAGUAAAAGAGUUUCACAAACCAUUCACAUAAUUGUCAAUCAAUACAAGUUUGUCUUUAAUGAAUAUUCAUUGAACACGUAAUAUAUAUCAUAGAUACAAUCACAAUAUGAUAAUCUCUAUGAUUAUCUUUAGGGCAUUUUCCCAAUAGUCUCCCAUUUGCACUAGAGUUAAUCUCUAAGAUAUUUAAUACCCAUAGACCUCAAGUGUGCCUCAUGCUUAGGAUGUGGAAGAGCCUUUGUCAAAGGAUCUACAAUAUUGUAAUCUGUAUGUAUCUUGCACAUAUUGAUUUCACCUUGCCUAAUGAACUCUCAAAUGAGAUGAAACUUCCACAGUACAAGUUUGUUCUUUUGGUGAUUCCUAGGCUCCUUAGCCUACGCAAUCGCCCCAUUGUUGUUCUUUUGGUGAUUCCUAGGCUCCUCUAGAACUUUUCCAACUUACAAUACCACCAUUUAUUAUGAACACAAAACCUGAUUGAGACUGUGAAUCAUCCGUGUUAGUUUGGAAGCUUGCAUUGGUGUAACCAUUUACAAUAAUGUGCUCCUCCUUACCUACCUAGUUUAGGAACACAUCCUUCUCAAGUACUUAAGGAUGUUUUUAACAAGUGUCUAGUGACUCUCACAUGGAUUAGCUUGGUACCUGCUCGCAACAAUUAGAGCAUAUGAGACAUCAGGGUGAGUACAUAUCAUGGAGUACAUAAUGGAACCAAUUGUUGAGGCAUAUGAAACCUUACUUAUGCGCUUUCGCUCAUUAGCUACCAAAGGACACUGUUUAUCACUAAAGCGCAUACCAUCUGACAUAGGCAAGAACCCUUUCUCGGACUAUUCCAUGUUGAACCGUUUCAACACCUUGUCAACGUACGUAUCUUGGCUUAAUCCUAUAAGCCUCUUUGAUCUAUCUCUAUAGAUCCUUCUGCCCAGAAUGUAUGUUGCAUCUCCUAAAUCCUUCAUAGGAAAACCAUUAUUCAGUGAAGUCUUUAUGAAUUGUAACAUCGGAAUUUCAUUCCCAAUCAAUAAUAUGUCAUCCACACACAAGAUUAGAAACAUGACAGCACUCCCACUUUCCCUCUUGUAAACACAAGGUUCUUCUUCAUUCUGACGGAAGCCAAACCCUUUGACUACUUCAUCAAAACAAAUAUUCUAACCCCGAGAUGCUUGCUUUAACCUAUACAUGAAUUUCUUAAGCUUGCAUAUUUUUCUAGCAUUAUUUGGAUCAACAAAACCUUCAGUCUGUAUCAUAUACACGUCCUCUUCCAAAUAUCCAUUUAGAAAGGCUAUUUUACAUCCAUCUAUCAUAUCUCAUAAUCAAAAUAAGCAGCUAUUGCUAGCAGGAUCCGAUUAGAUUUAAGCAUCGCUACUGGCGAGAAUCUCUCAUCAUAGUUAAUUCCUUAAACUUGCCAAAAACCAUUUGCAACAAGUCAAGCUUUAUAGAUGUGAACAUUUCCAUUGAUAUCCUUUUUCUUUUUAUAGAUCCAUUUGCACUCUAUGGGUCUAACCCUAUUAGGCGGGUCAACCAAGUUCCAAACUUGAUUGUCUCCCAUGGAAUCUAUCUCUGAUAUCAUGGCACUUUGCCAUUUUACAGGAUCUGGGUCCAUCAUUGCUUCCGCAUAAGUCACAGGUUCGUCAUCGUUUAACAAUAACAAAUCCCCACGUACUUCGUGGAUUCUGGCUGACCUUCGUGAUUGUGGUGGUGUUUCUAUUGCCAUGGGUAUCUCAACUUGUUAUGCUACAUUAACAUCACUUGUAGAGUCCUUCCCAGCGGGCUCAUCUUAAACUUCUUCAAGACACACCUUCUUUCCACUUUUCUCACUUUUGAGAAACUCUUUCUUGAAGAAAACAUUAUUUCGAGCAACAAACACUUUUCUCUCUAAUCGGAUGUAGAAGAGUAUUACUUUAAAGUUUCCUUUUGCAACAAACACCAUUUCAAUAAACACUUUCCCACGAAAAAUCACCUGUCCGACUUGGGUAUUAGUUUAUCUAACAUAAGUCAUUUUAUAUAAACUUCACAACCCCAAUUUUUCAAAAAAUACAGACUAGGACUCUUGUUAGUCCACAUCUCAUAUGGUGUCUUAACUACAGACUUAGACGAUAUCCUAUUUAAAAUGAAAGCGGCUAUUUUUAGAGCAUAUCUCCAAAAUGAUAAAGGUAGAUCUGACUAGCUCAUCUUUGAUCGAACCAUGUCCAACAAAGUCUAAUUACAUCGCUCGGGUGCGUCGUUCCUCUGAGGCGAUCUAGGUGGCUUAAGAUGUGGAACAAUUCCACAACUCUUUAGAUGAUUGCUAAACUCAUGACUCAAAUAUUUGCCUCCACGAUCAGAUCGCAAAGCCUUAAUUUUCUUGCCAUGUUCAUUCUCUACUUGAAUCUGAAACUCUUUAAACUCUUGGAUUUAUUUUGGGCUAGGCUCAAUUAGAUUUAAUAAAUCAAAUAAACUCUAUGUUAUGUAAUUGUGAAUAAUACGAGUUGUACCAGACAUGGCGAGGCGAGGGGUGCCAAGCAGGCAGGCAUGCGAUGUAGUGAUGUGGUGUGUUAAGUUUUAGCACUCACUAAUUACAGGAGUUUCAACACCUUGUUUUACUCACCAAUUGUUGUCUCUUUGGCUGCCAUCCCUUCCUCUCCUCCCUCUCCUGCCGCAAGGCUAUAAAGAAUAUAUGAGCCUUUGGUCUUGUAUACACACAACACACAACUCAGAACACAAUCCUGCUACAAAGAAGGAAUCCCCAUCUCGUAACUCCGUGCGCACGGAGGAGCGAGAGGGCAGGUGCCUCCGAAGCCCUUGUCGUUCGAGACCUUGCACGAGGGAUCGGCAAUUAGAUUUUUGGGGAGCGUCUACGCUACUACCCAAUCCACCGCCACUGUUCGUCUUCCUCAAGCUGGUUCGGGUAGAUUUCUUCUUCCCGGUGGAAAGAUCGUCUUCAUCCUCUACAUCGUGGAAAUUGGUCAAGGAUCGGGAUCAUCAGAGCGCAUGGGAGGGUAUGAUCCGUUCUUCUUCCUGUUGUGUUUCGUCUUCCUGUCCAUAUUAUCCUGGAUAUGUUUCGUAUGUUCUACAAUGUCUUUUCUGUUUUUAUCUUAUAUAUGUUUCUGCUGUAAGAUCUAUGUCAUGUCUGCUUGUUUCGUUGGUUAAGUUAAAACAUUUCAUAUGUUGUUGUCUCUAUGUUUCAGUAGUGGUUCAGUCACGUCAUUUGAUAUACUGUUUCCCAUAUGUUUCAGUAGUUCUAUUUCAUCGUUUAACACUCAGUCUCUAGUUUAUUGUUGUUUUAAGAUAUAUGUCUUGCCUUGUUAUUAUAUUCCGUAUAUUAUGCUUUUAUAUUUUUAAUAAUCACAUGUUCUACAUGUUCAUAGAUCACAUGUUCUAUAUUCCUAUGAACAUGUUUAAUAUCAUGAUUUCUAUAAUUAAUUAUAUUAUAUAUAUCAUCAUCAUAAUGUUAAUUUAUGGAAUUAAAAUGAUAUGGAUAUUACCUAAAUAUCUAACAAUCCAAAAACCUUAAUUAUAGGCAUUUUUCUGUCAGAGGUUUUGCUGCCGUGUUGAAACCUGAUCCUUUUGAUGGUAAAAACUUCUUGAUCUGGAAAGCUAAGAUGGAAUUGUGGCUAACUGCUAUGUGUUAUCAUGCCACUGAGGGCAAGCCUGCUAACUUGUCUCCUAAGGAUGAGGCUAAGUUUAAGGCUGAUGAUAACCUCUUUCGAGGUGCAGUGAUUUGCGCACUUGACACAAAGUUCCACAAAAGCUAUAUCAUUGUUCCUACAGGGAAAGAGCUGUGGGAUGCACUUGUUGGAAAGUUUGGAGUUUCUGAUGCUGGCAGCGAGCUGUAUCUCAUGGAGCAGCCGUAUCACUACAAGAUGGUUGAGAACCAAUCUGUAGUGGAACAGGAUCAUGAGUUUCAGUCACUAGCUAAGGAACUUGAACUUUUUCCUUGUCCUUCGCCUGUGAAAGGUCCUUGUUUGGUUUUGGUAAUUGAGUGACAACUUAGGUGGACUAAUAGUAUUUAUGUGAGAUAUACAGGAGAUUAGUCCACAGGUGGAUAUGUGAAGAAGUAUAGCUCAAUUGCUUGAAAUCUGUCCAAAAUCAAAAAGCUAGCUAGCUGAGAUCGAGUCUGAGUUUGAGUGAUCAAAUCUUAUUGGAAUGGCUUGAAAUUUGGUGUGAAUUAUUUACAUUUAUUAUAAAAGAUUCUGUAAAAAUCUCAUGAAAAUUGGAUGAGGGAUAUUUCAGUUUUGGAGUAGAUCUUAUCAGCUAUAGUGCAGCAGUUUUCAGCAUGUAGCAGUGGUGGAAGAAUUGAAAUCUGGUAGCAAUCUAGAAGUCAAAUGAAGCUCAAAUUUUUACAGCUGCUAGACGACUUAGUGAAUCACAUCUCCACCAAAUUUCGUGGUAUUUGGCUCUGUACAUUGUGAGAUAUGGAUAUUUCUUUAAAGGGUACAGAAUCUGCUAGAAAAGUGACAAUUAUUGGAUUGAUCUAGAGUUACUUCAAUUGAAAGGUCCUCAAGUUGGAAACAUGAUCAUAAGUGUUUGAAGCACCUAAGUUUAGUUUUUGAAUUGGUCUAAAAGCAUGGUAAGUAAUGAGUACAAGGUCAUUUGAUUGUGGAAUGUACUUGGUGUACACAUUUAGUACUCAAAUUGAAGAUCAAGAUCAAACUCAAGAUAAAGAUGAAGUUUAAGUUCUAGUGACUAUUGAAAAUCAUUUGGUAGAAAGAAAAGGACUUAAAGAAGGAUUCAUGGUUACUCAUUAUAUUAAGUCUACCACUUGAAUCAAUCAAUCAAAUGCAAUUCAAGUGGGUACCAAGAAUAGUUCUUUGGAGAGAGGUCACUUCUCCCUAUGUGAGGGGCUUGCCGCCCGAGGUGUGGGUUAACCAAGUGUGGUACUUGGAAGGCUAACAUGGAAGUGGUGAUCUAAAGGAUAUUUGAGAUGCUUAGUUGAAGCAAUCAAAAGGAUUGAUCAAGAAAGCAAGCAACACCCAAAAGAGAGCUAGUCAUGCUAUUUCAAGUGAUAUUCUUAUUAGUUCUCUCAUACAAGCAAUGAUCAAAAUAAGCCAAGCACAACAAGAUAGUGCACUUGAUCAUAUUGGUGGUUCUCAAAUCAUAUGGGUGAAGAUUUGAUCUAUCAAUUGGUAUUUAUAAUUGGUCUUCACCAAGCUUAUAAAUUGGACUUCACAUUGCUAUUGGAGAAAUGAAUUGGAAUCUAUGUGACUAUCCUCUUCUCCAACAUAGCAAAGGUAUCAUUGUAAUGUGCAUAAUCGUUUCAUCUGUUACUAGUAUGCGGUUAGUGCAUAUAGUACAUGCUUAUUAGGAUCAUGCAUUACAAUUGAAAUAUUUUUAAAUUCAUAAGCCUACCACUAUUGCUUGAAUGAUUAAUAGAUCUAGUGGUAUGUAUAUGAGUUUGUUCAUGAGCUAGUGAACCCAAGUACUUGAUCUAUUUUGGAUUGUUAAUAAGUGACAAGUACAACAUUGGCAAGAUAACCCUUAAUUAGAGGUGUGAAAAAGCUUGUCAUUGGUUCAAACCAGACUUGGAAGCUUAGGCAAAUCAAUAUAGUUCAAGUCAACAAUUAGAAGCUCAUGAUGUUUAGAGUACAAGAGCAAGACAACUAUGCAAAUGGAUAUCUAGACUUAAAUGUUUCUUCAAGUGGUAUCCUUCAAUUGGUACUCAAGAUAGCAAAUGUUCAAGAUUGCAAACAAGUGGUUCCAUACUAUAAUUCUUUAAUUGGUAGAAGAUUUCCAUAUGGUAUCGGACAAGAUAUUUCAAAUAAUAUCACAUUUAUACAUAUGGUGUCUAUCAUACAAGAAGGUGGUUCCACAAGUGAUCCUCAACUUUAAGUGAUCAUCAAGCAAAGAAAGUUCCCUCACCAACAAUAUUGACAAGUGAAUGACCCAUGCUAUGACAUAGGGGGAGGUGCCCCACCAAAUGGUAUCAAGGUCAAAGAUCCUAUGUGGUAUCUCAAGAGCAAUACAAGUAGUAUCAUUCCAACACAUAUGGUGUUGUCCAUAAAAAUGCAAGAUUCAAGACUCAACCAUCUACCCCAAUGCAAUCCUUUGUCACAAUGAGAUGCACAUCUAUCAAUUGGUAUCGAGUUAUUUAAUUGGUAUCACAUUCCUUUUAUGGAAAUUGAUGACAAAGGGGGAGAAGUUGGAACAAAGAUAUGAUCAUGGGAUAAGUUGGACAACAAAAGAUAUGAUAUGACCAUGGGAUAAGUUGGACAACAAAAGGGAUAAGUUGGACAACAAAAGAUAUGUUUCAAGGGGGAGAGAUCAAAGAUGGACAUGGACAAGGGAGCAUCAUUAAAGAAAACAUGAUGGAUCAAAAUUCUUGGACAAAAGAAAAGCACACAAGUAGGGGGAGCAAGCUCAUGAACAUUGAUUGAUUGCAUUUGAUAUGUGCAUACUCAUGUGCUUGCUUGCACUGCAUAAGUUUUAAAUUCAAUAUGCAUGCUUGUGUUGUGUAUGCUAGUUAUAGAUCUUGAUUGAUGAUAUGAUAACUAGCAUGCAUAGGUUGGUAGCUAGACUUGUGUUCUUCAAGUAAAGACUAGACCCUUGCUUAUAAUGUUGAUCUCACGGGGUUUCUAGUGUUUUUGUUGUCUAGCUACUCAUGGUGCUAAGGAUGGUGUACAAUGGCUACUUGAAAUGAUAUAAAAAAUGGUAUCGAGCUACAAAGGUUUAUUCUAUACACCUUAGCACUUAGUCGGGUUUUAUGGUGCUUAUCCAAAUCUUGACUUAGAGCUUAAAUGUUGGAUAAGUAGCAGAAAACCCAAAACAAGUUAGCAACUUACACUUGUGUGAAGUGCUAGCUUGAACAGCUUAAUUUCCAUAUCUUUGUAGAGUUGUCAUCAAUUACCAAAAAGGGGGAGAUUGAAAGGUCCUUGUUUGGUUUUGGUAAUUGAGUGACAACUUAGGUGGACUAAUAGUAUUUAUGUGAGAUAUACAGGAGAUUAGUCCACAGGUGGAUAUGUGAUGAUAAAGGAACUCAUUGCAUAUGAGACAUGACAUGGAGUCAUGUGACCAAGGUGGAGAAGAUCAAGAUGAGGCUUGGCUCGAUGGACUAGUUGCAAGUGUGAAGGGCAAGUCAGAGGCUUUGAAGCGAGAGACCGUGUGUGACGGUGAAGCUUGAGCAAGACUUCACGCCGAUGGACCACGGCAAUGGUGAAGAGCAAGUGAGGUCAAGAUCGAUGAACCAAUACGGUCAUGUGAUGAUAUGAAGUGGAUCAUAUCAUUUGUGAUUGGUUGGUGCAUGUGUUGCAUCAACAUCGAAGGAGAUGGAAUGAAAUACGCAAGGCAAAGGUAUAACCUAUAGGGCAUUUCAUUUCACCGGUCUAAGUUGAGUAGAGAAGUGCUUGACCGGAUUUAGUAUAGAUAACCGUACUAUAAAGAGGGGAAAUCUUUAAUUGCAAUGGUUAUCUAGUGCCACUAAGUGUGAGUCUCUUUUGCAUAUGCAUUGCGCUUAGUGACGUGGUGAGAAUACUUGAGAAAACCCUAACAAUUAUUUGUGAAAAUGCUAACUUAAGUGCUCAAUUAUUUUUGGUACUUCGUGGGAAAGUUAGCACCUUAAAAAGGGGUUUUGAGUUGGAAAACCGAGCUAGUAGACAUGCCCAAACAGCAAGGGGUCGAUCGGAUUUAUUCACUGCCCUACCUGGAUAUUCUAAUAUAUGUGCUUGCAACAAAGAGGGGUCGAUCGGAAUUUUCCUUGCUCUACCCGGAUAUUUUCAUGGCCCUACCUGGAAAUUCCGGUUGAGCUCAGAUCUAACCCAUGCCAACGGUCAAAAGUGUGUUUGCCUGGAACUAUUUCCUACCCGCACUGGAAUUUCCUGCGAGGCUGAAUCUGACCGUUGGGAGCGCGAGCUGAGGUAUUUGGGGCUGCUGCUGCCCUCUUCCUCCUCACUUCUCUCCCCAUUUUCUCACUUUAGGAGAGCAAGCAAGUUAGGGUUCCUCCUCUCCUCUCUCUCCCAUGGAUUUGAGCUGAAAUUUCUUAGAGAGAUUGAGAGCCCUUUGUGGGUGUGGAUGAGAGGUUGAAGAUCCACCUUUUCCCUUCCUCUCCCUCUCAUGCUUGGUGCUAUUUUGAGUGAGGGAGUGAGAGCCUAGUGCGUGCAUUCGUGAUUUGCAUUUGGUGGCACUAGGAAAUCUUUGUGAUUGGGGAUUUCUUGUUACUCUUGGUGAUUGCCAUCACCUAGACGGUUUGGUGGAUUGUGACUCCGUUUGAACCACGCAAGAAGAUUGUGUGGUGCUCCGGAGGAGGAUUUGUGAGGGGUACGGUGCUCACCCCGUGGGGAUCGCGAAGAGCAACUCUAUUGGAUUGUGCGUGUCAUUGAGCUACCUCACUUGUGGGUAGGUUCUUGCGGUGUCCUAGUGAGGACGAGGUUCGUGUAACACCUCUUAGCCGCUGAACCACCAAGUGUUGGUCGACACAACAGGGACGUAGCUUGGGGCAACCAAGUGAACCUCGGGAGAAAAUCAUCGUGUCAACAUUGUUCUUCCCGUUGGUUUGCAAGUCUCUAACCCAAGCUUGUAUUUACUUCAUAUACUUGUGCUUGUGUAGUUGCUCUUGUAAUUAGUUAGCUCUUGUAGCUUGCUAGUUAUCUUCUUGCUUGUGUAGCUAGAAGUAGAUUCCCUUGCGUGGCUAAUUUGGUUUGUGUAACCUUGUUAGUCACAUUGCUUAGUUUGUGUAGCUAAGUAUUUUGCGCUCUCUAAUUUGGCAUUGGUUGCCUUGUUGUUGAGCUUUGCUAGUGAGAUUAAGAGCUUUGUGCUUUUGCUUACUAGUUGUGUAGGAGCUCCCGGGUUUGCAAAGUACUAGUGGCAUAGGUUUGUGUGACCUUGCUUCUAGAAUUGGUUAGGUGAGCUCUUGUUAAGAUAGCACCUUGUUUGCUUGUUUAGGAUCUUUUACAAGGUGCUAGAGAACUUAGAUAGAGGGGUAUAGUCUUGGCUAGACCGAUAGUUUUAAUUCCGCACUUAUUUUGGUUAGCCGGCAUAAUAAGUUUUAGAAAGGACUAUUCACCCCCCCCUCUAGUCCGCCAUCUCGACCCUUCAGCCUGACAAGUUUGUGGUUGGCGGUAUAAUCGCCAAGUUACCACCUUCUUGGAAGGACUUUGCCACCUCUCUCAAACAUGAGAAAUAGGAGUUCAAUGUGGAAGAGCUCAUUGGUACUCUUGAUGUUGAGGAGAGGGCUAGAGCAAAUGACAUUGGGAAAGGUGUUGAGACAUCUUCUGCUAAUAUGGUGCAGAGGAAAUUCCACAAGUUUAACAAUAAGAAAAACUAGAACAAGCAAGAGAAUACACCUAAGCCUGUUCAAACAACAUAGUUUAAAAAGAAGAGCAACAACAAUAAGGGAAAAGGAGGAUGCUUUGUCUGUGGCAGUGAUCAACACUGGGCUAGAGAGUGCCCUGAUCGCAAGGUCACACAGGACAAGAAAUCAGCUAAUAUUGUAACUACUGAAACUGAAGAUGGAACAUCUGGGUAUAGUAAUUCUUUACCAUUUGUUCUUUUAGUUUGUAAUUCACCUAAGUGGUGGAUGGACAGUGGUGCAAAUAUUCAUGUGUGUACUGAUGUGUCUUUGUUUUCUUCUUAUCAGGUCGGGAGAUCUGGCGCCUUGUUAAUGGGAAAUGAGUCGCGUGCUCAUGUUCUUGGUGUUGGUACAGUCAGUCUGAAGUUUACUUCGGGGAAGAUAGUGCCAUUGAAGAGCGUGCAGCAUGUGCCCUCCAUAAAUAAGAAUCUUGUUAGCGCAUCUAUGUUAUGUAGAGAUGGCUACAAAGUUGUUCUUGAGUCAAAUAAAUGUGUUAUGUUGAAACAUGGUACCUUUGUUGGUAAAGGAUAUGAUUGUGGAGGCUUGUUCUGCUUAUUUUUGCAUGAUGAGUGUAAUAAAAUGGAUAAUUCUGUUAAUAUUUCUGAUGAGUCAAAUUUAUGGCAUUCACACGUUUGUCAUGCAAGUUUUGGUUAUCUUAUGCGGCUAGCAAAUCUAAAUUUAAUUCCUAAAUUCAACUUGGUCAAAAAGUCUAAGUGUCAUAUAUGUGUUGAAUCAAAACAACCCCGCAAGCCUCACAAGGCUGCAGAGGCGAGGAGUUUGGCACCUCUAGAACUUGUUCAUUCUGAUCUGUGUGAGAUGAAUGGAAUUUUGACAAAAGGUGGUAAAAGAUCCUUUCUCACUUUUAUAGAUGACUCCACGCACUUUUGCUAUGUGUAUCUCUUGAAAACAAAACAUGAAGCGCUUAAUUAUUUUAAGAACUAUAAAGCUAAAGUUGAGAACCAACUCUAGAGGAAAAUAAAACGAUUAAGGUCUGAUCGAGGUGGAGAAUAUUUCUCUAAUGUUUUCAAUGAGUUCUGCGUGGAACAUGGAAUUGUUCAUGAGAGGACACCUCCAUUCACACCACAAUCCAAUGGGAUUGCUGAAAGGAAAAACCACAAUCUAACUGAUUUGGUGAAUGUCAUCUUGAGUACAGCGGGAUUAUCCAAGGUAUGGUGGGGUGAGGCAAUUUUGACAGCGUGUCAUGUCCUGAACAGAGUUCUAGCAAAGAACAAAGAGAUUGUACCAUUUGAGGAAUGGGAAAAGAGAAGAUUAAAUCUCUCAUAUUUGCGCACAUGGGGUUGCUUGGCUAAGGUGAAUGUGCCAAUCAACAAAAAGCGUAAACUUGGGCCUAAAACUGUUGAUUGUGUUUUCCUAGGCUAUUCUUUCCACAGCACUGGAUAUAGGUUCUUGAUUAUAAAAUCUGAUGUGCCUGAUAUGUAUGUUGAUACUAUCAUGGAGUCAAGAGACGCUACAUUUUUUGAGAAUGAGUGUCCCAUAAAAAAUACACCUAGUAAAACAAGUCAUGAGACUAUAAUACCCCAUGAGCAAGAAUUGUCUAUUCCUAUAGAUCAUGCUGAGGAGACUCACAUGCACAUCCCUAAGGAGGAUGACACUAUAGUCACUCGAAAGAGCAAGAGACAGAGGAUUGCAAAAUCCUAUGGUGAUGACUUUAUAGUGUACCUUGUGGAACACACACCAACCACCAUUAGAGAGGCAUAUUCCUCUCCUCAUGCUGACUUAUGGAAGGAAGCAGUAAGGAGUGAGAUGGAUUCUAUUAUGUCUAAUGGAACGUGGGAGGUCGUUGACUGUCCUUAUGGUUGUGAACCUAUAGGGUGCAUGUGGAUCUUUAAGAAAAAGCUUAGGCCUGAUGGUACAACUGAGAGGUACAGGGCAAGGCUUCUGGGCAAAGGAUAUACCCAAAAGGAGGGUGAAGAUUUCUUUGACACCUAUUCACCGAUGGUUCGAUUGACUAGAAUUCGCACAUUAAUAGUUGCGUGUAACACUCUAAAAUUUACUCCUUUUGAAAUAUAGAUAAAAUUAUUUAAUUUUGUAUUUUUGUGCUCAUGAAAAUAUAGGAAAAAUAAUAUUUUUCAUUAAUUUAAAAUUUAUCAUAAGGUUUAGCAACAUUGUUUUGCAAAUAUGCUGGUGCAUUCGAUUUGAUGUAAUGUUUGCUUGUUGCCCCUUUGUGUGUUGAGAGUGAGCAAAAUCUUUAAAUUGUGUUUAGUAGAACGGUCUUCCUUGAUCAGUACAUCUUUAUCUUUAUCUAUAACUAAAUUCCUUGUUUCUCGGCUCAAACUUUUAUUAGAAGCUUCCUAAAAUCUUUUCUUUGUCACCCAAAUCACUUCUUUUAGUUCCUCGUUCAUCAAGCAAUUUCUACAAACUUUUCGGAAAUUUUUCUAGCUUCUAUUCUCACUUUUCUGUGAGCAUAAUCUAAUAUUUAGAUGCUCCAAAUUAUCUUAUCAUGAGCUCCAAAUAAUUUAUUUGGGUUCCUCAUGUUUCAUAAUAUUUCCAAAAAAAUUUCCUGAAUUUUCAGAGCUUUUGAAAUAUUUUUCAUGAUUUAAAUAAUAAUUCUGGACUUUUCUAGAAUUAUUUUAUUCACAAAAAUAAUUAAUUUCGAAAAUAAUAAUUUUUUUAUUUUACCCCAACGCUCAACCCAUGAUCUCAAAGGCCAAUGUAUUUAUUUAAUAGUGGGCUUUAAUAAUUGAUUAGGCCUAUUAGUAAAGAUAAAGGUUGCAAAUCAAUUAGUACCAUAUCGCUAGUUAACGGAAAGGUGGAAGGUUUCUCUCCCUAUAUAUGUACCAACUCCUUAGGCAAAGUACACCAAAAACUACCAUACGAGGAGCCUUAGUUUGAGAAAUCUCAUGUGUAGUAAAUUGGAUUUUUUUCCUCCUUUUUAUUCUCAUGUCGCCACCAGCCAACCCUAAUGACUUCUUCGGCAAAAGGGCCACAAGCAUCGUUCGUUGAUUUCUGGACAUCCUGCGAUUCUUCUCUUCAGCACUGGUCACCAUUGUUUUAUCGGCCUCUGGUGAGGACACCUCUUUUGUGACCCUACACAUUAUUUUUAAUCUGUUGUAUCUUAUUUUUCUGCUUCUGCCAAACUUUAUCUUCCAGGCCUGCUUUUUUUUUCAUCCUGCCUGUAAGCACCAUGGCCAACUUGGGCACCCUGCUUGUCGGGAAAUCAGCUCCUGUCCUACAAGUCUGCAACUUACCGUGCUUGCUGUUCCUGAGACGUCCUUGCCAGCUGCUGCCUCUGUAACUAUCGUUUGAAGCCUUCUCGUUGAUCCGAGCAAGUCGCCAAGCGUUUACUGGUGGUAAUGAAACUCCUUACACCAUCUUCUUUCCCUGGCAUGCCCUCUGUUUUACUCACGCUACAACUGAACGUUCACGUGAAGCCAUGCGCCGCGUGUGUGCUCUCCCUGCUUGCUAGCUUGGUGACAUCAUGAUGAUCAGAUAAUGACAUCACAUGAAAUUUUGUUGCCGUUUUUCUUUACAAAAACAAAUCUAGAAAUACAAAGAAAAUACACUUGCUUGUUUAGAUCAUAUUUUCUUCGUUUUAACUCCGUUUUCGUCCAUUCAAAUUUCGUUAGAUUCGUAAUUACGAGCUCUACAUGUUAGUGGUACUGUUUCACUGAUUUGAAACUUUUUAAUUUCGCAGUAGCAUUUAAUUAAUUAUUUAUCUAUAGGAAAUCUUAGAAAAUUCAUAACUUCUACGUUUUAACUCCGAUUUUCGCGAUCUUUACAUCCGUGAAAUCGUAGCGAUGCGUAGAAUCAUUUUAUAAACUUUUCAUAUUUUUUUUAUAUGAUUGGUGUACUGUUCUAAUUGUAGUCUUGUUUGCUUCGUGUAUGUUUUCUUCGAUUGUUUGUGUGAUCGAUGAUCGAGUUUAGACGGAGAGCAGUUUUGGGUGAUCAAAAUCAGAGCUUGGACAAUAAGUAAAGACCAGCAGAACCAAAAGGAUCAGCAAGAGCAUUUGGAUUAAGGCAAGUAUAGCAUUUGGAUUUUAUUUCUGUGACCAUGAUCCUGUGACUAGAUUAAUGUUAAGUAAUAAAUGAUAAAAAUGACAUUUUAGCCACUUGAUGAUUUAUCUGUAAGUGAUAACCGGGACAACAGUGCAACCAUGAGGGCUAUAAUGGCUCUGGCUUUAGCUUAGUAUAAAGACAUUUUCUAGCUUGUUAGAGGUUACACGAAAGGGCGGAGGGGCUGAACCGUUUUGGGUAUAGUGUGGCCUCUGUCUGUAUGUGUAUAGGCUGCGAGUCAUUGUGCCAUCGGAAGAGGGGCUCUAUAUCUGCGCGCAAAGGAAACCUUGCGGCCCUAACAUGUUAGACGAACUUUUGAAAGGUUUCAUAGUGAUCCCUGCCGACCUUCCUUGGGAGUGGGUUAAGAGGCUGAUCACCUCGGGCGAAAGGGUAAAUCAUGACUCAUGGGUAAAGAUGUACAACCUCUGCAGAGUGUAAAACUGGUAUACUAGCCGUGCUCACAGUCAUGAGCGGCCUUGGGGAUUCUUGCAUCGACGGUGAUGAUUUUUGUGUGUUAAAUAUGCUCAUUAUUUAUUAUUUAAUGCUCUACAUUAUUUAUGUCACAUUGAUCAUGAGAUUGUGGGAUCUAUACGAUCUAGUUGCUAUACUUGUGGAGUUCGACAUGGACUCACUCUUGCAAAUUCCCCCACACCUCAGGAGAAGUUUUGGGUUUGUGAUCAACCAGUCAGUUGGAUCCUGUAGAGUGAAGUUAAUACCCGAAGUUUGGAGUUGUUUUAUCCGCUAUUGCUAUCAAGGUUAUCUCUUUUAUACUAAGUACGUUAUAUAUUUAUGCAUUGUCUUUUGAUAUUACCCCUUAUUUGUAGCUAUAUGUGAGAUUUGAUUUCUAAAACUCAUAUAUGAUGCAUAUCUGAUUUUGUCCUUAAAAUCGGGUAUUACAUUGUGCCAGCCUCUUAUGGUCUUAUCAUUCAUCAGAUGGAUGUUAAGACAGCUUUCCUUAACAGAGAGUUGGAUGAGGAGAUCAAUAUGGAUCAGCCAGAAGGAUUCAUUGCAGAUGGUCAAGAGAACAAGGUGUGUAGGUUGUUAAAAUCAUUGUAUGGCCUAAAACAAGCACCUAAGCAAUGGCAUGAAAAGUUUGAUAAUACUCUCACUGCUGCUGCCUUUGUUAUGAAUGAAGCUGACACAUAUUAUUGAUAUGGUGGGGGUGAGGUCAUUAUGUUUUGCCUUUAUAUUGGUGACAUGUUGAUCUUUCGAUAAAACCUCAAUGUGAUUGAGGAAGUAAAGAAAUUUUUAUCGAGUAAUUUCGAUAUGAAAGAUUUGGGAGAAGCUGAUGUCAUUCUUAACAUCAAGCUUAUCAGAGAAGUUGAUGGUGGGGUAAAUUUGUUACAAUGUCAUUAUGUAGAAAAGGUAUUGAGUCGCUUUGGUUUUAGUGACUGUGAUCCUGCUCCUAUACCUUAUGUCCCUAGCAUGCUAUUGAGGAAAAAUAGGAGAAUUGCAAGGGAUCAAUUGACAUACUCCCGAAUCAUUGGUGCACUCAUGUAUCUUGCGAGUGCAACAAGGCCUGACAUCUCAUAUGCUGUGUGCAAGCUGAGUCAGUUUGUUUCAAAACCAGGGGAUGAUCACUGGCAUGCUCUUGAGAGAGUGUUGCGCUAUCUGAAAGGUACUAUGACAUAUGGUACUCAUUAUACUGGGAACCCCAGAGUGCUAGAAGGCUUUUGUGAUGCCAACUAGAUUUCUGAUGCUGAUGAGUUUUAUGCCACGAGCGGAUAUGUGUUCUUGCUUGGAGGUGGAGCUGUUUCCUAGAAGUCUUGCAAGCGGGCUAUCAUAACGAAGUCUACAAUGGAAGCAGAACUCGCAGCAUUAGACACUGUUAGGGCUGAGGCCAAGUGGCUUUGUGAACUCCUGAUGGAUUUACCGGUAGUUGGAAAACCGAUACCGGCUAUCUCCAUGAACUGUGACAACCAGACUGUGAUUACAAAGGUCAACAGUUCUAGGAAUAACAUGAAGUCUACAAGGCAUGUGAAAAGAAGAUUACAAUCUGUCAGAAAGCUAAAAACCUUCGGAGUUAUAACGGAGGAUUAUGUCCACACGUCGAAUAAUCUGGCAGAUCAAUUCACUAAGGAUCUGUCAUGCAAUGUGAUAGAAAGUGCAUUGAGAGAAAUGGGUAUCAGACCAAUGUGAAAUCUACUGUAGUGGUAACCUGCUCUAUGUGAUCGGAGAUCCCGUGAAGUAGAGUGGUGAAACAAGCUAGUAGUAGAUUGAGAGAAAAGUUCCCUUUCUUCACUCAUUUCUGAUGCACAUCUUUUCUAUCUGUAAGGCAGGAUGGUAUUUACCUUAAUAUAUUCCAAGAGUCUUUUAAAGGUGAGAUGUUGUCCUAUAGAACAUCUUUUGAGGAGUACACUUAUAUGAGUGAGACUGCUGGUCACACUCUAUGGGACUUGGGUAAUCCCUAAAUACUCAUGAAAGGCACUGAAGUGUGACUUAUAUGCUUUAAAACAGCGGGGAUGCCUCGUGCAGCCUAGUAUCAGCUAAGGACUGGAGCAGAUCUCAUCUCGCACAAAACUGACAAUUCAAGGCUUAGUCCAUUGUUCAGUUGUGAGUGGGUGAAACUCUUGUUCUAGAUGGAUGUUCAACUUAACAGUCUCCAUUGAAACACUAGUAUAUCAAAGAAUUGUGGUUCUGAUACUUCAUUAUUACAAACCCUAGAGUUUGGAGGGGAUUGUUGAAUUUAUUUUGGGCGAGGCUCAAUUAGAUUUGAUAAAUCAAAUAAACUCUAUGGUAUAUGUAAUUGUGAAUAAUACGAGUUGUACAGGACAUGGCGAGACAAGGGGAGCCAAGUAGGCAGGCAUGCGGUGUAGUAAUGUGGUGUGUUAAGUUUUAGCACUCACUAAUUACAGGAGUUUCAACUCUGUGUUUUACUCACCAAUUGUUGUCUCUUUGGCUGCCAUCCCUUCCUCUCCUCCCUCUCCUGCCGCAAGGCUAUAAAGAGGACAUGAGCCUUUGGUCUUGUACACACACAACACACAACUCCGAACAUAAUCCUACUGCAAAGAAGGAAUCCCCAUCUCGUAACUCCGCGCGCACGGAGGAGUGAGAGGGCAGGUGCCUCCGAAGCCCUUGCCGUUCGAGACCUUGCACGAGGGAUCGACAAUUAGGUUUUUGGAGAGUGUCUACGCGACUGCCCAAUCCACUACCGCUGUUCGUCUUCCUCAAGCUGGUUCGGGCGGAUUUCUUCUUCCCGUUGGAAAGAUCGUCUUCAUCCUCUACAUCAUGGAAAUUGGUCAAGGAUCGGCAUCAUCGGAGCGCACAGGAGGGUAUGAUCCGUUCUUCUUCCUGCUGUGUUUCGUCUUUCUGUCCGUACAUGUUGUAGUAGUGUAUUCAUAUUGUUGCGCAUACUAUCCUAGAUAUGUUUCGUAUGUUCUACCAUGUCUUUUCUGUUUUUAUCUUAUAUAUGUUUCUGUUGUAAGAUCAUGUCAUGUCUGCUUGUUUCUUUGGUUAAGUUAAAACAUUUCAUAUGCUGCUGUCUCUAUGUUUCGGUAGUGGUUCAGUCACGUUGUUUGAUAUACUGUUUCCCAUAUGUUUCAGUAGUUCUGUUUCGUCGUUUAACACGCAGUCUCUUGUUUAUUGUUGUUUUAAGAUAUAUGUCUUGCCUUGUUAUUAUAUUUCAUAUAUUAUGCUUUUAUAUUUUUAAUAAUCACAUGUUCUACAUUUUCAUGGAUCACAUGUUGUAUAUUCCUAUGAACAUGUUUAAUAUCAUGAUUUCUAUGAUUAAUUAUAUUAUAUAUGUCCUCAUCAUAAUGUAAAUUUAUGGAAUUAAAAUGAUAUAGAAAUUGUCUAAAUAUCUAACAUGAACCUUCCAAAUGUCUCAGACUUAUGCUUCAUUAAGUAGACAUAGUCAUAUCUACUAAAAUCAUCAAUGAAAGUUAUGAAAUAUUGAAAUCCGCUUCUAGCUAUCAUACUCACUAGUCCACAUACAUUAGUAUAUACAUGUUCUAACAAGUUAGAUGCCCUCUUAGAUAAACCUAUGAAAGUAAGUUUGGAAACCACGUAUACCCUUGACCGUGAGUUUGGUUUGGAAUCUAGACUUCGAGUGAUGCAUGUCUAAGUGGUGCCCAUCAGGGCCUACAGCCGACCGCCCGACGGAUUGCAGGGCUGUUGCCGGCUGCCCAAUUCUCUCAAUCUGGGCCAAAGACUCUCUUGCUGGGCUACCUUUGACCUCUAUGCAUACAUGUAGUUUCUAUACUUAUUAAUUGUUAUAGACACUAUAUAUAGAAACCAUUGUCCUAAUAGAUAGUUUCUACAGAAUAAUUUUUUAUUCAAUCAUAUUCAUUCUCUCUCCAUUCUUAACCAAUCAUAUCACUUCAUGUUUUGAAUCUCGUGUAGACAUGGUUUCUAACUUAGACCUAGUUUCUAUGAUUUUUGCUCUCUUUUUAAUAACUACCUUGCCAAAUCAGCAAAAUGCUUAGGUGGCACUAUAAUAAAUGUCUAUAGAAACUACAGUGGUUUCUGUAUUGGGAGUGCCCUCACUCGGUGAAUCCUAUGUAGGUCAAAGCUAGAUUAGCUUGUUGGGUUUCUGGUAGUGAAAUCUACUUAUGCGGAUUUAAGUUCUCGACUUAGCACGGGUAUUUAUAUUUUUAUAGAUUUAUUUUAGAGUUUAACUGUGCUAUAUUUUUAGUUGUAGGUGACUAUAUUUUUCUGGAUUUAUUUUAGGAUUUAACGGCGCUAUAUUUUUAGUGGUAGGCGACGUCGCCAUCGAUAGUGAAAGGCCUAUGGUGACUUCGUGAAUCUUGUGAUCUGCUUGUUUAAUCCUUUAGAGGUAUUUAUAAAGAUAGGGUUUUUAUAUAUGUGUUCAUAUAGAGAAUGAGUGUGCGUAUGUUAUGAAUGUCUAUACUGUGUAAUAAUUCUAAAAAUAAAAAAAGCUGGUGACAUCAAUCGUGCGGCACUGGAGAUCAACAUUGAUGACAUGACCAUCUUGGCUGCUAAAUGUGACACCUGUCCAGUUACAGCUGCCAUUAGUCCAUCGAACCGGCCGAUUGACGACUACCACGGAUGUGGAAGCCGAUUGAUGCAUGGCCUUAUUGAGCGGUUUGUGUCAUACGUGUCGAUCGGCGAUCGCUGUGUGUUUGUGAAUUGUCACCAGCUACGGCUGUACUUGGUGGUUUAAUUUGAAUUGAGUUUCUCUCCUCAGAAAUUACUACUGUAUAAGACAAGGAUAGAAAGUACAAAACAAUGAGCAAAAGUACUGAAAUCACAUGCGACUCCCGGAUGCGUUCAGUGACGCGGCCCGUGCUGGACACCCGGAUCUUUUCUUUUUCAUUUUUAACAACUCUAUAUGCAUGUAAUGAAAUAUUCUUCGUUCCUGCUAAAUAUGAAAAAUAAUCUGUUGUCCCUCUGAUUGAACGACUUUGAAAAGUCGUACUACCUUUUUAUUCUCUACUAUAAAAUGCAAGACAUAGUUUCUACCAUAUUUUCUAAAAAAGAACUCAUACUACCGAAAAAUAAUUUUGAACAAAAACACAUCCUCAAAUAAGGUUUUAUUUUUAAAUUAAAUUUGAGAGCAUUCAAAGAUCUCAAAAAGGUUGAAUUGCCUGUGAAAACAUACUUGAAAUGGGCUUGAAAACAACUGAGGGCACGUGGUUGAUACGUGCCAAAGUGUGAAUGACGAGUGAUUUUCAUUGAGAUAUAUAAUUAGGGCUUUGGUUACAUGUGCGUAAGCCUAACCAAAGUGUGAGUUGUGUGUUUAACUUAUCUCUUGGCUUGUGGAAGUGAAGGCGUUGAGUUUGAGAUGGUCGACAACAAUGGAGUAUGUGCAUGACGGACCAGGGCUGGUGAAGGGCAUACUUGAAGGCUUGGACCGUGGCUAACAGCCGGAGGGAUGGACCAUGGACGGCGAGUAGUUGGGCACAUCAAUGAGCAAGGGCACAUGCACGCAAGACAUUGAUGAAGACGUCAGUAACAGAGUCUAGGUCAUGGAUCGGCAAAGCCAACAAGGCAUGCUAUGAUGACCACUUGGUGGACUGCCGGGACAGGGGACAUGUAGACAUGCAUUGGUGGCUUUGUGUGGUUACGUGGCCUAGAGGGUUAAGCGGUUUGAGCCUCAAAACCAUAGGCAUUUCUGGGUUAGACCUCCAAACCUAAAGGAGGAUCUCGGGGUAAAACAUGUCUUCACCAGAGAGCCUACACCAAGGCGAAGUGACUUCAUGAAGGGCCAUGACCAUUCCAUACAUGAAAGACUAUUUGGACCAUGUCAACCCUAGUGGCUAAGUGCUUCCUAUCUAAACCUAGGAGCAAUCUUGAAAAUAUGUAAUGGCCCUAUAAAUAAGAGAAGUGGCUGCAAAAACACAACCACUAGUACAUUGGCACACUAUACAGGCGAUUGGUAACAUAUUUCUACAGGCGUUUUCCGGAUCCGCCUGCGCUGGAGGCCAGUAGAAAUCGUCCAUUUCCACAGGCGGUCGCUUGAGAGCCGCCAGUAGAAACCUUUUACACAGGCGGCUCUCUUAGGGAACCGUCUGUGUAAAUGUUCAUUUACACAGGCGGUUUCCUAAGAGAGCCGCAUGUGUAAACCUAUUAAAAUAUGUAUUAUUUAUUUAUUUAUUAAUUUAUCUAUUUAUUUAUAAUUUUAUUGUUAUUAUUUAAAUAUAUUGAUAUUGGUUGGUCUUCUAACAUAGCAACAUGUAAUUUAAAUACUUCAUCUCAUACAUACAUUUGUAUACAUCAAAGUUUGGUGCUCAAAGACAUAAAGUUAAUUACAAGAGUAUAUCCAUCAUCACACAUCAUAUAUAUAUAUAUAUACAUCAAAGUUUGUUUCUGUUCUCUAAUAACCCUCUUUAGUAAGUUUGAGCUUACUAAUCUCUGUUAGCACUCGGAACUGUGGCCUGGAUAAUUGGCUUUCAUCAUCAUGAUAUUUGCCUUCACGUGGAAUGACAAGCUUUAUGAUGAACGAGCAGAUGUCCUCAACUAUGUUGUCUAAAGCACGUUCGUCCAUGCGCUCCGCCGUCCCUUGCUUAUAUACCUGCAAAGAAAGUUUAUAAACAUUAUAUAUUUUAUGACUUCCAACUUUAAUAGACUAUUACUUAUAUUACCUUGUCAGGGUUCCUUGCAUAUCGUCCGUUUUCUCUCAUGUUCUCGCACACGUAGUAGCCACAGAGGACACAUAAGGGUGGUUGCUUCAUGCACUGUAUAACAGGAGAGUGGUUAUUUAAUUAUACCAUCGAUCGUGUGGCGGACGUCUAACUCUGGCCAGUAUUCCAAAUACUUGAAGAAAAUUGACUUCUUCUUGAAUGUAGCCCCUGGAGCUGGCUUAGGGACACGUAAGCGGUGUCAUCUAUGCAUACCACACAACCAAACUUUCCCUUGAACUACCCUGAUAAUGUAAAGGGAGCUGGGUAGUCAUUGAUCGUAACAAAGAUAAUUGCUCUCAGUGUGAAUGAUUCUUUGCGGUACUCGUCGAAUAUUUGAACACCUUUAGCACAGAAUAUUAAGAACGCAUCAAAGCCAGCAUCAGAAAGACCAUAUCUAGCUUUGCACACCAACAACUUUAGCACAGACCGCAGCGUCGUGAACUCUUUGGUGCAACCCUUGGACUCAUCAUACAAAGGCUCUUCUACUGCCUUCAUUAGGGCCUCCAUACCUUUCAUGAAGAACACUGAUGGAUCUUCCGCAUGACGACGCAACAUUGCCUCUAGAAAUUCUGCAUCUUCCGCAGCCAUGUUAGUUUCGGUGCCAUCUUCAUUUCCUCCAAUAAAACCAUGAUCAGGAACAUUUGGCACAACAUGUUCAGUGGCUAGACCAUCGGUAUUAGGUUGUUGUGUCUCGUGUACGAACUCAAACCCGUCAACAAUUCUAGUUGUAUAAGGCGCAGAGCUACCCUCUCCAUGCUUUGUCCAAAUCAAGUAAUCUUUCAUAAAUCCUCGACGGACCAGAUGAGUAAGGAUUUGUUGAAUGUCAUCGGAUACAACAAGAUUUCUACAAUCCAUGCAUGGACAAUGUAUGUGCGUCUUUCUUAUUCUUGAAGCAUGGUUUUGAGCAGCAUCAAUAAACCUCUGGACCUCAGUUAUGUAUGAUGGAUCUAGUCUUGAUAAAUUAUACAUCCAAAAUGACCUCUCCAUCACUACCUGUAAAACACCAUUCAUAUGAUCUAAGGGUUUACAAAGGAUUUAUCUAGGGUUUAUUAGCUAGGGUUUAUGGUUAAGCUUGAGAUUAAAGGAAAAAACCUAAGUUACAUAAUUAAUAAAUAAUCUAAGUAUAGCAUAACUAUAUAAAUACAUCAUUCAUUAUAAAUAGAUAGAUGAUGUGGAAGGUGAUAAUAAAAAACCUAACUACCAUAUAAUUAAAAAAAUCCACAAUUAUCUCUCUACAUAAAUAUACAAAGAACACACCAUUGGUUUAAUCUUGUAAAAACUAGCUAAAUUGAGAAGCAAACAUGUUGAGAGGCAUUAUCCAACCAUAUUAAGCAACCCCAUCUAACCAUAUCAACAAAUAAAGACAAGAAGCUAGCUAUUCUUCUCUCUCUAAAACAUACAUACAUGUUGAUAAAUAAAUUAAAAAAAUUAUAAAGAGAGGGAGACAUAAAUUAGAAAACCUAAGUAUAGUAUAACUAUAUAAAUACAACAUUCAUUAUAAAUAGAUAGAUGAUGUAGAAGGUGACAAUAAAAAACCUAACUAUCAUAUAAUUAAAAAAAAUCAACAAUUAUCUCUCUACAUAAAUAUACAAGAACACACCAAUGGUUUAAUCUUGUAAAAACUAGCUAAAUUGAGAAGCAAACAUGUUGAGAGACAUUAUCCAACCAUAUUAAACAACCCCAUCUAACCAUAUCAACAAAUCAAGACAAAAAGCUAGCUAUUCUUCUCUCUCACUCAUGGUGAAACUCUAGAUCCAAAAAGUGGCUCAAAUUGAGCUAGAAUGAGCAAAUUGAGGCAAUAGGGACAUAAACUAACCUCUUUUAGCAACCUCCUUCCUAGAAAUGAAGAUCAAAACCUCCCUCUUAUAUUUUGAGAAAUCUAGAACUCCAAAAUCGCCACCAAUGGAAGGUGGGUGCGAGAUAUUGUGUUCUGGUCGGGGAGGAAGAAGGGGUAUUUAUACAGAGAUAACACAGGCGGUUGCUUAAGUCAACCACCUGUGAAAAACGUUUCCACAGGCGGCCAAUAAUCUCUGACACCGCCCUAUUUAUACCACAGGCGCGUCGCAACUGGAACCGCAUGUGGUAUAAAAAGGGGGCGCCAGCUAUGAGCCUGUUUCUACUAGUGAACUAUUCCUAACAUCCUCUAUCUUCUUAUUUUAGGAUUAGCCAAUGGUUUCAAUGUAUUAGAGGGAAUAAGUUAUUUAGUUGUUAUUUCCUCUUAGCCUAGUUUCUUAUAUGAAGUGGGAAGAUGUUUGAGAGGAGGCCAAUUGGAUGUAAAGAUGAAGGUUAAUCUAUUGGAGGUUGCUAAAUAAACUUUGAGUUCAUCUUUUCUCUCCAUUGGUUUUCACCUUUUUCAGUAGUUUUCAUGGCCAUUUUUUCAAAGAAUUUAUUUUUUUCUAUGUUAUCUGAUCACUUGUCACGAUUUUGGAGUGAAUAGGGUCUCUUUGAGCUUGAACAAAACAUGACUUGAAGUCUAGCUAGCUUCUCUCUACCAUGUUCCAAACCCUAAAAUCUCUCUUUUUCACCUUCUUUUUUGUGAAUUUUCUUAGGGAUCUCUAAGCCCUUUUCUGAUGAUCUCUUUUGUUUCUUUGGUGCUAUGAGGUCUGGGCAAUAUUCUCAGGCUUUUCCUUUAGUGGAAUUCCUAGUAGCACUCUCAAAACCCUCUUGUCAAGAAUAUUGUGAAAGAAUUGUUUAUAAGCCCAAUUCAAGAGGUUGAGAUAACAGUAUGGCCCCCGCGUCGCUCCCCCCUAAGGCCAACUCGGGCGGCACUGUCACCCCCGCACUCGAGUCCCUCCUUCCGCCCUUCCUGUCUCAGCCGCUGCCAAAGCUCACUGUCGAAGCUCGGGUGGAGGGCUAGGACGGCAGCGGCUGAGCAUCUCCCUUCCUCUCCAUCCCUCUUCCUCGCUCUCUCUCUCUCCCUCUCCCUCUCCUAGUGAAGAUCUGUGCCUCACUAUGGGUGGAUCUGGCUCCUGUAGGCUAGGUCAGCUCUGGCGACGUGGAGGUGGUGCAAGCACGCCUAGGGUUCUAGCAUGGUCCCUAGGGUUCUAGCAUGGCACAAGCUCCAGCAGAGUGUGGUGCGGUGGUGGCCAGUCUCCAUGCAGGGUGGUAGCCCUGGGGGCCACGUGAGAGGCGGUUGGCAGCGGCCGAGGGGCUUGGUGGCUGGGGUUCUACUUCCACAUCCCUAGUCCCCUUCUUCCUCCAUCACCCUCCUUCUUGCUAUAGCCCUCGUUCGGCUUCCUGCUGGCUGGCUUUAGUUGGUUUUGGUUGUGGGCCUCCUCUUCGACGUGCUUCGUCCGUCUCCUCUCUUGGCUGUUUGGUUUGAAGCUCCACCUGGCUCUUCAUGACCUGAUUGGUCGGGGGCAUCGUCAUUUGGUUGCGCUUGCUACGAGAACACUCAUGGUACGCAUGGUGACGUCGGGUGUCAGCGGGGAUGCCUUCCUUUGUGGUUUUCUCCAUCACGGAGGCCGGCUGUGGCGCGGGGGUGAGAGGUCAUGGCGAAAGCCUAGAUGACGGUGCCUACGUACGUCGCUUCCUCCUUGGGGCGUCCUUCUUGUACCUCUUCCCCCAUCCAUUCUUGGAUUUGUAGGUGAAAACCUUCCCUUCUGGGCUUGCAACGUUGGCGUCUUCUGCAUUGUGUCUUUCUUGAAGGCGUCGUGAGAUAUUCCUGCUGCACUCUAGUGCCCCUUUCCUACGGCUUGGUCCUAGUCAUGCUUUUGAAGGUUCCACUGGGGGUGUUUGGCUUCUGUGUUCUGUUUUUCUUUGUUAAGUUGUUUUUUGGCUACUUGUUCUUUGUGUAGGUUCUAGUUGGGUCGAGUUUUGACCAAGUUGAGUUAGCUCUAUGUUAUUCAUCGGACCAUUCAAUAGUGGAUUUUAGUUGAGUAAUUUUCCACCACGCUGCGAGUGGUGUCGUGGGUUGUGUUAGUUGCUCCAGAGUAAGGAUGGGGACGGUGCUUCAAACGGUUACCCGCGGUUCUUCUCUAGUAUAACUAAAUGAACUAAAUGAAAAAAUGAGAGAAGGAAUUGUCUAUGUGGUUCUACUCUAGUGUAACUAAAUGAACUAAAUAAAAAAUGAGAGAAGAAAUUAUCUAUUUAGUUCAUUAAAUUAAUCUAGAGAAGACCCAUGGGUAUCCAUUUGGACGGCCAUCCCCAUCCUUACUUUAGAGUUGUUUGGGUUGAGUACGGCACUCCCCUCAGUUGUAUGCACUCCCCUUAGUUGUAGGGUUUUUCUGACUCAGUUUCCAUUUAAAAACUAGGCUAACACUUGCCUUUUUGUUCCUUCGUAUAAUAGAAAUCGUGGCAAAGUUUUUGCUGCUCUUUUGAAAAAAAGAAUAUUCUGAAAAUCCCAAUUUGAAAGAGAAUGUUUGAAAUUUUUGACCAAGCUUUGAGCUUUUGGUCGAGAUCUUGGGGGCAGCCUCACGUCACCAGAUUUGUACAAAACUUCAUGUCAAUUGUACUUUGUUUAGAUGCAUUUCGCAAGUUUUCUCACUUGUUGUGUCAUACUAGAAUCGAUCAGCACAGAACUUCCGUUCACAGGUGCAGAACUUCCACGGUCUAUAUAGCUCCGCGCUAGUGCACGAAACUUCCGUUGCUGAGAUGAUAUUUCCUUUAUGAGUUUUUCUUUCAAUUCUCUUCAGCUUUUCUUCCAUUGUUUCUAUGUGGUCUCUCUCAUGCACUCCGCAGCUUUGCUGUUCCAUUGCUGUCAAUCAGUUACCAAAAUCAAACAAGGUCUUUAAGUAGGGUGACUUGCACCUGAACCAUUAGAAAUCUUUGUUCUAUGUGCUAACCAUCUGAUCUACCAUACGUGAUACGUUGAUUAAUAGAAAGAGUAAAGAAACAUUGACACCCGCUAUAGCUUUUUUUCUGUCUAUCCACAACCAGAGUUUAAAACUUUUGUCCUAGUGUUUUAGCUUUCAACAUUAAGUAUAAACUUUUCCUACCAAAUGGCUCUUAGUAAGGAUUCAAUAUACCAUGAUUAGUGGUAGUAUUUUAUUUACUAUCUAAAAACACUAUAAGAACUCCACCAUUUUAGUAGUGAUCAGCUAUGUUGUGCUAAUGGUACUUUAGCACCCACUAUUUGGGUUAGUUGUGAAAUCAUAUACUUUUAUAAAGAUAAACCCCACCAGAUGAUUUCUCUCUUCAUGCAAGGUGUCAACAUCAUAUCCGACUAAGUCAUCCCACUAAAUGUUAUAUCUCUUCAUGCAAUGUGUCCACAUCAUUUCUCACUAAGUUCAUAUCAGCCCUUAUUAAUUACAAAAGUAUCCAUAUCAUCUCUAUCAUAUGAAGUACUUUAAAUCUUUAAUCUAUUAACGUACAAGUCAUUUGCAUACGCUAUUCGUUUCAUCACCUACUAGGAGAAUACCCCGCGCGUUGCUGUAGGAAUGUGGUGGAUUACGUGGCAUAAUGACGUAGACAAGCAAAAUACUUAUGUGUCUUGCUAACAUGGACAUUAUAAUUGUAUGGCUAGUGGAUUUAGUUAUGUGUGAUAGUGCAUUGCUUAGUUGGACAACUUGCAUGUUGAGAGAAAAUAUAAUGACUUCCUGACGUGGACACUACAAUUGCAUGAGCUAGUGGAUUUUUAAUUAUGUGUGAUAGUGAGUUGCUUAGUUGGAUAUCUUGCAUGCUGAAAUAGGUAGUAGGGUUUAGCUUUAUAGGAGUAUAAGAUUCCUCUAUUGUAUAAAUAUUCUAUUAGUUUAGCAAUUUUUUACCAAAUCUGAUACAAUAAAAUAACAUGCAAGUCAUAUAUAUAUAUGAAAUGUUUAUUUUGAUGAAAUGUAAAAAACAAAUAAAAAAAAUAAAAUUCCCUGUCUCUUUGUCGAGGGCCCUGACCAUAGCCCUUGGCAAAGAAAUUUGGGAAAAAAUUCUGCGUACCUUCUUUGCCGAGGGCCGCGAGGGAGGCCCUCGACAAAGACGGGCUCUUUGCUGAGGGCCUCUCUGUAGCCCAUGGCAAAGAAUUUUUUGAAAAUAAAUCUGCUCAUUUUCUUUGCCGAGGGCCGUUGGUGGAGGUCCUCAGCAAAGAUUGGGUCUUUGCCGAGGGCCUCACGGUAGCCCUCCGCAAAGAAUAUUUUGAAAAAAAUUCUGCUCAAUUUCUUUGCCGAGAGCCGGCGGUAGAGGCCCUCGGCAAGGACUCUAUCAUGAGAAACGGCGCCAUCAUAGUUACUUUUUUUGCCGAGGGCCAUGUUGGCCCUUGGCAGAGGCUUUGCCGACUGCCCGAUAAACGGCCCUGUCACACCCGGUUUUAAGGAACAAAACCAGGCUAGCUAUAUGUGUACCCAGGAAGUCCACACAUACAACAACAGAAAGGAACAGUAUCAGAAACAAUGUUAUAUAGCGAAAACAUACUUAUAAUUAACACUUACAUCAGAGUAUCGCGGAGUUAAUGGUAACUAAACUUCAGGCUCAAUCUUCACAGGGACGGCUGACUGGGGGUAACAUAUGCCAAGCACUCCUAUCCAUCCUCUAUGAACUCCUUCAUGACUCCAUCAUCCUUCUGAUUAACUCUUACUAGUAGACUGUAGUGGUGGGAAAUAGCAAGAGUGAGCACAUAUCGUACUCAACAAGUAUAACCAGGGGUUCAUGAGGCUCAAAUAGCUGACACUGGUUUGACUGCAUUUCGCUUUUAGUAGUUGAUAGCAUGUUUAAUCAUUGGAUAGCAAAUAUCAAGGUAGCAUAAAUAAUCCCAUAACCACAUGAUCAAUGUAUACAAGAAUUAAGAAUAACACAUAUAAACAACAUAAUAAACCAUCAUUUAUUAUCAUUAGUCAUAUUCAUCAGUGUCCAUCUAUUCCGUCAGUUUUCCGGGCCGCCCGUAUCCGUGGGCACGGCUAGUAUACCAGAUUUAACACUCUGCAGAGGUUGUACAUCUUUACCCAUGAGUCAUGAUUUACCCUUUCGCCCGAGGUGAUCAGCCUCUUAACCCACUACCAAGGAAGGUCGGCAGGGAUCACUAUGAAGUCUUUCAAAGGUUCGUCUAACAAGUUAGGGCCGCAAGGUUUCCUUUGCGCGCAGAUAUAGAUACCCCCCUUCCGAAUGGCACAAUGACGCGCAGCCUAUACACAUAGGGACAGGGGCUCGCACUAUACCCAAAACGGUUCAGCCCCUCCGCCCUUUCGGGUAACCUCUAACAAGCUAGAAAAGCUUACUCAUACUUGACUAAAGCCAGAGCCAUAUAGCCCUCAUGGUUGUACGAGUUGUCCCAGCUUUUGCCAAGGGAUAAGUCCUUAUGGAGGGUCAAGAUCAAUCCAGCAAAAGCCAGAGUUCUUUCCACCCUUUAUAUUCAAGUUGCUAGAAAGCUUAUUUUAUUGUUUAUUGUAUAUUCAAAUAUUCAUGUUACAAGAUCAUGGAUUAAUAAUCAAGCACUAGCAAGAACUACCCAAAUGCAUAUCCAAAUAGGUAACAAGGAAUUCAGGAUAACAAUCAUCUAUGAUUUUGCUAAGGUCAUCAAGGUGGACACAUGCAUAUGAUAAAUAUUGUAUUAAUUGUGUAUAGGUAACAAGGAUGAUCCCAAGUUAUACUUGCCUUAAUCAAAGCUUUAAUCCAAAGUAACUCCCUUCGAGAACUUUCGGUUAUCUUCGGGUAUUUCGAUCUUGAUCUUCAACACUCAUAGAUGGUUCUCGUUCUAUACUCGCAGCAAGCACCACACAUACAAACAUACAAGCAACAAACAAAACAACUAAGAACAAUACACCAUAUAAGAUAAAAGAGCGUACUAAUAAAUAACUAGUGCUACGAGGUCAGAAGAAACGCUAAUAGCAGAACUAUCGCUAUAAAUAAACGACUAUCGUAACAUUUAUAUUGUAAAAGAAAAACUACGAGCUUGAUUAAUAGAGUAAAACCAUAUGAAAGCAUUAAGUCUAGAUUAUUCAAAAUAUAAUUUAAUUCAAAACUCAGGUUGAAUCUAUUCAUGUUUUAUUUAUAAACAAUGCCGUAUAAUUUAGACAAGUUAAACUUAAUUUUUUUUAACAAAGGAAAAAAAUAAACGUAUGGGAACACCUAAGUGAGUAUAUUAAACGAUCAUGUUUAGACUAAACAAUUUACAAUGAAACAUGUUUAAUUUGGUAUUUUCGUAUGCUGCUUUUAUUUAGAAACGUGUUGCAAACUUAUUAAUCAAAUUAAUAUUUAAAUUAUAAAAUACAUAGACAUGUGACAUGCUGAUCCUAAACACUAACACAUAGAUGCCGUAACACUAGCGCAACGCAACAAGAUGGAACUAAGACAGAAUUUAGAUAUGAAAACAGCAAAGGAAUAAAGGUGGAUAGAUACAAGGCUUACAUACAAGAAAGCAAAAGUAGAGGAUAAAUUCUUCCAAUAAUGGCAAUUACUUCUGCUGCAGCAUGAGGGGAUUUACUUGCUCGCGUAUAUGUAUGCAUGGCCUUUGUUUUCAGAAUAGCAGGUGAAAGACGAACUUUUGCUUUGCUUGUGUACAGUACAGCAGAUAGCACCGGCUUUCUUCGGCUUCAUUAGAGAAAAGAUUGCUGGACGUGUUGUUUCUAGUUGGCCAGUGGCAGCGGCAGGUGUCUCGACGAUGCUUCAGGGGCAUCACCUUGCUUCAGCAUGAACGACCACAGUGGAGGACAAGGCUGGGUGUUGAUUGUUGAAAGCGUUUACAGCCGAAGGUAGACAAGAUGACCACGGCCGCUCGGCUUUGCACGCUCCGACGGUGGAUGGCAACUGUUGAAGGAGAUCGGUCAGUGAUUCUUGAUGGAAUAGAGCAGGUGUGAGAGAGAGAAAAAUCAAGUGCGCCAUUGGGAGAGGAACAACUGCUGAUUUUCUUAUUGCGAUCUCACCUCCACGCGAACCUGACGGUGCCACAAAAUUGAGGCGGCUACACAUCUUCACUUGAGCAAUAAACUCCCAUGGUGAGUAGAUGAGGAUAAACCAUGGAUCAAGAUCAACUCCGUGCCUGCUUGGCAAAACUUCUCCUGGGGACGACAAUGCGAAGCGAGCCGGCGGCGGCGGGGAUUUGAACGGCGCCUAGUGCGUGUUGGCUAGUUAGGGCUUGGGCGCUGCAUGUUUCUGUGCGGGGAGCAAGAAGAUACGAUUCUUGACGAGGGAAACAACGUAGGGGCUUGGCUUUUAUGCGUGAGCAGAGAACACUCCAAUGGCAGAUCGACGAAGAACUCAGCGGCGGCGGCGGAUUGCGUGGGUACUGAUGGAUUCGAUUAGAGUAUUUAAGGGUUUAAAAGAAGAUGCGUGGAGUAGCUUUGAUAUUUACAGACGUGAUCCAGGGAAAAGCACAAGAAGGAAAGCCAACGUCCGGUUUUGGAAGGAGAAAAUUACGUCCUAUUAUAUCAUCACGCUAAGAAAUUAAUGGCAAGGUGGACAUAAAAGUAAAAGAACAAAACUGAUUGGAGAUGGUUUAGAGUUAGGAUUAAUAAUUUUCGAAAUUAAUAAAUUUUAUGGGUAAACUAAUUCCAGAAAAGUCUAGAAUUAUUAUUUAAGCCGCAAAAAUUAUUCUGAAAACUCCAAAAAUUCAGGGAAAUUUAUCAGAGACAUUAUGGAACAAGAGGAACCCAAAUAAAUUAUUUAGAGCACAUAAUAUGAUAAUUUAGAGCAUUAAAAAAUUAGAUUAUGCUCAUAGAAAAGUAGAAACGAGUUUCAGAAAAAUGCUGAAAUAAUUCCCGGUAAGUUUUUAGAGCAAGGAGUUUGAUCGUAGAAAAGAGAAAGAUAUGCCGAACAAGGAGUAAAUUUCUUUUUCCUAUAUUUUCAUGAGCACUCAAAUACAAAACUAGAUCAAUUUUCAUCUAUUUUGAAAGGAGUAAAUUUUAGGGUGUUACAAUUCUACCCCACUUAACAGGAAUCUCGUCCCGAGAUUCGAAGAGACUAGAGAUAAUGAUAAAGUUGAUCAUCAAGGUUGUUUCAAGACUUUUGACGAGAUAUGAUUUAGGGAUUGAGGAUUAACAAAAGUUGAUAAAAAUGUCAAAAAAAAAAAAAAAAAAUUCUCAAGUUUCAUCCGAGAUUUAUGACUUGAGACCAAAGGAUUGAGGAUUAGCAUAGGUGGAAAAGAAAGGUCAAGGAAGGUUAAAAGAAAUGGAUAAAGGUUGAUCACGGGUCUUCACAUUAUGAGGGUUAAAGUCAAGGAGUGAGGAUCAGCAAGAGAUAAUAUAAAAGAUAAAAAAAAAAAUACAUCUUAUAGUGCUCAAAAUUUCUUGAUUCAAGAUUUAUGAGAUUUAUGAUAAAAUUUUAUAAUUUAGCAAAGAUUGAUAAGGAAAAUGAAGGUUGGUUCUUCAAGGUUAUUUCGAGCUCUAUGGUGGGAGAUGAUAAAAUGAUUGUGGACUAACAAAGGAUAACUUAGAAAAAAAUAAUGAUCGAUCACAAGAAACACAAAGAUCGAUGACAAGAAAAGUAGACUAAAUCGAUGAAGUUUGACCUUUAGAUCAUUAUAUUAUAAGGUAAACAAUCAAGGGCAAAGACCAACAGAAGAGCAUAAGAAGAUAAAGAUUGAUGGUAGAAAAGAUAAAGUUUGAUAUACAAGAAAGAUAUAUACAAGAAUAAAAUUGAUCAUUAGAUUUUUAUGUCUUGAAACUUGGGAUAGAUGAUGGUAGCGGACGCUACCCUACUUAACAAGAACGAGCUACUUCUCAAGAUGGUACAUUUCGGGCUCCUUCAAAACACAAGAACAAAGACGGCACACAAGCAACACACCAAACAAGACAAGCACACAACACAUCAACGAUUCUAUACGUGUUUCUUCAACAAUGGUGGUCCUCCUAAAGGGCGGAUUAGAGAUGAUGAAAGGCUAUCGAACUUUUGAAUGAGGUAGGAUCAGAAAACUUUUAGUAAAAUUACAUCGAACAAAAACCAAGGGAGUAAGCAAUAAUAGCUCAAAGGAAGCUAUCAAGGAGGGGAUACAACGGGACAAGGAUUGGGAAAUAAUCAAAUCAUAGAGUCAAUGGAUAAUAAAAUAGUUUUAUAGCAAAUUAGACUUUUCUAAUCGACCAGUGCUACCUAGGCAUACGUCCUACAGUCAACACUGCUCUGAUACCACUCUGUCACACCCGGUUUUAAGGAACAAAACCAGGCUAGCUAUAUGUGUGCCCAGGAAGUCCACACAUACAACAACAGAAAGGAACAGUAUCAGAAACAAUGUUAUAUAGCGAAAACAUACUUAUAAUUAACACUUACAUCAGAGUAUCGCGGAGUUAAUGGUAACUAAACUUCAGGCUCAAUCUUCACAGGGACGGCUGACUGGGGGUAACAUAUGCCAAGCACUCCUAUCCAUCCUCUAUGAACUCCUUCAUGACUCCAUCAUCCUUCUGAUUAACUCUUACUAGUAGACUGUAGUGGUGGGAAAUAGCAAGAGUGAGCACAUAUCGUACUCAACAAGUAUAACCAGGGGUUCAUGAGGCUCAAAUAGCUGACACUGGUUUGACUGCAUUUCGCUUUUAGUAGUUGAUAGCAUGUUUAAUCAUUGGAUAGCAAAUAUCAAGGUAGCAUAAAUAAGCCCAUAACCACAUGAUCAAUGUAUACAAGAAUUAAGAAUAACACAUAUAAACAACAUAAUAAACCAUCAUUUAUUAUCAUUAGUCAUAUUCAUCAGUGUCCAUCUAUUCCGUCAGUUUUCCGGGCCGCCCGUAUCCGUGGGCACGGCUAGUAUACCAGAUUUAACACUCUGCAGAGGUUGUACAUCUUUACCCAUGAGUCAUGAUUUACCCUUUCGCCCGAGGUGAUCAGCCUCUUAACCCACUACCAAGGAAGGUCGGCAGGGAUCACUAUGAAGUCUUUCAAAGGUUCGUCUAACAAGUUAGGGCCGCAAGGUUUCCUUUGCGCGCAGAUAUAGAUACCCCCCUUCCGAAUGGCACAAUGACGCGCAGCCUAUACACAUAGGGACAGGGGCUCGCACUAUACCCAAAACGGUUCAGCCCCUCCGCCCUUUCGGGUAACCUCUAACAAGCUAGAAAAGCUUACUCAUACUUGACUAAAGCCAGAGCCAUAUAGCCCUCAUGGUUGUACGAGUUGUCCCAGCUUUUGCCAAGGGAUAAGUCCUUAUGGAGGGUCAAGAUCAAUCCAGCAAAAGCCAGAGUUCUUUCCACCCUUUAUAUUCAAGUUGCUAGAAAGCUUAUUUUAUUGUUUAUUGUAUAUUCAAAUAUUCAUGUUACAAGAUCAUGGAUUAAUAAUCAAGCACUAGCAAGAACUACCCAAAUGCAUAUCCAAAUAGGUAACAAGGAAUUCAGGAUAACAAUCAUCUAUGAUUUUGCUAAGGUCAUCAAGGUGGACACAUGCAUAUGAUAAAUAUUGUAUUAAUUGUGUAUAGGUAACAAGGAUGAUCCCAAGUUAUACUUGCCUUAAUCAAAGCUUUAAUCCAAAGUAACUCCCUUCGAGAACUUUCGGUUAUCUUCGGGUAUUUCGAUCUUGAUCUUCAACACUCAUAGAUGGUUCUCGUUCUAUACUCGCAGCAAGCACCACACAUACAAACAUACAAGCAACAAACAAAACAACUAAGAACAAUACACCAUAUAAGAUAAAAGAGCGUACUAAUAAAUAACUAGUGCUACGAGGUCAGAAGAAACGCUAAUAGCAGAACUAUCGCUAUAAAUAAACGACUAUCGUAACAUUUAUAUUGUAAAAGAAAAACUACGAGCUUGAUUAAUAGAGUAAAACCAUAUGAAAGCAUUAAGUCUAGAUUAUUCAAAAUAUAAUUUAAUUCAAAACUCAGGUUGAAUCUAUUCAUGUUUUAUUUAUAAACAAUGCCGUAUAAUUUAGACAAGUUAAACUUAAUUUUUUUUAACAAAGGAAAAAAAUAAACGUAUGGGAACACCUAAGUGAGUAUAUUAAACGAUCAUGUUUAGACUAAACAAUUUACAAUGAAACAUGUUUAAUUUGGUAUUUUCGUAUGCUGCUUUUAUUUAGAAACGUGUUGCAAACUUAUUAAUCAAAUUAAUAUUUAAAUUAUAAAAUACAUAGACAUGUGACAUGCUGAUCCUAAACACUAACACAUAGAUGCCGUAACACUAGCGCAACGCAACAAGAUGGAACUAAGACAGAAUUUAGAUAUGAAAACAGCAAAGGAAUAAAGGUGGAUAGAUACAAGGCUUACAUACAAGAAAGCAAAAGUAGAGGAUAAAUUCUUCCAAUAAUGGCAAUUACUUCUGCUGCAGCAUGAGGGGAUUUACUUGCUCGCGUAUAUGUAUGCAUGGCCUUUGUUUUCAGAAUAGCAGGUGAAAGACGAACUUUUGCUUUGCUUGUGUACAGUACAGCAGAUAGCACCGGCUUUCUUCGGCUUCAUUAGAGAAAAGAUUGCUGGACGUGUUGUUUCUAGUUGGCCAGUGGCAGCGGCAGGUGUCUCGACGAUGCUUCAGGGGCAUCACCUUGCUUCAGCAUGAACGACCACAGUGGAGGACAAGGCUGGGUGUUGAUUGUUGAAAGCGUUUACAGCCGAAGGUAGACAAGAUGACCACGGCCGCUCGGCUUUGCACGCUCCGACGGUGGAUGGCAACUGUUGAAGGAGAUCGGUCAGUGAUUCUUGAUGGAAUAGAGCAGGUGUGAGAGAGAGAAAAAUCAAGUGCGCCAUUGGGAGAGGAACAACUGCUGAUUUUCUUAUUGCGAUCUCACCUCCACGCGAACCUGACGGUGCCACAAAAUUGAGGCGGCUACACAUCUUCACUUGAGCAAUAAACUCCCAUGGUGAGUAGAUGAGGAUAAACCAUGGAUCAAGAUCAACUCCGUGCCUGCUUGGCAAAACUUCUCCUGGGGACGACAAUGCGAAGCGAGCCGGCGGCGGCGGGGAUUUGAACGGCGCCUAGUGCGUGUUGGCUAGUUAGGGCUUGGGCGCUGCAUGUUUCUGUGCGGGGAGCAAGAAGAUACGAUUCUUGACGAGGGAAACAACGUAGGGGCUUGGCUUUUAUGCGUGAGCAGAGAACACUCCAAUGGCAGAUCGACGAAGAACUCAGCGGCGGCGGCGGAUUGCGUGGGUACUGAUGGAUUCGAUUAGAGUAUUUAAGGGUUUAAAAGAAGAUGCGUGGAGUAGCUUUGAUAUUUACAGACGUGAUCCAGGGAAAAGCACAAGAAGGAAAGCCAACGUCCGGUUUUGGAAGGAGAAAAUUACGUCCUAUUAUAUCAUCACGCUAAGAAAUUAAUGGCAAGGUGGACAUAAAAGUAAAAGAACAAAACUGAUUGGAGAUGGUUUAGAGUUAGGAUUAAUAAUUUUCGAAAUUAAUAAAUUUUAUGGGUAAACUAAUUCCAGAAAAGUCUAGAAUUAUUAUUUAAGCCGCAAAAAUUAUUCUGAAAACUCCAAAAAUUCAGGGAAAUUUAUCAGAGACAUUAUGGAACAAGAGGAACCCAAAUAAAUUAUUUAGAGCACAUAAUAUGAUAAUUUAGAGCAUUAAAAAAUUAGAUUAUGCUCAUAGAAAAGUAGAAACGAGUUUCAGAAAAAUGCUGAAAUAAUUCCCGGUAAGUUUUUAGAGCAAGGAGUUUGAUCGUAGAAAAGAGAAAGAUAUGCCGAACAAGGAGUAAAUUUCUUUUUCCUAUAUUUUCAUGAGCACUCAAAUACAAAACUAGAUCAAUUUUCAUCUAUUUUGAAAGGAGUAAAUUUUAGGGUGUUACAAUUCUACCCCACUUAACAGGAAUCUCGUCCCGAGAUUCGAAGAGACUAGAGAUAAUGAUAAAGUUGAUCAUCAAGGUUGUUUCAAGACUUUUGACGAGAUAUGAUUUAGGGAUUGAGGAUUAACAAAAGUUGAUAAAAAUGUCAAAAAAAAAAAAAAAAAAUUCUCAAGUUUCAUCCGAGAUUUAUGACUUGAGACCAAAGGAUUGAGGAUUAGCAUAGGUGGAAAAGAAAGGUCAAGGAAGGUUAAAAGAAAUGGAUAAAGGUUGAUCACGGGUCUUCACAUUAUGAGGGUUAAAGUCAAGGAGUGAGGAUCAGCAAGAGAUAAUAUAAAAGAUAAAAAAAAAUACAUCUUAUAGUGCUCAAAAUUUCUUGAUUCAAGAUUUAUGAGAUUUAUGAUAAAAUUUUAUAAUUUAGCAAAGAUUGAUAAGGAAAAUGAAGGUUGGUUCUUCAAGGUUAUUUCGAGCUCUAUGGUGGGAGAUGAUAAAAUGAUUGUGGACUAACAAAGGAUAACUUAGAAAAAAAUAAUGAUCGAUCACAAGAAACACAAAGAUCGAUGACAAGAAAAGUAGACUAAAUCGAUGAAGUUUGACCUUUAGAUCAUUAUAUUAUAAGGUAAACAAUCAAGGGCAAAGACCAACAGAAGAGCAUAAGAAGAUAAAGAUUGAUGGUAGAAAAGAUAAAGUUUGAUAUACAAGAAAGAUAUAUACAAGAAUAAAAUUGAUCAUUAGAUUUUUAUGUCUUGAAACUUGGGAUAGAUGAUGGUAGCGGACGCUACCCUACUUAACAAGAACGAGCUACUUCUCAAGAUGGUACAUUUCGGGCUCCUUCAAAACACAAGAACAAAGACGGCACACAAGCAACACACCAAACAAGACAAGCACACAACACAUCAACGAUUCUAUACGUGUUUCUUCAACAAUGGUGGUCCUCCUAAAGGGCGGAUUAGAGAUGAUGAAAGGCUAUCGAACUUUUGAAUGAGGUAGGAUCAGAAAACUUUUAGUAAAAUUACAUCGAACAAAAACCAAGGGAGUAAGCAAUAAUAGCUCAAAGGAAGCUAUCAAGGAGGGGAUACAACGGGACAAGGAUUGGGAAAUAAUCAAAUCAUAGAGUCAAUGGAUAAUAAAAUAGUUUUAUAGCAAAUUAGACUUUUCUAAUCGACCAGUGCUACCUAGGCAUACGUCCUACAGUCAACACUGCUCUGAUACCACUCUGUCACACCCGGUUUUAAGGAACAAAACCAGGCUAGCUAUAUGUGUGCCCAGGAAGUCCACACAUACAACAACAGAAAGGAACAGUAUCAGAAACAAUGUUAUAUAGCGAAAACAUACUUAUAAUUAACACUUACAUCAGAGUAUCGCGGAGUUAAUGGUAACUAAACUUCAGGCUCAAUCUUCACAGGGACGGCUGACUGGGGGUAACAUAUGCCAAGCACUCCUAUCCAUCCUCUAUGAACUCCUUCAUGACUCCAUCAUCCUUCUGAUUAACUCUUACUAGUAGACUGUAGUGGUGGGAAAUAGCAAGAGUGAGCACAUAUCGUACUCAACAAGUAUAACCAGGGGUUCAUGAGGCUCAAAUAGCUGACACUGGUUUGACUGCAUUUCGCUUUUAGUAGUUGAUAGCAUGUUUAAUCAUUGGAUAGCAAAUAUCAAGGUAGCAUAAAUAAGCCCAUAACCACAUGAUCAAUGUAUACAAGAAUUAAGAAUAACACAUAUAAACAACAUAAUAAACCAUCAUUUAUUAUCAUUAGUCAUAUUCAUCAGUGUCCAUCUAUUCCGUCAGUUUUCCGGGCCGCCCGUAUCCGUGGGCACGGCUAGUAUACCAGAUUUAACACUCUGCAGAGGUUGUACAUCUUUACCCAUGAGUCAUGAUUUACCCUUUCGCCCGAGGUGAUCAGCCUCUUAACCCACUACCAAGGAAGGUCGGCAGGGAUCACUAUGAAGUCUUUCAAAGGUUCGUCUAACAAGUUAGGGCCGCAAGGUUUCCUUUGCGCGCAGAUAUAGAUACCCCCCUUCCGAAUGGCACAAUGACGCGCAGCCUAUACACAUAGGGACAGGGGCUCGCACUAUACCCAAAACGGUUCAGCCCCUCCGCCCUUUCGGGUAACCUCUAACAAGCUAGAAAAGCUUACUCAUACUUGACUAAAGCCAGAGCCAUAUAGCCCUCAUGGUUGUACGAGUUGUCCCAGCUUUUGCCAAGGGAUAAGUCCUUAUGGAGGGUCAAGAUCAAUCCAGCAAAAGCCAGAGUUCUUUCCACCCUUUAUAUUCAAGUUGCUAGAAAGCUUAUUUUAUUGUUUAUUGUAUAUUCAAAUAUUCAUGUUACAAGAUCAUGGAUUAAUAAUCAAGCACUAGCAAGAACUACCCAAAUGCAUAUCCAAAUAGGUAACAAGGAAUUCAGGAUAACAAUCAUCUAUGAUUUUGCUAAGGUCAUCAAGGUGGACACAUGCAUAUGAUAAAUAUUGUAUUAAUUGUGUAUAGGUAACAAGGAUGAUCCCAAGUUAUACUUGCCUUAAUCAAAGCUUUAAUCCAAAGUAACUCCCUUCGAGAACUUUCGGUUAUCUUCGGGUAUUUCGAUCUUGAUCUUCAACACUCAUAGAUGGUUCUCGUUCUAUACUCGCAGCAAGCACCACACAUACAAACAUACAAGCAACAAACAAAACAACUAAGAACAAUACACCAUAUAAGAUAAAAGAGCGUACUAAUAAAUAACUAGUGCUACGAGGUCAGAAGAAACGCUAAUAGCAGAACUAUCGCUAUAAAUAAACGACUAUCGUAACAUUUAUAUUGUAAAAGAAAAACUACGAGCUUGAUUAAUAGAGUAAAACCAUAUGAAAGCAUUAAGUCUAGAUUAUUCAAAAUAUAAUUUAAUUCAAAACUCAGGUUGAAUCUAUUCAUGUUUUAUUUAUAAACAAUGCCGUAUAAUUUAGACAAGUUAAACUUAAUUUUUUUUAACAAAGGAAAAAAAUAAACGUAUGGGAACACCUAAGUGAGUAUAUUAAACGAUCAUGUUUAGACUAAACAAUUUACAAUGAAACAUGUUUAAUUUGGUAUUUUCGUAUGCUGCUUUUAUUUAGAAACGUGUUGCAAACUUAUUAAUCAAAUUAAUAUUUAAAUUAUAAAAUACAUAGACAUGUGACAUGCUGAUCCUAAACACUAACACAUAGAUGCCGUAACACUAGCGCAACGCAACAAGAUGGAACUAAGACAGAAUUUAGAUAUGAAAACAGCAAAGGAAUAAAGGUGGAUAGAUACAAGGCUUACAUACAAGAAAGCAAAAGUAGAGGAUAAAUUCUUCCAAUAAUGGCAAUUACUUCUGCUGCAGCAUGAGGGGAUUUACUUGCUCGCGUAUAUGUAUGCAUGGCCUUUGUUUUCAGAAUAGCAGGUGAAAGACGAACUUUUGCUUUGCUUGUGUACAGUACAGCAGAUAGCACCGGCUUUCUUCGGCUUCAUUAGAGAAAAGAUUGCUGGACGUGUUGUUUCUAGUUGGCCAGUGGCAGCGGCAGGUGUCUCGACGAUGCUUCAGGGGCAUCACCUUGCUUCAGCAUGAACGACCACAGUGGAGGACAAGGCUGGGUGUUGAUUGUUGAAAGCGUUUACAGCCGAAGGUAGACAAGAUGACCACGGCCGCUCGGCUUUGCACGCUCCGACGGUGGAUGGCAACUGUUGAAGGAGAUCGGUCAGUGAUUCUUGAUGGAAUAGAGCAGGUGUGAGAGAGAGAAAAAUCAAGUGCGCCAUUGGGAGAGGAACAACUGCUGAUUUUCUUAUUGCGAUCUCACCUCCACGCGAACCUGACGGUGCCACAAAAUUGAGGCGGCUACACAUCUUCACUUGAGCAAUAAACUCCCAUGGUGAGUAGAUGAGGAUAAACCAUGGAUCAAGAUCAACUCCGUGCCUGCUUGGCAAAACUUCUCCUGGGGACGACAAUGCGAAGCGAGCCGGCGGCGGCGGGGAUUUGAACGGCGCCUAGUGCGUGUUGGCUAGUUAGGGCUUGGGCGCUGCAUGUUUCUGUGCGGGGAGCAAGAAGAUACGAUUCUUGACGAGGGAAACAACGUAGGGGCUUGGCUUUUAUGCGUGAGCAGAGAACACUCCAAUGGCAGAUCGACGAAGAACUCAGCGGCGGCGGCGGAUUGCGUGGGUACUGAUGGAUUCGAUUAGAGUAUUUAAGGGUUUAAAAGAAGAUGCGUGGAGUAGCUUUGAUAUUUACAGACGUGAUCCAGGGAAAAGCACAAGAAGGAAAGCCAACGUCCGGUUUUGGAAGGAGAAAAUUACGUCCUAUUAUAUCAUCACGCUAAGAAAUUAAUGGCAAGGUGGACAUAAAAGUAAAAGAACAAAACUGAUUGGAGAUGGUUUAGAGUUAGGAUUAAUAAUUUUCGAAAUUAAUAAAUUUUAUGGGUAAACUAAUUCCAGAAAAGUCUAGAAUUAUUAUUUAAGCCGCAAAAAUUAUUCUGAAAACUCCAAAAAUUCAGGGAAAUUUAUCAGAGACAUUAUGGAACAAGAGGAACCCAAAUAAAUUAUUUAGAGCACAUAAUAUGAUAAUUUAGAGCAUUAAAAAAUUAGAUUAUGCUCAUAGAAAAGUAGAAACGAGUUUCAGAAAAAUGCUGAAAUAAUUCCCGGUAAGUUUUUAGAGCAAGGAGUUUGAUCGUAGAAAAGAGAAAGAUAUGCCGAACAAGGAGUAAAUUUCUUUUUCCUAUAUUUUCAUGAGCACUCAAAUACAAAACUAGAUCAAUUUUCAUCUAUUUUGAAAGGAGUAAAUUUUAGGGUGUUACAGGCCCUCGGCAAAGGCCAUCUUUACCGACUCAAAAAUUCCCGAGAGCUCUUUGCCGAGGGCCGCCCUCGACAAAGAGGGCGCGUCCAGUAGUGAUUGAACAUGAAAAAAAAUCUUCUAGAGCAUAUAGCAUGUACUCGGAUAUUUGUGUUUGUAAAAUUUUCUUGAGUUAAAUGUUCCAAUGGAUAACAAAAGAAUUUUCAUAUGUUGACAGUAUAAACCGCUAAAUGACAACAGAGAGCCAAAUGGUGCCGUACAGGGUCUUCUCUUCAAGCACUAUAUAUCUAUAUAUAUAUAUAUGCUCCCACGUUGCUCAUCAACAGCAGAAGAAGAGCAUCAACACAUACUUGCAGCCUUGCCCAAAGAAUACCGCAAACUGAGGUGAACAUAGAUCCAUGUACUUCCCAACAAAAAUAUAUAUACGAUGAGCUCGAACGCACCAUCAAGCACGACACAAGCACCUAGCCGUGCACAUGUCGUUGCUCUGUUCACAGUACUUUGCACCUUGCUUGGCCUUGCUUUUCUAUUUCACUACCGAGCCAAAGCAAAGUCCCUGAAGAAAACCGAGCUGCACCGACUGCCGCCAGGGCCGUCUGGGAUGCCUAUCCUCGGCAGCAUGCACUGUCUAGUUUCUAAAAGGCCGGUGUUUCAAUGGGUUCAUCGCCUUUUCAAGGAUAUGAACACCAAUGUCCUCUGCCUCCGCUUUGGAGCCAUACAUGUCGUAGUAGUUGCCUGCCCAGAGAUAGCCCGUGAGGUUCUCAGAAAGAAUGAUGCAGUUUUCGCAUCUCGCUCCUUGACAUUCGUCUCUGGACUGUUCAGCUUCGGGUACAAGGCUGUAGGCCUAUCGCCAUAUGGGGAGCAGUGGAAGAAGAUGAGGCGGAUUCUCACCUCUGAGAUCCUAUCUACGUCAAUGGAGCAACGAUUGCAGCACCGACGAGCGGAGGAGGCCGACCGCCUCGUCAGGUUCGUGUACAACCAAUGCAACACAUCAGCAAAUAAAACUAACAGCAUCAUUGAUGUACGUCAUGUAGCCCGGCAUUUUUGUGGUAACAUGAUACGGGGACUCAUGUUCGGCAAGACACACUUCUUCCCUGCUGGUGCUGGUGCUGAUGCUGUCAACAAUGGCAGCAGCAGCCCAGGCCCUGAUGAAGUGGCUCACGUAGACGCGAUCUUCACACUGCUCAACUACAUGGGUUUCUCCAUCUCAGAUUACAUUCCUGCUACGUGGAAGUGGAUGAUUACUGCCCUCGACCCUGACGGUCGUAAGAAGAUUAGGAGCGUAAUGAAUACUCUAAACAGAUUGCAUGAUCCCAUCAUAGAAGAGAGGAUCCAUGAGUGGCAUACACUUCACAAACACAGUAACAAGAGAGAGGCCAGGGACUUUCUUGAUGCCCUUGUUUCUCUUGAGGACUCACAAGGGCGACCUCUUUUAUCGAUUGAUGAAAUAAAAGCACUGACAGCGGUAAGAUAUUGGUAAUAUUUACUAUUCUGCAUUCCCAAUAGAAUUAUUUCUACACAGUAAAUUCUUGACUUCUUGUUGGGUGUGAGACGUCCCCCUUUCUGUGUGUGUGUGUAUAUAUAUAUAUGCGCGCGCAUGCCCAUGUGUGACUCUAUUUUUUAUUUAUAAAAAUAAUUACGUGUUCUAUGUUUUGCUUCUUCCUAUUUGAGGAAUUUCUAGGGGUGUUCCUUUUUGUCCUUGAAGUCAUAUGUUGUAUCCACUGAUUCCGCCUUCUUAAUAUAUCGUGUCAUGUCCAGGAGAUAAUGUUUGCAUCUGUUGACAAUCCAUCAAACGCAGUUGAGUGGGCAUUCGCGGAGAUGAUGAACAGACCAGAGGUGAUGCACAAAGCAGUACAUGAACUAAACAGUGUGGUUGGCAAAGACAGGCUCGUCCAAGAAUCAGACAUACCUCACCUCAACUAUCUGAAAGCAUGCAUACGAGAGGCCUUUCGCUUACACCCGGACCAUGCUUUCAACCUACCCCAUGUCUCCAUGGAAGACACCAGAGUUUCUGGUUACCUCAUUCCAAAGGGCACCCAUGUUCUUCUGAGCCGAGUGGGGCUUGGACGGAACUCUGAUGUCUGGGAUGCUCCUCUCCAGUUCUGGCCAGAGCGACAUCUCAUGAUGGACAACAAGUCAGAGCUUGCGCUUGUGGAACUCACCGAGCCGGACCUCAGGUUCAUCUCGUUUAGCACAGGUAGGAGGGGAUGCCCAGGGGUGUCACUUGGCAGCUCCAUUACAUUAAUGCUAUUUGCAAGGCUUCUGCAAGGGUUUACGUGGACCAAACCUUCUGGUGUUCGUGCAAUAGAGCUCAAGGAAUGCACUACAAGUCUUGAACUAGCUGAGCCACUCUUCUUACAAGCUCAGCCUCGUUUGCCGGUGCAUCUUUAUGUGCCUUAUGUGUCUGUUUAGCACCAUAGUCUGGGCUCUGAUGGUGCAGCUUUAUAUUACAUUUAUGCGAUCAUGCAUGUAUAUCCUGUGGUGGAUGAAGUAUAUUAGUGUGAUCUUGCAUUGUGUGCUUAUGUAUGGUCUAUUUAUUACCCUAAAAUAAUAGUCUGUCUACUAGUUUUUUGUUUGUGUGUGUGCUGACCUGUUUAUGGUCGUGUACCGUGUACGUCCAAUGAAAAUAAUAAACGGGUGAAGAUAACUAGUAGUAUAUCAUUGAUCUUGUGUGCAUUAUCACUUGUUUACCCAGAAGUACUCUACUCCAUGCCCAUCAAUAAAGUACAUGUAGAUGUAUAUCCUUGGUGGCUUAGCGUUGUGCUUCCCUGCCAACCAUCGCCGAACGGUGAUGGUUGGAGACGGGAGAGAGGUCCCUCAAAAUGUGGGUUAUUAGUGCAUCUCUAUACUAGGCAACUUAACUUCCUAUUUGAUUUUUUCUUGACAAAAGAAAAAACAUCUCUCCAACAACAUAGUAAAACAACUUCUUAAAAAAUAAGAAGCUAAUAAAUCUUCCCUUCAUCAGAACUUUCCACGCUGGAUAGAGAAAUUCGAUAUCGGUCCCUGGUUCAACAUUUUCCACGAUUCCUGCUUAUUGCAUUUUUUUUAUUUUGGCAUGAGUCGUGGUGUUCCUGACUCCUACAGUCCCCCAAGGUAUAGGAUUUCAGCCAAUCCUUUCGUCCUUGUCGGGCUGCCUCUUGGACUAUUGGAACCAAUCAAACUCGUGGUAACAUUUAGAAUAGAAUUGGCACUACAAUGCAAACAAGACAUUUGUAUCAGAUCACAUUGAGAGUUCUUCGAUGCAUAAAUGGUUGACAAUUUUAGCAGAAGUAAGAUCUGGACAGGAAGAGGCAGCGACGUCCACUGGUUGCGCAGGGAGAGGCGGUGACACUUGUUAGAUAGGCAAGGAGGCGUUGAAGGCUGCUAGGUGCAUCUUUAUGUGCCUUAUGCGUCUGUUUAGCACCAUAGUCUGGGCUCUGAUGGUGCAGCUUUGUAUUACAUUUAUGCGAUCAUGCAUGUAUAUCCUGUGGUGGAUGAAGUAUAUUAGUGUGAUCUUGCAUUGUGUGCUUAUGUAUGGUCUAUUUAUUACCCUAAAAUAAUGGUCUGUCUACUAGUUUUUCGUUUGUGUUUGUGCUGACCUGUUUAUGGUCGUGUACCGUGUACGUCCAAUGAAAAUAAUAAACGGGUGAAGAUAUACUAGUAGUAUAUCAUUGGUCUUGUGUGCAUUAUCACUUGUUUACCCAGAAGUACUCUACUACAUGCCCAUCAAUAAAGUACAUGUAGAUGUAUAUCCUUGGUGGCUUAGCGUUGUGCUGCCCUGCCAACCAUCGCCCAACGGUGAUGGUUGGAGUUGGAGACGGGAGAGAGGUCCCUCAAAAUGUGGGUUAUUAGUGCAUCUCUAUACUAGGCAACUGAACUUCCUAUUUGAUUUUUUCUUGACAAAAGAAAAAACACCUCUCCAACAACAUAGUAAAACAACUUCUUAAAAAAAUAAGAAGCUGCUAAAUCUUCACUUCAUCAGAACUUUCCAUGCUGGAUAGAGAAAUUCGAUAUCGGUCCCUGGUGCAACAUUUUCCACGACUCCUGCUUAUUGCAUUUUUUUUAUUUUGGCAUGAGUCGUGGUGUUCCUGACUCCUACAGUCGCCCAAGGUAUAGGAUUUCAGCCAAUCCUUUCGUCCUCGUCGGGCUGCCUCUUGGACUAUUGGAACCAAUCAAACUCGUGGUAACAUUUAGAAUAGAAUUGGCACUACAAUGCAAACAAGACAUUUGUAUCAGAUCACAUUGAGAGUUCUUCGAUGCAUAAAUGGUUGACAAUUUUAGCAGAAGUAAGAUAUGGACAGGAAGAGGCAGCGACGUCCACUGGUUGUGCAGGGAGAAGCGGUGACACUUGUUAGAUAGGCAAGGAGGCGUUGAAGGCUGCUAGGGCGGUCGCCGGUAUGCAAUGUCUGCUCACCCGUGGCUCGAGACGUACCGAAGGGUGUGUUGCGAACCAGGAAUUGCCUCUCAAAAUUAUAUGUGGGCCCCUUUUGUAUUUUUGUGAAGUUCAUAGGUUCUAUAUAAUGUUUUUGUUUUUCUAGAUUGAUAGCUUUGCUACGCACCUAGAUAUAAGUUAUAUCUUUUUUUGUGCCAGAGAAAUGAAUGUCAGAGAGGUCAAGAUAGAUGUGUCUCAAAUUCAUCAUAGUGAGCAACAAGCCUAAAACUCUUGAACAGUCUGGUUAGGCAGCUCCUCGAGGAAAUUGACACUAAUUAAGGUCAAGGUACUCCAAAUACUCGGUGUCGUGAGAAAGCAAUGAAGGACUUAUCUAGCCAGCAAAACCCAAAGCUUGUGAAUCAUAUAGAAAUCAUGGGGCAAUGGAGAGAUGAACCUUAAUGACAUGACCACCUUGGCUGCUGAAAUGCUCAGUUGCAGCAAAAAUUCAUGGCCUAGCCGCCAUUAGUUGAGGCGGUCGAAAGAGUCGUUCAGCGCUUAUGUGGCGGAGUGCAGCCAUCCUCAUAUUUUAUGGGCAUCAUGCAUAUGUUUAGGCUUUGAGCUGAUCCUGCAAUGCAUGCAUGGGUGACGAUGAGGAAUUGAAGGUGCAGGGUGGUGGCGGCGAUGGCUACCACAAACUUGGAAGAGGUUUGUAUCAUGUCGAUGGAUUGGCGAUUGCUGUGUCUUUGUGAAUUGUGACCAGCUACGGCUGCAUACGUGGUGGUUUAAUUUGAGUUCAGUUUGUCCUUUUACAAACUAAACACAAGGGUAGAAUAUGUUGCAAGUAGAAUUGUGAAUGCGAUAAACAGAGAUGAAGUAAUGAACUCGUUUGUAUUCUUUAUUACAUUGAUCGUCAAUCUAUUUAUACAGAGUCGGAGAAGGAGAAACUCUUCCCCCAUGCAAGCUGAGUCCAUGAUCGAGUCAUGGGGAAGACCCGUUGGGGAACCUGUGUUCACGGGAUUCUUUUCUCCUUCGUGUUGUUAGGAUAGGACCUAUGAAGAAGUAUCCGAGGGGAUGAGAGCAUCCCCAGAUAUUAAUCCGUAACACUACUCCUUGAUUGAAUCGCUUGUUGAGAUCGAUGGAUCGUAUUGCUCCUCCAAAAAUUCCUUUAGGAUAAAAACAAGGAAAAUACGUAUGUGUAUGUGCUAUAGCAAAGUCCUAAAACCGCUUAGAAAAAAAAGAAGAAAGUUAUAGCACUUAAUGAUUGCCUCAUUGUAAAUUAAUAUAAGAAAACAUUUCCAGGAGAAAACUCAUGUUGUAGUUUAGAAGACAAUAUGUGUCUUUGAUACUCCUUGAAAAACCCUUGUGUGGAAAAUGAGAAAUAUGACGCUCUUGUAUUGAUAUUACUUCACUAAAAACUUCUUACGAGAAACAUUGUGAGGAAAAAUUCAUAAAGAGAAAAGAGUGUGAUAUGGUAGUAUAGAUAGGCCAAUGUCUAGGGGAUUUCUUCCCCUGAACCUUGUAAAUCCAUAAGUCAUCGCAGACUAAUUCCUUUGACACAUUUUUCAAAUGAGGAAGUUGAUAGGGACUUAGUGAAUAAAUCAGCGAGGUUGUCUCAUGAUUUGGCUUUCAAGAAAUCAAUCUCUCCAUUUUGUUGUAAUUCAUGAGGAUAGACCAACUUUGGAGAGAUGUGUUUGUUGAUAUUGCUCUUGAUAUAGCCUAUCUCUAUCUAUGUAACACAAGCCGCAUUAUCUCCGUAGAUAAUGGUUAGAGCUGUGACUGCUUUAAGACCACGCGACUAUCAUAUGUGGUUGAUCAUUCUGCAAAGCCAAAUGCAUUCACGUGAAGCCUCAUAUAGUGUGACUAUUUCAGAAUGAUUCAUGGAUGUUGUUGCCAAGGUUUGCUUUGAUAUUGUCCAUGAUAUGGCAGUUCCUUUUUGUAAGAACAUGAAACCUAUUUAUGAUAUGCCAUUGUGGGGAUCUGAUUGAUAUCCAGCAUUGGUGUAUCAUAUCAUAUUGGAACAUGUUCCUCUUUGGAAGAAUACUCCAAGAUCCCUUAUGCCAUUAACAUAUCUGAGGAUCUGUUUUACACCUGUCCAAUAUCUCUUGGUAGGAGCAGCACGCCUUGCUAGCAAAUUCACUACAAAAGCGAUGUCAGGUCUGGUGCUAUUGGCAAGGUACAUCAAUGCUCCAAUGGCACUAAGGUAUGGGACAUAUGGUCCUAGGAUUUCCUCCCCAUCAUCUAGAGGUCUGAAUGGAUUAGUGUUUAGUCCUAAAGACCAAAUAACCAUAGGGGUUUUAUAAGGAUAUGCUUUCUCCAUAUUAAAUCUCUCCAAAACUAUCUAGGCAUAUGCAGAUUGAUGCACAAAGAUCCUAGUUGAAAGAUACUAAAGUUGUAGGCCUAAGUAGUAUUUGGUUUAACCAAAUUCUUCAACUCGAACUCCGUCUUGAGAUACUUGCAUACCUCAUCAAUAUCUUGUUUUGUGGCCGAUGAUGUUUAGAUCAUCAACAUACAUUGAUAUGAUGCAGAAUGCCAUUUGGGAUUUCUUGAUGAGGACACAUGGGUAAUCAUCACUAUUGGAGUAGCCCUUCUACAAAAGGUACUCACUAAGUCAGUUAUACCAUAUUCUUCUUGAUUGUUUUAAGCCAUAGAGUGAUUUAUGUAGCUUUACACGAUACAUGUUGUAGUUUGCAUUUUGAUUCGGUAUUAGGAUUCCUUCAAGAACCUUCCUGUAUAUGUCCAAAUCCGGUGACCCAUAGAGAUAUGUAGUCACUACAUCCAUCAACUGCGAAGAUAGAUGACUUGUAUGGCUAGAGAGAUUAAGUAUUAGAAUGUUAUUCCACCCAUGACUGGAGAGUACAUUUCAUUGAAGUCAACAUUGGGUCUCUAUGUGAACCCUUGUGCUACAAGCCUCUCUUUGUGUCUCACCACCUUAUCGUUCUCAUUCCGCUUUCAGACGAAAACCCACUUGAAUCCCACACGGAAUACUUGUGGAGGUGCAGGUAUUACUUGAGAGAAUACCUGCCUUUUUGUGAGCGAGGAUAUUUCUACUUGGAUUGCAUCUUUCCAUUGGUUCCAGUCCGGGUGCGUUUUACACUCUGCCAUGGUCCUUGGAUCUCGAUCAUUUUCAAGGAUUUCAGCAAUCAUUGUGGAGAAAUAUGAGUCGACAAUUGUAGUCUUUCUAUUGAAUGAUUCUCUAGUUUCUGCAUACUUGAUGGAAAUUUCAUGGACCCUUUCUGAUGCAUCAUCAUUUCCCAAGAUGGUCACAUCAGGGUAUUUUGAUGUCCCAACAUCAGUAAUUGAGUGCACUAUUGAUGUUGGAUGUGAAGGUUGAACCUCCACUAGGUGUUCCUCAACAUGUGGUUGAGUUGCAUUUACUAGGUUAGAAGAUUUGGUCUUUUGUUUCCAUUGCUUGCUUGAAGCUGCAUCCGUGGAGAUAGAUGUACUUCUUCCCCUCUUACUUGGGAGUUGAGUAGUUUUGUUUGGUACAUCUACUCUUUUCGAUACGUUUCUCACUGGAUUAUAAAAUUUUGUAACACCCUUAUAAUUAGCAAAUGAGUCUCGCGUGUUGUUUGCAAUAUGUUGCAAAUUGAUGAUUUUCUAAACUUGGAGUUCAGACUGAAAUAGUUAAGUGGAUCUGAGUUGGAGAUGUUUGGGGUAUCCCAAUUGAUUUCCUGGCAUUCUUUGUGAUGUGGUAAGUCUCCCCCUAAUGCAUAAAAUGAUCUUCAUUGAAGAUACAAUCAGCGUACCAGUGCAUAAAAAGGUCCCCUAUGGUGGGCUCUAGAUAUGUUAUGAUCGAUAGAGAUUUGUAUCUCAUACAAAUCCUUAGUUUUCUAUGGGGCCAUAGUUGUACACUGCGGUGGUGAGAUCGAUACAUAUGUAGCACAACUGAACUUUCGCACAUGGGAGAUUUCCAUGUACUAGUUAAAAUGGGGACAUUGCAAUUUGAUCUAGUCGGCAGCGUGUAAGACUGUAUGACCUCAAUAUGAGGUUGGUAGGUUGCAAUUAUGCAAUAGUGGUCUAACAAUUAGCUUGAUUCUCUUAAUGAGAGAAUCUGCCAACCCAUUUUGUAUGUGGACAUAUGGAACAGAAUGUUGGACUUAAAUUCCUAAGACCAUAAAAUAAUCAUUGAAGGCAUGAGAGAAAAAUUUUCAGCAGCGUUAUCCAUCCUAAUGAAUUUAAAUUGAUAUUCAGAAUGUUGCACUUUGAGUUUGAUAACUUGCACAAUAAUUUUAUUGAAUGCAUGGUUUCCUAUCGAUAGAAGAGACACAUGAGACCAUCAUAUGGAUGCGUCUAUUAGAACCAUGAAAUACCUGAAUGGUCCUCAUAAAGGGUUUAUUGCACCACAUAUGUCCCCUUGAAUACGUUCAAGGAAGUUGAGUGGUUCAACUUUUAUUUUGAGAAAAGAGGGCCUCAAAAUUAAUUUUCUAGUUGCACAUAUGGUGCAAAUAUAAACUGAGGAUUAGGGAAAUUUUACAUUAGUUAACGAGUGACCAACAAAAUAAUUUUUCUCAUCGUCCCUAUGCCAGGGUGACCAAGGCGAUCAAGCCAAGUUUAGAAUGCAUUGACAUGCUGAAAAUUACUUUGUACGCAAUAUGUUGUAUGGGUUUAUGUAAGAAUAGUACAAUAAUCUAGACGGAGGUGAGGGAACUCUUUCGAGAGUGUCUCUGCCAUACUGUUAUCCUUUGUAAUGAGGAGAAACUCCUCAUUAUUUUGGUCAUGGGUCUCGAUAUGAUACCCAUUUUUGCAGAUAUCUCUAUAACUCAAUAGAGUAUGAGUUGAAUUUGGAUACAAGAGUGCGUCCUUGAAUAUGAUCAUUGUACCCAUAGGGAGCAUAACAAUGGCUCGUCCAGAGCCUGCUAUUACGGCAUCACACCUAACGAUUAUUAAAAUAUUUCUUUUGCUCUCUAUGAGAGUUUGGAAAUAUUUUAUUUUCCUAAGUAUAGAGUUAGUGGUGCCACUAUCCACUAGGCAUAUUUUCUCAUCUAUCGGAUUGAAUCUAUGAAAAAUAGAGAAUAAAGUACAGAAUGAAAUUCUCAACAUGAAUAUAUAUGAAAUAUAAACAUAUAAUAGAUACUAGUUGUGCAUAAGACAUUGAAUAUGAAAUGUAUGAGGCAAAAACAAAUUGCCAAUUAUUACAACCCUAAGGCAGAAAAGUAAAAAAUUCAAAAUGACUAUCAAUCUAGUUGAAGUCGCCAAACACAUCUUGUGAAGUAUACUCAAUGAUCAUGUUAUUGGCGGAGUCACCUAUCAUGCCAUCAGGUGGAGGAUGAGGCACCAUUGUGUUGCUCGGUUCCACUGGCAAAGAUGGAACAUCAUGGGGCUGCUAGAUUGUUGAAGUGUGCUUAAGAUUGUUGUCCACCUUGGUUAGAGCAUCCACAUCCCACGGAAUGCAAGUAUAGUUCCACUAGGUGCAUAGGGGUGUGGCAUUUCUUAGUCGGGUAGUUGUAGCAACCACACUUUAUACAAGUUGUAGAUUUGUCUUUCGACUUGGAAUUGUUGCCUUUGACAUUAGCACCUCGAGGCUUAUGGGGUCCCUUGCACUUGUUUUUGCCUUUGGAGGGUCCAGGGUUGCCAUUUUUGUUGGCAUACUUUGGUGUUCAUUUGUGAGCAUUGGUUAAGUGGGGUCAUCUGGGGGUCUGCUUCUUCUUAUAUAGCCCAAUGGGAUGAACCACAGCCCUCAGAUUAAACUGCCAUGAAACAAUGGUCAAGAUGCAUCGUAGAGGUUGGUUGGAGGCUAUCACACGAAGGGGGCCUGCCUGGCAGUGGGACCAAGUCGACCGGCCUAGCAUGUUGGGCUAGCCAACCCCACCUAUUAGCCACUGGUCUUCCGCUUUGUUCUCAUGCCUUCUGGUGUCCUCUAGAAUCUUCCCAUUAAUUCUUAUGGAAUUCCAACUUGAUUUGGUUCAAUUCCUUGGCUCCUACUCUUCCUAGAUUAUUCUAUUUUUAUCCAUGAAAAUUCACAAAUCACCAAAGCUAUGGAAAUUGUCAUGUUAGUCCAUAAAACUUUUGCUUGGUGAUGCUUGCGGAGUAUUCGAAAGAAUUCUUGGGCGUAUCCAUUGGGGACUCUCUCGUCGAGACUCCAAAUAUAGCAAAUGAUAUAUCUAUUUCGAUCGUCUCAACAAGCUGUUUGCUAUGGUGUAACACCCUAAAAAUUUCACUUUUCCAAAUAGGCUAAUUGAUUUAAUUAUUUAAUGUGAGCACUGAGAAAUAGUAAGAAAAUAAUUUUUGUUGAAAUAAAAUCCACUAUAAGGUCUAGACACAUGUAUGUGCAUUCAUGCUGCUGCAUAUAUUUUGUUGAGUGAAGUUCUUUCCUUUCAAAUUGGUUUUGGAAAUACUUUUCAAAAGAUUUGAGCAAAACACAAAUUUGGAAAAUGGAAAAGAAUUUCCUCUCUCCCUCCCUGUCUCGGGCUUGGCCCAACCUCUCCCCGCGGCCUGCCUAUUUCCCUCCCUCCCCUUUCUUUCUCGCCACGGCCCAGCCAGCGCCCGCACGGCCCACCUGGCGGCCCAGAGGGACAACCAGCGCCGCGCGCCUCUCCCUCCUUGCCUCAGCAGCUGACAACAGGGUCCCGCGCGCUGUGCCACUACCAGGUGGGACCCGACGGUCAGAACCGCCUUCUACCUUGAGUCCGAGCCGGUUACGAGCCGAGUUCAUCAACCGCGUGCGAUUCCGCCCGAUUCCCGUGCUUUAUAUACCGCCCCGAAGCUCCGCUAGCCCCAAUUCAACCUGAGCCGCAGCCAACGCGUCCAAGCUCGCCUAAAUCACCGCCGAGAUCCGCCGCAUCACCAAUCCACCGCUGUAGCGCCUUCGAGCCUCCGCGAGCGACGUGCCGGGCUUCGUUUUCGUCGUGCGAAGUCGCGGAGACCCUCCUUUUGCGCUUUACCGUUUUGUAUCCCUUGCUAACGCUCGCCGAACUCGUUCCAGGGGUCGCCGUCCGCCGUUCGUCGUCGCGUGCCCGAGCAGGCCUUUCUUCAUUGCGGUUCUUGCCUCAGGUGAGUUCGCGACAAGCUCCUGAGCAUCCCGGUGUAUUUGGUUUGCUCCCUACCGCUCUCUAGCGCCCGAUUGCCUAACUCCGGCCAACUCCGGCCAUGGAGCCGCCGCGGCCGUCCAACUCCGGCCGGCCGGCGUGAACCUCCCCCCUGCGAUCUAAUCUGAGCCGUCACUUUGAAAUCCAACGGCCCCAGAUGAAGGGUACCCCUUCGGCCGGCUAUUUUUCAGAAAACCCCCCGUGCUUUUUAAAGUCUUAACCCGCAGUCCUUUACGGAUUUCCAGAAUACGCUUCCUAACUCCGAAAGCGUAUUCUCGUCUGCUCUGAUUCAAAAUACGUUUUCACAGUUUAAAAACGUACUCCGUGCUGGUUUAUUCAAAAUACGUUUUCAGGAAAUUACAAGUUUGCCACUGGAUUUGUUUUACACAUAAAAUAUUCAUCUUAAUUCCGUUUUGACUCGUUCAAAUUGCGUUGGUUUUGUAUUCAAAAGAUCUACAUAUUAGUAAAAUUGUUUUCUCAGUUUGAAACUUUUUAAUUCCGUGACCCAAAUAAUUAAUUGUUUUUCUAAAGAAAAUCUUAGAAAAUUCAUAUAUUCUUCGUUUUAACUCCGUUUUGAUCCGUUCAAAUUUCGUUAGAUUUGUUUUUGCGUAAACUAUAGAUUAGUAGCUCUGUUAUACAUGCUUCCAACUUUUUAAAUCUGAAUCUAGAUUUAAUCUAUUAUUUUAUUAAAGGAAAUCUUAUAAAAUUCCUAUCUUUUUCGUUAUAGCUUCGAUUUUCAUGAUCUUUACGUUCGUGUGAUCGUAGAGCGAUGUAGAUUUGUUUUAUAAACUUUUUAUCUUUAUUUUCUACUGUUGGUGUAUUGUUCUAAUUAUAGGUUUGUUUUGCUUUGUAUGAUUGCCUCUGGAUGAUUGUUGAUGAUGUGAUGACUGAGUUUAGACGGUGAGCUUUUACGUGGUGAUCAAGAAGCAGAUUGUGGAAGGUUUGGAACUAAAAGAAGGAUCUGAGUUUCAAGGCAAGUAUAGCAUGGGAUCAUCCUUGUUUCCUAAUAACUUAAAUCACACAAUUCAUAUUGCAUGUGUCUCCUUGAUAAGGAUUUCCUAGUAUUGAUCUUAUACCUUGUCACCUACGGUUUUGCAUUGGGUAGCUUAUGCUAGUGCUCCACUAAACCAUGAUCUUGUAAUUUGAUUAAAGGAAUAUGCAAUGAACAUUAAAAGAUGACUUUUUAGCAACUUUGAUAAAAGAGGGCUAGAGCAUUGGGCUAUCUUAUGGUGCUCUAGUUUCUCUCCAUAAGGACUUAUCUGUAUCUGACCAUCCGGGACAUACAAUACAACUGUGAGGGCUACAUGGCUCUGGCUUUAGCUUAGUAUGAGGAUCUUUUCUAGCUUGUUAGUGGUUACCCUUGUGGCGCAAGUGGGGGAUAGCAGACCGUGGAUUCCUGCGGGUGAGUCACACGGACUGACUAACGAAACCUAGCGGCCCUAACUUGUUAGACGAACCUUUGAAAGGCUUCAUAGUGAACCCUGCCGGUCUUCCUUGGGAGUGGGCUAAGGGGCUGAUCACCCCGGGCGAAAGGGUAAAUCAUGACUCACAGUGAAAGUGUACAACCUCUGCAGAGUGUAAAACUGAUAUAUCAGCCGUGCUCAUGGUCACGAGCGGCCUUGGACCAAUACAGAAUAAAUGAUCACUAAUAGCAAAUCGUUAAUGGUGUUAUUGUUAAUAUGUUGUUUAUGCUAUUCUUUAUUCACUUUACUUGAUCAUGAGUUUGCUUUGGGACUCGACAACUUGAUGCUACUCAUAUGCUAAAAUUGUGACAACUAAAAGCUACAUGCAGUUAAACCAGUGUCUAGCCUUUGAGCCUCAUGAACCCUAUGUUAUUUUUGCUGAGUACGAGAUGUACUUACGCUUGCCUUUACAUUUUAUUUGGAUAAAAAUCCCGGAUGGGUACCAGUUUGCAAGUUUGGAGAAGAGUUUAGGCUUGUGCUCAACCAGUCAGUUGUCCCUGUGGAUUUGGAGCUUUUGCCUGAAGAACGGAGUGUCUUUCCGCUGUUUGCUGACUAAGGUUAUAUCUUUUAUACUAAGUACGUUAUAUAUAUAAGCAUUGUCUAUUGAUAUUACCCCUUAUUUGUGGCUAUAUGUGAGAUUUGACUUCCUGGGCUCACAUAUGGUGUGUAUCUGGUUUUGUUCUUAAAACCAGGUGCUACAAAGUGGUAUCAAAGCAAUGCUGACUGUAGGACGCAAGCCUAGAUAGUAAUGGUCGUUUUAGUCAUCCUUGCUUCACUACAUUCAUACUUACUAUCUCACCCUUGCUAUUUGCUAAAAUUCUUAUGCUUCUAUCAUCUAAUUCUAUUCUAAAAGUAUUGCUUCCAUUCUAACUCCCUCUUGGUCUAAUUCCAUAGAUGGUUCGUAACGAAAAGAUUGCUCGCAGCAACUCUGAAAGACCAUGCUUAACUCGGGGUAUCUAUGGCUUAACGGAACCAGAGUAUGAAGAAGCUCGCCCUGUCCCCUCAAGACAUAUUUGUUGGCGGAAGUACUUUACCACAUCCUUUAGUGGCGAAGAUUUCUUUCACCCUCGGCUUGUGCGUAUACUACAAGACCACUAUCCUGAACAGCAAGCCAAGGUGGAAUAUAAGUGCACUAAGUGGACUCAUCCCAAAUAUGAGAGCCACUGGAGCACAGAAGCACAAAUCACAAGGUGGAAUGAGUUUACUGGUUCACGCAUGGUGGAAUCCAUUCACUCGUCUCCCAGUGACCGUUUCAGUAAGCAUGCUAGCAUAUCUGAUGCUGCCCAUCAAGCUCUUCUGGCAUAUCAUGGAAAGCACUACGAAGAGAGGAAGAAUGGCAAACAAAAGUAUCUUCCUCGUCGUCCACCAGGCACCUUGCAAUGUGUAAUGGCUGACCCCUACUUGGAGCAGAAUGAACAACUAAAGGAGAUGGCUUUUACUAUCCAAGUCAUGCAUCAGAAGUUGGAAGAUAGUCAACUGGAAUUAGCAGAAGUAAGGCAACACUAUGAGGAAGCCCUUGAUGAGAUUGAUGAGUGGAGAAAUCGUGGUGGAUUACCUAAGAUCAAUGAGGUGGAGGACAUACCUCGCUUAACUCCACGCAAGAGAUGCUACCCUGGAUGCCGCUGCAAUCACACCGUGUUUAAGAAGUAGAAAGUCCCCCUUUGUAAUAAACGUUAGUAGCAAAAGUUGAGUCUAGUCUAUAUGUGUGCCUUGUGAAUCUUUAAUGUUUGGUUGGCUUGUCUUGGUGUUUAUGUUUGAGUUGGAAUUUUGUAAUGAGUGCAAUGAUCUUGUGGGUUUCUCCACAAUUUCAUUUAGUUUACAGGUCUAAGGUAUAAGGAUUAAUUGAAUAAAUAGUUGGGUUUUAGUUUCUCUUGUUUCUCUGUCCUAUCUUUUGGGAGCAACUUAUCUUCUUCAGUUCAAUCCCUAUUCCUGGAGGACCAUAAAAUCAUGUGAAAAUUUUGGGUGAUAGUAGACUUCAAGAUCCGUCUCUGAGCGCAAGAAUGACCCCCAUAGCUGUUGUGGUUUGGGAAUUACAAAAAUCACAAGAUGGUACAGUUGAGCUGUCAGGAAUCUGGAUCAGUUUCAGUUGCCUACUGUUUUGGACAAAUGUAACUCCGGAAUUUAGGAAAAUGUUCUAUAGUAAAGUUGUAGGUCAUUGGAUAAGCUUUCCAACGAUGCAAGCUGCAACUUUACCGGAUUAACAGAACUUGAGUUAUGACAUCUACAAAUUGCUGUUGCUGCGCAGUUCAAAAUCUGGACAGUUCUAGUUAGUUCCUAUUUUCAGCAAACUUAAAAUCAGAAUUUGGAAAAGUGGGAUAUACAGAAGUUGUGGAGGACUUCAUAAGCUUUUCAACCAUGUAAGACUCGUCCUCAUAUGAUCUAAGUAACUAGAGAUAUGACUUCUGCAAGUUGCUGCACCGAUGGUGAGAUAUUGUCGGGAUGGAUAUCAUGUAUGGCUGUUUUACCUAGGUUUAAAGACAGAAACUAAGGAAGCCUUCUAUAUGAAAGUUGUAGGGAUUUUGAUAAGGUUUCUAACGGUAUCAGAUAAGACCUUAUUGGAUUAAUAGAAAAGGAGUUAUGCCUACUUGACUGCGCUGGUGUUUCUCGUGUUAUGAGGAAUUUCAGAGUUCUUGUACAUAUCAGUGCACAUGAGUUUCUCUUGGGUAUUAGAAGAUCUUAUGAUAAGAAGCUCACUUGAAAGAUGGACCAAACUACCCAUUUAAGCCCCUAGUUACCUUUACUAAGGGGGGGGGGGUAGCCUUAUCAAAGGAGGUACAGGAAGAAGUAUCGGUUAAUGUUGGAUCAUCGAUAAGGACCUCAAGUGUUUGGUAAAUUUGGGUUUUGAUGCAAGAAAUAGUUCCACUGAAGUGUGCUAAUAUGGAUGGAGAUAUAGGUCAUUGCCAGUACUCAUAGCUUGGAAGUGGUGCUUACGAGAAUCAGGUGACACCAAAGUCUACGAAGUUAUACAUGGGAUGAGAGAGCAAAGCAAUUCAACUAUGAUAGAGGUACCAAUAGUUGGAACUUAGUGAUAAAACCCACUCCGGAUCAUGAGACUUGGUACAAUGAAUUUAAAAGACCAUAUGAUGUGUAGCAUCUAAGAUGAAAUGUGAGAUCUAGUCCAAACUGUCCCCCGACCCAUCUCGUCUUAAGGGGGGUAGUACCUUGAUAUGAUAGAUUAAUGCCCUUUAAAUUUACCAUGAAGUGAGAAGUUGUCUCUGGAGAUAUCCCAUGAUUAUAAUCAUCUAUCCUGGCUCAAGUUAGUGAAAUUGGUCACUUGACAACUUAGGAAGUGGAUAAGCUGCAUCUACUAUUGAUUCUACUGAGAUUCAAAAGGCUUCAUUGCUAAAGAGAGCAUGACCAGUAUGUUCUAGUUAAUGGAAGUUCUCAUCUAGGAGACGUCAUCUUUAAUGAUGGACCUAAGAAAGUUAAAGAUGCAAGAGUUGGAAACAACCAAAGGAAAGUGAAUGAGACUUAGAGUUUUAUAGAUAUGACAAGAGGCUAUCAUAGGUUUGCUAGAGCCAGUGUGAACUUGACAUAAGAGUGACUAAGAGAUUGACUUGGAAUGAUAAGAUUCUAUCAGUGGUUCACAGAAGGUGUUAUAAAGAUUGACAACUAGAGUUGUUCUAUUCCAGCAAGACCUUAGAUGUACUCCAUACAAGGGAAGUAGUGGCUGGUGCAUAAGUCAACUAAGUGGGUUGGAUUAACUGACAGGUGAGGUGGAGGUAUCCAUAGUGGAGCAUGGAGAUACUGCCUUCUUGGGUCUAAGGAGUGAUAUCUGUGUAGAACGUAUGAAUCUAAAGGGCAUCUUUAGGAAGUUGGAUUUGAGCUGGUCGCAUUGUCGAUGGAUUUGAGUGAAUCAAGAGUUAUGGUUGGAAAAAAAUGCUAUCACUUGAAGGAGAAAAAGCCUUUGCAAAUGCUCAGAGCAUAAAAAGUGUGCUAGAAGAGUUCAAAUGGCACUGAAAUUUGAAGGGUUGAGUGUUGAACUGGGUGAUGUCACUAGUACUGCCAAAGGAGCUCUACUAAUUACUCAUUUGGGAACCACAGGAACUACAAAGAGUACUUAGAAGAUAUGUUGUGAGCUUGUGUAUUAUGGUAUGGUGCAAAGAGUUUACCGUAUGCGAAGUUUUCUUAGAACUACAGUGAGUAGAAGAGCCUUCAGAUGGUAUGUCUUUAAGCUUUGUAUGGACGGAAGUGUAGAACCCCAUUGUUUUGAAAUCAAAUAGGUAAAACACAAGUGUUUGGACCAGAUGUCUAAGAAAUGCAGAACAACAAGUGAGAGUGUUCAGGGAUAACUUAAGGGUGGCACAUUCUCAACAGAUGAGAUAUGCUGACAACCAGAGAAAAGAAUAAGCUUUUGAAGUAGAAGACUAUAUGUAUUUGAAGGUGACACCUAUGAGAAGUGUGAGAAGAUUUAAUAUGAAAGGAAAGUUAGCACCAAGGUAUGUCAGGCCUUUCAGGAUGUAAGAAAUAUGGAACGAAGUGGCUUACCAAAUAGAGCUACCUGAAAGUGCAGAAGGAGUGUAUGAUGUCUUUCAUGUGCCUCAACUUAAGAAGUGUUUGCAUGUGCCAUAAGAGCAGAUGUCGUGAGAAGAAUUGACUAAUAAAUCGGAUUUCCCAUACAAAGAGUACCCGGUGAGAAUUUUGGAAACAAGGUGACUAGGAGUUGGAUAUACACGAUGUACAAAGUCCAGUAGAAUCAGUGCACCGAAGAGGAGGCUGUUUGUAAUAGAGAAGAGGAUUUAAGAAAAUCAUAUCCUCAGUUGUUUGAGUAAGCACCAACCGAAUCUCGAGGACGAGAUUCAUCUUAAGGGGGGUAGAAUUGUAACACCCUAAAAAUUUCACUUUUCCAAAUAGGCUAAUUGAUUUAAUUAUUUAAUGUGAGCACUGAGAAAUAGUAAGAAAAUAAUUUUUGUUGAAAUAAAAUCCACUAUAAGGUCUAGACACAUGUAUGUGCAUUCAUGCUGCUGCAUAUAUUUUGUUGAGUGAAGUUCUUUCCUUUCAAAUUGGUUUUGGAAAUACUUUUCAAAAGAUUUGAGCAAAACACAAAUUUGGAAAAUGGAAAAGAAUUUCCUCUCUCCCUCCCUGUCUCGGGCUUGGCCCAACCUCUCCCCGCGGCCUGCCUAUUUCCCUCCCUCCCCUUUCUUUCUCGCCACGGCCCAGCCAGCGCCCGCACGGCCCACCUAGCGGCCCAGAGGGACAACCAGCGCCGCGCGCCUCUCCCUCCUUGCCUCAGCAGCUGACAACAGGGUCCCGCGCGCUGUGCCACUACCAGGUGGGACCCGACGGUCAGAACCGCCUUCUACCUUGAGUCCGAGCCGGUUACGAGCCGAGUUCAUCAACCGCGUGCGAUUCCGCCCGAUUCCCGUGCUUUAUAUACCGCCCCGAAGCUCCGCUAGCCCCAAUUCAACCCGAGCCGCAGCCAACGCGUCCAAGCUCGCCUAAAUCACCGCCGAGAUCCGCCGCAUCACCAAUCCACCGCUGUAGCGCCUUCGAGCCUCCGCGAGCGACGUGCCGGGCUUUGUUUUCGUAGUGCGAAGUCGCGGAGACCCUCCUUUUGCGCUUUACCGUUUUGUAUCCCUUGCUAACGCUCGCCGAACUCGUUCCAGGGGUCGCCGUCCGCCGUUCGUCGUCGCGUGCCCGAGCCGGCCUUUCUUCGUUGCGGUUCUUGCCUCAGGUGAGUUCGCGACAAGCUCCUGAGCAUCCCGGUGUAUUCGGUUUGCUCCCUACCGCUCUCUAGCGCCCGAUUGCCUAACUCCGGCCAACUCCGGCCAUGGAGCCACCGCGGCCGUCCAACUCCGGGCGGCCGGCGUGAACCUCCCCCCUGCGAUCUAAUCUGAGCCGUCACUUUGAAAUCCAACGGCCCCAGAUGAAGGGUACCCCUUCGGCCGGCUAUUUUUCAGAAAACCCCCCGUGCUUUUUAAAGUCUUAACCCGCAGUCCUUUACGGAUUUCCAGAAUACGCUUCCUAACUCCGAAAGCGUAUUCCCGUCUGCUCUGAUUCAAAAUACGUUUUCACAGUUUAAAAACGUACUCCGUGCUGGUUUAUUCAAAAUACGUUUUCAGGAAAUUACAAGUUUGCCACUGGAUUUGUUUUACACAUAAAAUAUUCAUCUUAAUUCCGUUUUGACUCGUUCAAAUUGCGUUGGUUUUGUAUUCAAAAGAUCUACAUAUUAGUAAAAUUGUUUUCUCAGUUUGAAACUUUUUAAUUCCGUGACCCAAAUAAUUAAUUGUUUUUCUAAAGAAAAUCUUAGAAAAUUCAUAUAUUCUUCGUUUUAACUCCGUUUUGAUCCGUUCAAAUUUCGUUAGAUUCGUUUUUGCGUAAACUACAGAUUAGUAGCUCUGUUAUACAUGCUUCCAACUUUUUAAAUCUGAAUCUAGAUUUAAUCUAUUAUUUUAUUAAAGGAAAUCUUAUAAAAUUCCUAUCUUUUUCGUUAUAGCUUCGAUUUUCAUGAUCUUUACGUCCGUGCGAUCGUAGAGCGAUGUAGAUUUGUUUUAUAAACUUUUUAUCUUUAUUUUCUACUGUUGGUGUAUUGUUCUAAUUAUAGGUUUGUUUUGCUUUGUAUGAUUGCCUCUAGAUGAUUGUUGAUGAUGUGAUGACUGAGUUUAGACGGUGAUCUUUUACGUGGUGAUCGAGAAGCAGAUUGUGGAAGGUUUGGAACUAAAAGAAGGAUCUGAGUUUCAAGGCAAGUAUAGCAUGGGAUCAUCCUUGUUUCCUAAUAACUUUAAUCACACAAUUCAUAUUGCAUGUGUCUCCUUGAUAAGGAUUUCCUAGUAUUGAUCUUAUACCUUGUCACCUACGGUUUUGCAUUGGGUAGCUUAUGCUAGUGCUCCACUAAACCAUGACCUUGUAAUUUGAUUAAAGGAAUAUCCAAUGAACAUUAAAAGAUGACUUUUUAGCAACUUUGAUAAAAGAGGGCUAGAGCAUUGGGCUAUCUUAUGGUGCUCUAGUUUCUCUCCAUAAGGACUUAUCUGUAUCUGACCAUCCGGGACAUACAGUACAACUGUGAGGGCUACAUGGCUCUGGCUUUAGCUCAGUAUGAGGACCUUUUCUAGCUUGUUAGUGGUUACCCUUGUGGCGCAAGUGGGGGAUAGCAGACCGUGGAUUCCUGCGGGUGAGUCACACGGACUGACUAACGAAACCUAGCGGCCCUAACUUGUUAAACGAACCUUUGAAAGGCUUCAUAGUGAACCCUGCCGGUCUUCCUUGGGAGUGGGCUAAGGGGCUGAUCACCUCGGGCGAAAGGGUAAAUCACGACUCACAGUGAAAGUGUACAACCUCUGCAGAGUGUAAAACUGAUAUAUCAGCCGUGCUCACGGUCACGAGCGGCCUUGGACCAAUACAGAAUAAAUGAUCACUAACAGCAAAUCGUUAAUGGUGUUAUUGUUAAUAUGUUGUUUAUGCUAUUCUUUAUUCACUUUACUUGAUCAUGAGUUUGCUUUGGGACUCGACAACUUGAUGCUACUCAUAUGCUAAAAUUGUGACAACUAAAAGCUACAUGCAGUUAAACCAGUGUCUAGCCUUUGAGCCUCAUGAACCCUAUGUUAUUCUUGCUGAGUACGAGAUGUACUUACGCUUGCCUUUACAUUUUAUUUGGAUAAAAAUCCCGGAUGGGUACCAGUUUGCAAGUUUGGAGAAGAGUUUAGGCUUGUGCUCAACCAGUCAGUUGUCCCUGUGGAUUUGGAGCUUUUGCCUGAAGAACGGAGUGUCUUUCCGCUGUUUGCUGACUAAGGUUAUAUCUUUUAUACUAAGUACGUUAUAUAUAUAAGCAUUGUCUAUUGAUAUUACCCCUUAUUUGUGGCUAUAUGUGAGAUUUGACUUCCUGGGCUCACAUAUGGUGUGUAUCUGGUUUUGUUCUUAAAACCGGGUGCUACAUAUGGUGUGCUUUGUUUCAUCAUUUGAGAUACUUUUAUGUUGUGAAAUAUCAAUAGUCCUAAAAAAGGGGUGAGAGCAACACAACAUGUGGAACUUGUUAGAAUAAACCCUACGACUAUGCACUAAUAACUCUUUUGUCAUUAUGUUGUGUAUUAGUUGAAUGUAUAAUGUUGAUGUUAAGGACCGUGAACAAGCUCCCCCAAGCUUAACCUUUGCUAGUCCCUAAGCAAAGCCAAUCCCAACAUAGGGUUAGGAGUUGCUACAAUGCUUUCACGCCUCAAAAGUACACAUGUGUUUAAACAAGAAUUCUCCUCUAGAUUAGAGCAAACUAUUCUUACUUCAAACUUACCCAUUACCUUUAACUGUGGAGCGUUUGGCCUUCUCUUGGGUUUUGAGUAGUUGACAGACAAAAUAACUCAAGCCAAGCGCUGUGUCUCGAGUUCUUUGAUCAACCUUCAUUCAAAGGUUUUGUAGAUUUUCAAAAUAAUACUCAUAGAUUCCUUUUGUAUGACCCUAUCUAGUCUCUCAUAUGUGGUAUUUAUAGAUCCUUUCUAGGCCAAUGAUGGUGUUUUGCCUUCUCUCUUUCACUCAGAAGAUGUGAUAUUUUUGGAAUAAGGCAGAGUAGCAUCAUGCCUCCUCUCUCUUACCCUAUAACUAAUAGGCUUAUAUGGAGCUAAGGGUAUUUCAAGGAGGUAACUUACUUACCUUGAAUGUGUUGCUUAGUCAAAACCAGGAUCCAAACAGGGGAGACCAUACCCUUACAUCAAGAUGUGCAUGUGUGUGGAAAAAUUUGGUGGCUAACCUAAUUCUACUUUGCUCCUAGAGAAAUUGCCUCCAACUGAAGAAUUUAUGAAGAACUUUGUUGUGGAGGUCUUGUGAUAUCUUCUUCCUCCUUUCUUUGGUGACAAUGAUGAACUUCUAGGCAUAGAGAUCAUAGACUUAUCUUUUUUUCUUUUUACAAAGGAUCUCCUUCCUCUUACUUAGGAUACAAUGAACUUGGAGAAAAGAUAAAUCACAAUCUUGGAGCAUUUAUUUGGAAACCUAACAAUCUUUUUGGAUCUUCUCAUAGUGUAGGAGAUAGAUUUUGGGCUGUAAAGGCAUGUUUUUGUGUACUCCUACGGUUGGAGCAGUAGGAUAUAUGUGGGUGUAAGUGAUCUUGAUCUUGGGAGCAUGACCAUCCUCUCGACAAGGCUCUCACAUGGGUUGACCAAACUCAAUAUAAAGCAAGCAGCUUAUGAGCUAGUUUUCCUAGUCUAGCAAGCAUAUAUAUGGUUGUGGUAGGAAUUAAAGCUCUCGUCAUACAGGAACUCAUCAUGUAGCAACUUUAAGUUUUUCAAAAGAUAAAUCUCCAAAACUCUAGUGUCACUAGGAACAAGGUAAACAACAACUCAGACCUUUUUUAUAUGAUAUUCGUCAAUCACCUAAACUUGGAUCAAGCAUUCACAACCCAUAAGUUUCACGUUCAGAAUAAAUCCUAGGUCAAAACAAUCAUUUCCAAAACUUGGGACAGUUCAAUGUGAAAACUAGGCAGUUGAAAGGAAUUACAGUAGAGCAACUAUUCAUCAUUUCCAUACCAGAGAUUAUCCUGAGUGCUCUUUAUUUACAAUUGAUUCAACCAAACCAGACACACUCUAACUAACACAAAUACAAAAGAGAACAAAUACUUAAUGUAAUACCUGAUUUUAAGGACAAAACCAGAUAUGCACCAUAUGUGAGUUUUAGAGAUCAAAUCUCACAUAUAGCUACAAAUAAGGGGUAAUAUCAAAAGACAAUGCAUAAAUAUAUAACGUACUUAGUAUAAAAGAGAUAACCUUUAGUAACAAACAGCGGAUAGAUAACUCCAACUUCGGGUAUUAACUCCACUCUACAGGAUCCAACUGACUGGUUGAUCAUAAGCCUAAACUUCUCUUGAGAUUUGGGAAAAAUAGCAAGAGUGAGUCCAUGUCGAACUCCACAAGUAUAGCAACUAGAUUGUAUAGCUCCCACAAUCUCAUGAUCAAUGUGACAUAAAUAAUGUAAAGCAUUAAACAAUAAUGAGUAUCUUAACACAACAAAAGUCAUCACCCUUAAUGUAAGAAUCCCCAAGGCCGCUCCUGACCGUGAGCUCGGCUAGUAUACUAGUUUUUAACACUCUGCAGAGGUUGUACAUCUUUACCCAUGAGUCAUGAUUUACCCUUUCGCCCGAGGUAGCUAGUCUCUUAAUGCCCUUCCUAGGGAGGUCGGCAGGGAUCACUAUGAAGUCUUUCAAAGGUUCGUCUAACAAGUUAGGGCCGUUUGGUUUCAUUAGUCAGUCCAUGUGAUCCACCCACAGGAAUCCACGGUCUGCUAUUCCCCAAUUGCGCCACAACGGGUAACCGCUAACGUGCUAGAAAAAUUACUCAUACUUAACUAAAGCCAGAGCCAUUAUAGCCCUCAUGGUUGCACGGUUGUCCCAGUUAUCACUUAUAGAUAAAUCAUCAAGUGGCUAAAAAGUCAUUUUUAUCGUUUAUUACUUAGCAUUAAUCUAGACACACGAUCAUGGUCACAGAAAUAAAAUCCAAAUGUUAUACUUGCCUUAAUCCAAUUGCUCUUGCUGAUCUUGCUAACUCUGCUGGUCCUAUUUGUUGUCAAAGCUCUGAUCUUGAUCACCAAAAACUACUCUCCAUCUAAACUCGAUCAUCGAUCACCAACACACAACAAUCGAAGACAAACAUACACGAAGCAAACAAGACUACAAUUAGAACAGUACACCAAUCAUAUAAAAACAGUAUGAAAAGUUUAUAAAAAGAUUCUACGCAUCGCUACGAUCACACGAACGUAAAGAUCACGAAAAUCGGAGUUAAAACGGGAAAGUUAUGAAUUUUCUAAGAUUUCCUUUAGAAAAAUAAUUAAUUAACUAGGGUCAUGAAAAUAAAAGGUUUCAAACUGAGAAAACAGUGUUACUAACAUGUAGAGCUCAUUAAUACGAAUCCAACGCAAUUUAAAAGGGUCAAAACGGAGUUAAAAUGAAUAUUUUAUGGCCAAAAGAAAGUCAGUGGCAAUUCUGUAAAUAGUGAAAACAUAUUUUUAAUCUAAAAUCGAACUGUUUACGUUUUCCAAACUGAAAGGCAAAGUGAUUCGUACUCACGUUGGUGGACAGGGAGCAGGUUCACCGGCAGCGACGCUUUCUUGGAGCUACAGCAACGCUGGAGCAGCCGACCGUUCGUAGAUGUCGUGUAUAGGCGAGACGAUGGCGAUCACGUUGUAGAGAAGAAAAUAUAAUUUUAUUUUACUACCUUAGGAAUUCUCAAAUUAGAGACUUCCAUAUGAUAGUCUUUGGUGUGUUUUGCCUAAGGGGUUGGUACAUAUAUAUAGGGAGAGAAACUCCCCACCUCCACGUCAAUUAGCGAUAUGGUACUAAUUGAUUUGUAACCUUUAUCUUUACUAAUAUGCCUAAUUAAUUAUUAAAGCCCAUUAGUAAAUACAUGGUCUUUGGGAUUUGGCAACGUAUCGUAUGCAACCCAGCUUCGUGUGCAACCUAUGCAACCACCAAUUAAGGCCACAGGAUCUAGAUCUAACGAGUGAGGUUUUUUCACUUAAACCCCUCUACCUGUGGGUUUAAAUCUAACUCGUGUGUAUCCAGAUGGGAGGGUUUAAAUGAAAAAAACCUCAGACGUUAGAUCUAGAUCCUGUGGCCUUAAUUGGUGGUUGCAUAGGUUGCACACGAAGCUCUGUUGCACAGGAUAGGUUCCCUUGGGAUUUAUUAUGGGCUUUGACGUUGGAAAAAAUAGGAUUAUUUUUUGAAUUAAUUAUUUUCAUGGAUAAAAUAAUUCUAGAAAAGUCUAGAAUUAGUAGUUAUGCUACGAAAAAUACUCCGAAAGCUCUGAAAAUUCGGAAAAAAUUCUCAGAGAUAUUAUAGAACAUAGGGAACCCGAAUAAAGUUUUUGGAGCUCAUGAUAAGAUUGUUUGGAGCAUCUAAAAAUUAGAUCAUGCUCAGAGAAAAGUGAGAACAGAAGAUGAAAAAAUUCCUGAAAAGUUUAUAGAGAGUGCUUAAUGGACGAGGAUAACAAAAAAAUAUUUUAGAAAGCUCCUAAUAAAAACUUAAGCUGAGAAACAAGAAAUUUGGUUGAUAAAGAUAAAGACGUACUGGUCAAGGAAGAUCGAUCUACUAAACGCAUUUGAAAAACUUUGCUCAGUCAACACAUAAAGGAGUAACAAACGAACAUCACAUAAAACAUAUGUACUAGUAUGUAUGCACAACAACGUUGCUAAACCCUAUGAUGAAUUUUAAUUUAAGAAAAAAUUUCAUUUUACUAUAUUUUCAUGAGCACAGAAAUACAAAAUAAAUUAUUUUAGCUCUAUUUUCAAAGAAGCAAAAUUUAGGGUGUUACACUUAACUCGACAAAGUAGAUACAGUAAAAAAAUCCAUAAAAAGAAUGUCUCAUAACCAUAAUUAUAUAAGUGUGAACCUUCAUGUGCUCAGUAUUUUUUUCAUUUGGAUUAAUUUAUAUAGGAAGAAAACUUAAGACAGUAAGGAUACUUACCUAGAUACACGGGGUACCUUCCCCCAAGCUAAAUGUUGACGUAGUCAUUCGAUCUUGCAAUGUAGCAGACUGGUAGUGGAAAUGUUCUUCCUCUACAAGAGCAUUGGUUGAUGUUGAUGACUGAUGAAAUAGUGCUCCAAUAGUGGAUAGAAUAUCUACUUGCUUGUCCGCUCUUCUUGAUCCUUCAAAUCCUGUGAAACUCAAUUAGACAAAAAAAACUUGUGGGACCGAUUAAGUGUUAGUGAUUGGCCCCUUAAGCAUUAGUUGUCCAAAAGCUUUUUUUCUAAGCAGAGUUUCAGUGGGAUUCCUUUUUCAAUAUUUUUGUAUUUUUAUAUUUUCUAUGAUGCAAGAGAAAAUGCAACAGGAUGAAUGCAUGCAUAUUUAUUAUUAUUUUCGUGCCACCAUAGUGAAUAUUCCCAUGUGUUCUUACACACCACAAAAUUAUCUAGAUGGGGCUUUAAGAUUUAUGAUGCAACAAACAAAUUUUUUUGCAAUGCUAAUGCAAAAAAGGAAUUAUGCUAAAGGAAAAUGAUUAUGCAGAAAGGACAAAUAUGGAUAACUACCAAUUUUACCUCCCAGUGAAGGUUCAAUGUUUUAAGUCCUCUGAACAUCAAACUUCUUACCAUGUUCAUUCCUUAGAUGCAUCAUCUGAUCCCAGGGGUGGAUACCUUGAUGACUACACCUCUUGAUAUGGUGUCAUCCAUGUCCUUCGUUUGCCUAGCAGUUUGAAGUGAAGCAUUGAUUGUGGAAGCUGGGAGCAUCUUGCUCAGUGUGUGUGUGUUCUUGUAGAUUCAGGACCUUCACUUUACAGAAUUUGGGAGUUGACAAACUCCUCAUGUUUUGUUCAAAGUGUGUCCUGCUCAUAAAGAUAAGGUAGAAAUCAAGUGUAGGGGCUCUGUUGGUGAAAAAACACCAACCAAAACAAAUUUUUUGUUCGUUCUUCUCUAACCUCAGGUAUAGCAAACAAGAUAAAAUUAAUGUUUAUCGGUGAUAAGAUCAGAAUACGAGCAUGAAUGUUACAUUUCAAAAACAUUUGACAGAUCAGAUUGCUUAACUCAUGGAAGGAUUGUCUAUCUAUGGAUGUCUUUCUUUGUAUGAGUACGACUAUCAUCUUCCAAAUGUUGAAUAAGCAACAUUUUUGCUUAAGUGGUUAAGACAGUGAGAUCAAGAGAGUGAAGCUAAGAAUAGAGAUUAAAAUAACUGAACAUGUUAAGUUGAUCAUAUUGGAUCAAGUGACGUUGUAACUUAAACAUGUCUGGUUCUUCAUUUAUGUGCAUACUAUGAUUGAGAAAAGCUUUUUGAAUAGUGAUUAUGUACCUCAAGGUGUUUACCUUAUCCUUGGAAGGGUUAUGGUACUGAACCACCUUGUCGAAGCUUCUCUGGCCCAGCUAGUUGUGUCCAUGAAUAGCUUGUCUUCACCAUCUUUUUGUUCUCCUGAUCUUGACAUUCUUGUCGGUCCUUGUGCUCCCUUCAUUGUCUUGAGAGUUUCUCUAUGAUGGUCUAUUUUUUGAAGGGGCCUCAUGGAGAUUUGUUCACCUUCUUCCAUAGGGUGAGUGUAGAUCUUGUUUUAUGCCACUCAUCUUCUUGUUCCAUGGAUCCCUCUAUGAGCUGUGUUUUCCUUGUGUGAGGUUGUUGAAGUUCAUGUAUCUCUUAUUUCUCUGUGUGAGUUCAUCUCAGGACUUCCUAGUUUGACUUUUGAAAGUUUUUUCUACAGGGGUUAGUCCAAUAAAGUAUCCAAUAUCCACUAUAGCAUACUAUCGGCUCAAAAAUCAACCUAGACACCACGUCUAAUUUGAUUCAGGAAGGCAUUUCAACCUAAGCAGCACGCUUAAUUUAAAAGCCUUUAUAAGUAGAAUAGCGCACCGUUUGGUUCAAGAAUUAAACUAGACACCUUGUCUAACUUAAGUUAGGAAAACAGUUUAAACUAAGCACCUUGCCUAAAUUAAAAAGGUGUAUCAAAAGACUUCAAAACCUGUGCAUACUAUAGCAAACAAUGGUAGCAUGAAAGCAUUGUAGAGAUUUACUCAAGUGGUGAUGGAAGAGAACAUGACUAAUGUAUAGCAAAUUGAGCAUGCCUUAAAGGUAGGGAAAACCAAGAUAGAAACAUUACAGGGGAUGUUCUUAGAAAGUUAUCUCCCAAGCUUGAAUUUCGCAAAAAAUCAAGAUUGGAUGAAUUUAAUUCAAUGUUGCAUGAUGAUUGGUUGGAUAUACCUUGUGUUUGUUAUCCCUUCGAUCUUUUUGCUUUGGACCUGAAAGGUUAGUGACAAAAAAUACCCGAAGGAAUAUUUUCAUAAUUAUAUCUUUAUGCUUGUUUCACAAGGGCAGCGUAGCAAAAAGGUGAACACUAGUGUUAGGACCUGAAAAGCGCUUGUUUUAGGACACUAAGGUUGUCCUUGGGAAACUUUCAAAAUGUUUUUGGUGAAGUGGUUUCCCCUCCAACACCAACUUUAAGAGCACAACGAGAUCUGCAAUAUUUAUGCAUCGACAAUCGCCCUUUUGCAAUUUUUGUAAAUAGAAAGAAUGAGGGGGUUGGAGAUCUCGAAUGUGGAGAGGUUGGAGAGGCCAAUUGAAUUCGGAGAUGUCUCAUAUGAGCAUGGAUUUAAUGAGGUGGUUAUGAAUAGAUUCCAUGCUCAUUGAUGUCAUCACUGUCUGCAAUGUGAAUGUUUAGAACUUCACUUGGAUCGGUGACUCUAGAAUUGGCCUCAUCUAGGGCUUCCUCCAUAGAUGGAUAAGUAUUGUCUUCAAAGUCAAAGGGAGUUAAAAACUCACCAUUUGAAUUUGAGCCAAGGUUGGAUUCCAUUAAGGCUUCUUCCUUGUCCAUCCAUUCUACACAUUCCUGGCAAUGUCGUACCAUCUCUUCGUCAUCCAUGUGGUCUUCAUGAGUCAUAUAUUUUGGUUGUCUUAGUGGAUUUCUAGGAUCAUCAUGAGACUUAGGGGGGAGAGCAUAUGAGGGGUCAUCGGGGUCAAGGAUGGAAAAAAAUGAUCUGAGGUAAGUUAUCUAAUGUGGGCAGUGGUGGCGGUGCUUGGGGGAGCUGGAUCCGGCGACAGCAAACACGCACAUGGAGGAUCAAGCUACCUCGGUGGCAAAUCAAGCUCCCUGGCGGCAGCACAUCCAGAUCGAGCUCCCACAACGACCGCGGUGGCAGGUCAGAUCCAGGCCUAGGCCUAGUUUUGGUCUUCGAGCUUUUCUAUUUCUUUAUUUUUUAAAUCCAUUUUUAUUCAGGCGGACAAGCAACCGCUAGGGAAAAAGUGAUUAAUCGAGGUAUUUUGACCGAUGUGGUCGGGAUGUCCACGUUGGAAAACCAAAAAUGUCCACUUCUAAUAAAAUUAUUAUAGUAAUGUUGUCUUACAUACAUAGAUGGACAUGGGGCGUUCGGUGAUGGCUACUCAAGGAGAGAACAUUGAAGGUUUCGCGACCUUGCUCAAUGAGGUCACAUGGAGAGGCGCAACUACUCCUAUCACCCAGAAUAUGCGGGGGAGAUUAGCAAUGUUUUCAAAUAAGUCAUCCUAAACUACCUAUUUGGGUCUUGCGAGGUCCCUGCGCAAUUGAUGUAGAAUUCGGGGCCAUGUUUGGUCUUGUGUCCGUCUGUAUGCCAGCUCGGGAAUAGAGUUUAGUUGUUCUCUUGUUGUAGUCACUGUUGUUGUUUUUUUUUGUCCUUUUCAAUGUAUUGUUUUCUAGGGCUAAUUGUGUGUAUCUUUCUUCUAUAUCAACAGGAAAAAGCACUGUUAGUGACUAUCCCAAAGGUGAGCAGUGGUUUUAUUAUUUAUUUAUUUUUUCAGAGGAGACGUGAAAUUUUGUAUGAGUGAAGUGUAGAGUUAAUGUUAGUUAAAAUGGAUAUACACCCUCCAUCCUAUAAUAUAGUGCAUUAUAGAAAUUUUAAAGCAUUUUAUUUCCUAAUCAAGCACCAUCAUCAAUGCGAUUAGUGAUGAUUGGUUGAUAAAUGAUAAUAAGUAUUUAAUGUAAAAAUAAUUUUUGUCCUCUAAAACGCAUUAUAUUUAAGGACAAUUUUUUUUAGUAUUAGAAGCUCGUCGGCCAUCCUCCACGUAUUCCACUUUCCUGAUACCCAAUUUCCGCGUCCCACUAUAAUCUAGUGUUCCUUAAAGACACGUACCUUAUCAAACUUGUAUUACGAACACCCGAACGAGAUUAUCGCAGAUUGUAUCCAUGUGCUGCCCGAAUAAUUGUAACGACCUUCGCCCCCACCUGAUAAUGCAUGGAAAAAAAAUGUAUACCAGUCUUGCCCGUAAAGAAAGAUUGGACUUCGAGCUGCUGACUUGAUCGCCGCUACCUCAAUGAUCUCACCGUUAAGGGUACUUUUCCUAUACCAGUAUUUAAUCAGCUAGCUUUCCAACGCAUGCUGGUUCUCCAUCCUUAUUCUUUUUGCUGGAUACCAUCGGGUGCGUCUGAAGGCGAGCGACGAACACAUGACGGCCUUUUCAACCCACUGAUCUGGCCACUAUAUAUGAGUUCACGGUCUUGGGGUCUCACGGGCGCCCCAGAUAUAUUUGAGAGUGCCAUGAAUAUCACCCUGGCACCUCUUCUCCGCAAAUGCGUUGUCUUCUUUGUGAAUAUCCUGGUCUUCAGUCCCACUUAUGAGCAACAUCUUCAGUAUCUUGGUCUGGUCUUUGCACUACUCCAAGCCGAGCAUUGGCAUAGUAAACUCUCCAAGUGCAAAAUGAAGAGUUAAUAAAAGAUACAAUAAGCAUAACUUUAACUUGAGGACAAAAAAAUUUGUAGCAUCAUAAGAAAAAAAUUGCAAAAUCAAAAUUUAGAUUCAUGACUUAAGAUAUGUGAUGGAGCAAGGGCUGGCAUAGCUAAUGUCAAGAUUUCAAUCUAAUUGCAUAUUUAAAAUAUAAAUAGAUGUCAUGCAAAAUUAAAAUACGAAUACGAAUGAGAAAUAUAUAAAUUAGUCCCUCAGAAAAAAGAGGUCAUUGAUAAGUUUAUGAUAAUUGGAUAUAGACUAUGAAUAUUUUUUUAUAAAUUAAAACAAAGAGAAAAUAUACAAUUUAGUAUAAAAAAUUAUUUAUUAUUAGUUAGAUGUAUUAACGGUAUAUGUUUUAAAUUUUUAGCUUGUGCAAGAUCAUGGGUUUGGACUAGUGAUAGUGUUUGGAUCCACUCAACUUUUACCAAGCUAAAAUUUAAAAGUUUAAUUUUAGGUGCUUAAAAGUUCUUGCAGCUAAACUUUAGCUAGGAUGUUUGGAUCCUUCAACUAAUAAAUUCAGCUAAACUUAGUGUUGGGGACCCUCCUUCUUUCCCCCCAGUUCUCUGGACGUGAAGGUCUCAAGACCGGGUGCGAAGGUCUAACCAUCGCACCUCGCCGAGACCUUCGUGCGUUGGCAGGAUGGAUGUCCGGAGGACGGUCUACUCUAACUUGGCCGGACUUUGAGAGGUGCGGGUACAGAAGAGGACAGGCGCUGAGGACUCCUAGAGUCGGGCAUGGAUCCUUUGGUCGAAGACAGGGUGAAGGAUCAGAGGACGGCUGAUGCUAACUCGGCCGGAUCCUACGGGAUGCAGUCGCCGGAAGGGAUCGGCCAAAGGCGGGGAACCCCUGGAGCCGAGUGCAAGAUCCUUCAGACAAGAGAGAGUGAAGGAUCCAACACCAUCGGCGGAGGAAAGACGGAGGCUAGAGUUGUACUAAACUGAUCACAAGUUUUCCCUCGGCUAGAAUAGGGCUUUAAAAGCUGGCCCAUGGGCCUAUAAAAGGGCCGUAAAAAGCAAUUACUUACUGGAAUAUUCCACCGUCGUCACGGGGCACGGUAAUAACAUGUUGUAAUGGGAGUUCGAGCCCUGUAAAAGGGAAUGUAAUCUAGUUGGAAGCUUUUAAUUUUACUGUCACCCAACGUCUUUCUUCAUUACGCUGCGCACGGCGUCCUUGCAGCAUCAAGCAGGGACGCGGGACGCCCUCCACUCAACUCUAAUCCUUCGCCCUAGUCAGGCCAAAGCUUUUUACCAUCUAGUUGCCGACGAGUCGCUUACUCCUUUCGCCAACACUUGGGUUGAAAUAGCUAAACUUUAGCUAGUUUUUAGCUAGACUGUUCGGAUUCUUAGCAGCUAAAAUUUUAUUGGUAAAUCCAAAAAGGCUCUUAGAUAAAAUGGAUAUAUGGCACAAUAAUAGCUCAUCGUCGGCCAUCCUCCACGUACUCUACCCCAUUCCUGAUACCCAAUUUCCUGGUCCCACAAUAUAUAGUCUAGUGUUCAAUUCCUUUAAGACACACAUACCUCAUCAAACUGCCAAUGUAUGAACACCGGAACGAGAUUAUCGUUGAUUGUACCCAUGUGCUGCCCGAAUAAUUGUAACGACCUUCGCGCCCACCCGAUAAUGCACGAAAAAAGAAAAUAUGCCCCAUGCCUCAAUGGCCCAGCCCCAGACCCCCAGUAGGGGCAGACCUCGACGCCACCAGUAUAAAGCGGCGCCAUCUGCUGUGCUCCUUCGAACCACAAACCAAAGUCCCCUCCACUUUCCAAGCCUCCACAAACCAAAGAGCUCUUCUAUAGAGCAGCAGCCACACCAUGGCACCGCGUUCUCUGGGAGUGCUCGCCGUCGCCCUCGCGCUCUUGCAGGCCGCCUCGGCGAAGUCCUGGCUUGGCGCCAAGUUCACCACGGACGGCACCGUCCGCGAGGGAUACGACAGUUCCGGCCAGCAGGUGGUGAUGCUCAGCCUCGACCAGCACUCCGGCGCCGCCGGCUUCAACUCCAAGGAGCAGUACCUCUACGGCGAGUUCAGCAUCGAGAUGAAGCUCAUCCGCGGGAACUCCGCCGGCACCGUCUCAUGCUUCUACGUAAGUCAUCAGCUAGCCACCCUUCUCCCGACUGGAUCCACAACAUCCAGAACGAAAACCUCUCGCUUGACAUAAUGAAUGACAUAUGCAUGUAUGGGUAAUGACUAUUGCAGCUUUCUUCCGGCGACGGCGACGGGCACGACGAGAUCGACAUGGAGUUCAUGGGCAACGCCACCGGUCAGCCGGUGGUGCUCAACACCAACGUGUGGGCCAACGGCGACGGCAAGAAGGAGCACCAGUUCGACCUGUGGUUCGACCCGGCCGCCGACUACCACACCUACACCAUCAUCUGGAACCCUACGAACAUCCUGUUCAAGGUGGACAACCUCUUCAUCCGGUCCUUCAAGCGCUACGCCGACCUGGCCUACCCGAGCUCCAAGCCCAUGACGCUGCACGCCACGCUGUGGGACGGCAGCUACUGGGCGACGGAGAAGGGCAAGAUGCCCAUCGACUGGUCCGGCGCGCCCUUCGUCGUCUCCUACCGCAGCUACGCCGCCAACGCCUGCGU
rnacentral:lncRNA from 1 species